GACCCGUAGUCAGCUAACUUAUGGUUUUGGACCAAGUUUCCCAGCCCAAUUCAUGCCCGCUGUUGAUCGAGCUUUUGGAAAAUGGGCUACUGCUUCUUCUGGAUACUUCACGUUUUCAAGAGCAGGAAGUUAUGAAGGUGCUGACCUAAAGAUUAGUUUUGAACGUGGAGACCAUGGUGAUGGGUAUCCGUUUAACGGAUCUGGUGAAGUGUUGGCCCAUGCAUUUCCACCUCCGGAUGGAAGAUUCCAUUAUGAUGCGGAUGAAAAUUGGGUGAUUGGAGCAGUGCAAGGUGCUUUCGAUGUGGAGACUUUGGCUUUACACGAAAUAGGGCACCUUCUUGGGCUUGGUCAUAGCCAGUUUCAAGACGCAAUAAUGUGGAGUACUCUCGCCUCAGGGGUCACGAAAGGUUUGUCCCCGGACGACAUUCAAGGGCUCGAUACUCUAUAUGGUAUUUAGAUUGAAGAACAAAAGGAUGCAUAAUUAUAUAUUGUGUUUAUGUGUGUUUUAUGAUUACAAAUAUCUCAUGGUUAGGCAAUAAGGCAAUAAGUCAAAGGUUUUUAGUUGAUUUGGUGUGACGUUAGGGUAAUGUGUCAAUCCCAUUUUCAAAAUUUUAAUGCAUUUUAUAUAUACUAGUAUUCAUAUAUGUAUAUAAAACCUGGAAAUUGAUAUCCAGAUGUCCGAACAUAAAAAAAAAUAACCACACGAUUUAGAACUAGUGGUGUCGCCAUUGAUACUCGUUGUCGCUGCUAAUGGUGUUGCCGCUAAUAAUCUUAAUUUUCAAUUUUGUAGUGACAUGGUAUACAAAAUUCACUAUUAUAUACAUAUUCAUCAACAAGAAUAGGGUCAUUUUCUUUUUCUGCAAUAUCAAAUCACUUUUUUUAAUAUCAUAUAAUAGAUCUAAUAAUACUAAACUAAAGUACAAUGCUAAAUUAAUAUAUGUAGAAAAAAUGUCACCUUCUGUUUGAGAAAUCGGUGUGUUCUUGCUCGUUAAACAUAUUUUCUAAAUUUUUGUAAUCAACUUCUCGGUCCGCCUUUAUGGUAUACUCGGGCAGGUCAAUCCGAAUCAUGCAUAAAUAAGCAAAACAUGUUCACUCCAUUCUACAAAGUGAUACAGUUUGACUUUAAAUCAUGGAUCGGACACUACAAGAAAAGUCUUUAUUAGUGAUUAGUUUUUUAGUGACGACUGAAAAUCUAGUCACCAAGAGCAUCAUUAGUCACCAUAUAAUAAGUCGUCACUGAAUUUUGGUAAUGUUAUAAAUGUAGUGACCAAUUCGAUGAUAAUUGUCACUCACCGGUCGCUAAAUUAUAAAAUAAAAUUUAAAUAUUCUUUUAAUAUCAAAAAACAAAUAUUAAUGACUAAAAGAAUGGUCACUAGCUUAGUGACAAAAAAAAUACUAGUCACGGCUGUUAAAGGCUUAGGGCAUCUCCAACCCACCCCUAUACUCCAUUUCUUCCUCUAUUUCUCCCCAAUUCUUCUCCAACCCUACCCCAUUUCCACCUCUAUUUUUGGAGAUAUGAAUAGUAUUCCCCCAUCAUAUCUCCAAAAAUGGAAGUGAAGUUUGGUUGUCAAUUUUAGUCCUUCUCAUUUUUAUUUUAUACAUUUCUAGUUUAUUUUAUCUACUAAUUAUAAUUUAAAUGCAAUAUUUAAUAUUUAUAAUAUCAUGUUGUAUACUAAUUUAUAUUAAUUAAUCAUAAAUAUAAAGUUUAAUUAGUAGAGGGGUGUAUUUGACAAUAUAUAUAAGUUAUAAAAAUGAAAUAUUCCAAAAAUAUAUUUUUUGGGGUAAAAAAUGGGAUAGAAAAUGAAGUAAGGUUGGAGAUGAAACACUAUUUACUUCAUUUUUUACUUCAUUUAUGAAAGAAAAAAUAAAGAUGGGUUAGAGAUGGUCUUAGAGACCCAAAAAGAGCCGUCACUGGGUUGCCUCACAUGAUCCGUAACCAUCUGCCUUUAGUAUACAGUGAAGAACUAAAAUUACAAAUUAUAAUAGUGAAAGGGCUAAUUGUGCCAUUUCAGUAUGAUGAAGGCCCAUAGAAAAUAAUCUCCUUUCUUUUAAGCAUCUAACGUCUCACCAUCAUCAUUAAAAACCCUCGUUUUUAAAAUCUCUCUCUCUCUCUCUCUCUCUCUCUCUCUCUCUCUCUCUCAGACAAUCACGAUUUUCCGGCAAAAAUGCCAACAACAAUCGUCGUUCUGAUUCUAUGAAUCUUUGCGGUGGUGAUCAAUUGCCUGUCGUACCCAUGAUUCGUCGAGUCAGUGAUACUGGACAUGGCAGAUUGCCUGUCCUACGUGACGAUCGGAAGCACGGUGAAGAAACCCGAAGGAGCAUGUUGCUCGGGGCUUAAAUCAGUGUUGAGAUCAGACACACUGUGUUUGUGUGAAGUGUUCAAAAACAGUGCGCAAUUAGGCACAUCGUUGAAUGUCACCAAAGCCCUAGCUUUGCCUGUUGCUUGCUAUAUUAAAGCCUAGCUUUACCUGCUGCUUGCGAUACCAACGCUCCAUCUGUUACUAACUCUAGAAUUAAGCCUAUUUAGUAUCUUCGUUCAUCUCUCGUUAAUCACUUAAUUUCUUCAGGUCUGCACAGUAUGAACAUCUCUAUCUUGAUUUGUUUAAAAUCAAAUUUCAAUUUUGUCUUAGUGAAUUGCCUACUUGAUUGACAUGCAAAAUCAAAUGUGUUUUGUGUCCUUUGUCCUAAUUCACCCCAUAAACUGAGGUUCCAUGGCUUGUCUUACAAGUGAUUUUCGAAUUCCUAUUUAAGUGAAUUCAUAAUCUAGCUCCAUUCAUAAUUCAAUUGCAUUUUCACUAGAUACAAGAUAAAGUUAGGUUUUCAAAUGGAAAGUGGAGAAAACCUUUUGUAGUCUCAAUCAAUUAAGCUUUUGAUUCGUCCAACUGGCAUGUAAUGUGUCUAUGAAGGCUGAUUAACAGCUUAUAUUAUUGAUUUUGUUAUUUAAAUUUGGUGGAAUGACACACUGUAGUUGUUUUUAGGUUUUAACAGCGGGUUUAAGGAAAGAUUUUGGGGGUGAGAAUCAAUUUUUGGCGGAAUGCUAACAGUUUAGCUAAACCUUGAUUGUUGUUUCUGUAAUCUGCACUACAUCAUUUCUUAUUGCAAUGGAAUAUGACUUGCUUCCUUCUAUUAUAUUUUAGGAGCUUUCAAGCCUUCUUGUAAUAUUUCAGUUACACUUAAUGAUGUGAAAACUCGCAAACAGGUAUGCUAUUCUUAUUGUUCUCAUUAUAGAUAGAUGAUUAUUGUUUAGUAUAUCAUUACUUUGGCAUGCUAUAACAUUGCUUCUUUACUAAUUCAUCAUCAGGUUCCUUUGAAGAAGGAAAAUGGUCAGAUAUCAAUGGUGCCUCGUUUCCAAAGUCAAGAAAGCAUUGUUGGAGUGGUAUUUAUUGAUGGUUUUGUAAUUUUGUUGGAUAAUAAACCUCUUACAUGCUAGCUAGUGAUCGAAACAAGUUGAAUUUACUUAUUUGCCCUUUUUGCAUAUAUCUGUAGACCCAGUGCAAGGGAAGAAGGUUGAACAUAAUGACAUUAAAAUAGAACUCCUUGGUCAAAUUGGUGAGUUUUCUACUUAAUUUUAGGAGAAAUUGUCAUGAAAAUCAAUGUUAAUAAUAUUUUGGUAUUUUAUUUCUGUUUGCAGAAAUUUAUUUUGACAGAGGCAACUUCUAUGACUUUACCUCUCCUUGUAAGUCCAUCUGUUUGGAUGCUAACUUUAUACAUGUUCUUGAUGAAAUGACAACUUUUAUGUUUUUUUUCAUUGAUAAUCGAUAAUUCAACAUCAUUAUUCAUCAGUAAUUUACUAUCUUACCCUUUGUUAUGUAGUUCGUGAACCGGAUGUUCCUGGUGAAAUAUAUGAAAAGAAAACAUUUCCUUUUGAAUUUUCUUCAGUUGAAAUGCCUUAUGAGACAUACAAUAGUGUCAAUGUGCGACUUAGGUAAACACCAUCUUAUAUCUAAAUUCAAAUAAAAUACAAAAAUGCAUAAAACCAUGAUUAUGAUUGCAUAUAAAAUGGGUUUUAGCUACUUCUACAAUAUCAAACAUGCUACAUCCGGCUUACCAAGGUCUUCUGUCAUCAAUGCAAGUGAUGAAGCUCUAUUAUUGUAGCAAGUCGAAAAUUAUAGUCUGUUUUCUAGAGUGAAAUUGAAUUGUUGACAUCUAUGAAAAAUGUUUUCUCUUGAUCUCCAUUUAAAAGUAAAAUUAAAGCAAAAGUGUUGGUGUUAAUUUUAUGAAGGAUGUUCUUGACUCUGUUUUUGGUAAGUUUUAGGUUUAACAUAAGAACUCAAAAUCCAGCCUAUCUAUUAAUGGGAAGAAUGCUCUUUUUCUUUGGCUAUCAUUGUAUGACUCAUUUUGGAUCUUUGUAAAGAGCAUAAACAUAUAGAAAUAUGCUUUUGCAAAUAUGCUACUUACAUAUAAUCUCAAGAAGGAAAGAACAAUUUGUCAUUACAACAUUGUUCACAUAUUCAUCAAAUGAAAAAGUUCUCUUGUUAUGCUUUAAGUUACUACCCUUCAAAUGAUUCUGGUAUAUAUUUGUUCUUUUAAAUCAGUUUAUGUUCUUUCUCUUUCUUUUUCUUUUUACUGUAAUAUUAUGGUUUUAAGUUGUAAGUGUCUAUUCACAUAAAUAAGUUGCAAGCUCUGAACUGGAGAGUGGUGUUGUUAAUGUUGUACAUGGUAAUCGAAUGAUUUCAUUCCUUUAACCAUGCCAAACAUGAUAACUGAAUGUAAUCACUCAUUCUAUUCCCUUGUUGUCUAUUCCAUUCCAUCAUUUUCUCAACUAUGGCCAUUUCAUACACCUUUAAACUCUUUGCAAGGUAAGGCCGGAAUGGAAAGAAUAGGCUUAAAGAUUUCAAAUAUUCUUUUAUAUCUCGAGGUAACAUCAACUUUUCAAUUUACUAAACUACCCUUGAUACAAUUAUAGCAUUGUACUUCCAGUUUUUAUCUUAUCAAGACCAUAUACCUUGAAAUUACUACAUAAACUUGCUUUGUAUUGCUAUAAAUUGGUAGAUUUCAUUAAAGUGGGAUAUGCUAUAAUAAACAAAUCAUUGCUAUUUCUUACAAUUAACCAUUUCUAAUAUCAUUCUUGUAGACUGGGAUAGCUGAAUAUUUUCCAGUUUAGACGAGAUGAGUGAGAUACUUAUUUACUUUUUGGUUAAUAAUUUUCUUUCUCUUCUAUUUCAAUUUACUAAUUUUGUUAUAGCAUUGUAAAUCCUAUGAACUUCCUUACUUGUUUAUUAUAGCAUCUUACUUUCAUUCAUUUCUAUUUACAAUAUUACAGGUCUGAACUUAGCAGUGAGAAGCAGGCCACCAGCAAAUCCAACACUGCCAACUCCAAGAAUCAUAGGUAAUUUAUCUUUGAAGUAGCUACUUGAUGGAAUAUAUCAUAUUUGCUUAAAUGACAGUUAACUUUUUUUUAGUCUCAUAUAGCUUAAUGCUUUUGGUAAUCAAGUUGCUAGAAGAUUUAACAGUUGUCUUGCUGAAGAUUCUAAAGAGGAGGCAGUCUGCAAAAAUAUUUAUAAAUCUUGUAUAGAUAAUGUGAUUGUUUUCUCAUUGUUUAGGUUUUCACUUGAAACUACUGAUUUCACAGAUGUUCAAUAUGAUGUGUUUUUGCAAUCAAAUUGAACUGUGUGAAUUUGUUUAAAUUUGAGAACAUUUAUGUUUACCAUUUGACAAGAUAUAUAUAUAUAUAUUGAUAAAUGAAUUAUAGUAUAUCUUACCUUUGACUCAGUAAGUUCCAUGCUAGUUACCCAAAUGAGUUAAAUACAAAGAAAUAACAAUCAAAAUUAGUGACAACUUUUUAUGGUCAUAAAUUGGAUAAAACACUGACCAUUUUUUAUGCUCACUAAUUGGGUAAAUCAGUGACCAUUUUUUAUGGUCACUAAUUUGACAAACCCGUGACCACUUUUUAUGGUCACUAAUUAGAUAAAACAGUGAUGACUUUCAUUGAUUAGUGACAACAUUUAGUGACGAAAUGGAUCGUCACGGAUUUAGUGACUAGUAUAUUUUGGUCACUAUUUAGUGACCGCUUUUUUAUUUUGGUUAAUCAAUUUUUGUGACGAACCUAUAGUGACGAAAAGUGACAACCAAAAGUUUGGUCACUAAAUCAUUUAGUGACGACUCAUUCUAUUGUCAGUGACCAUUUCGCUUUCGUCACUAAUUGGCAUUUUAAUUGGCAUUUUUUUUGUAGUGGGAACAAGUAACUUUUCACAAGGAAGAGAAAGAUAAAACCAUCAAUAAUAUAAUGCUUAUGCUAGUGUUUAUGCCAUCAAAAAAAAAUUGCAAAUAUCUUAUUAGCAAAGGUAAUAUAUUAAAGUUAAUAAUUGUCCUAAAUAGUAAAUAGUGGCCCAUUUAGUAAGCGUCCUAAUUGUUUUUAUGAGGGAAUACAAACAAAGGCUUCUGGUCACUACGUUUACUUAUGUGCUUUUACUAAAAUAAACAACCAAUACAAUAUAAAUGAUAGCUUUAGUUUUUAACUGUCAAAUUCAAGAUGAUUUUUUUUUCUUUGAAAUGGCAAGAAUAAACCUUAUACAUGUAAUAAAGAAAUAAAUAAAAUAUAACAUCACAAGGAAAGAACUUAAAGCAUUUUCUUUCAAAGAACUUGUGAAACAUUUAACAAAAAUAUCAUGCAUUUGAUAGAACGGCUUAAAGUUUACAAUUAUGCAUUUGAUAGAACGACUUAAAGUUCACAGACAUGGCCAUAUGGCAUUAAAUUUUUUUUGUCAAAAUAAAGGUAUAGAUGGAAAAAUCAUAAAAACUUAGGCAGACCUCAAUUCAUCUAACACAAAAGAUUUUGACAUGAAACAAAGUCGAAAUCUGGAUUAUAUGUAAGUUUACCUUCACUAGCAUAAUCUCCCAUGAACCAAGACCCAUGAGAUUGUUUAAACCAGUUGAGUUCUUGAAGGCCUCCAUUGAUAACGAGGUAGCUGGUAGUCUCUCCUGUCAGGAUAGCAGACACUUUUGUUAGUUAGUAACCGCAAAAGGCAACAUACACUUAUUUAUUAUUCAUAUGCAAAAUUGAAGCAGUAAAUGAAAGGUUGAUUUUUGAAGAUUCGGAAUGCAUAAUGAUACAUAGACUAUUAAAAAUAUACCAUUAGUUGCGUUCUUUCACAAAUAAAGAUGAUCAAUGUAGCAAGUAAAUCCGAAAACAGAAGGAUUUGUAAUAAAUCAUAUAAAGUAAAACACUAAAACUACUAGUUUUAGGAUGGCGAAAUUCUAGCAAUGUCCCAUGUCCUCUCUAGUGGCAGAAGGAUCUGCAGUAACCAUAUUAGGACAUCAUUAAUCCUAUAUUUGGUGGAUUCACAAUAUAUCUAGUGACCCAUUAAUCAAUAUCAUGUUUGCGUUACAUUAUAAUCAACGAUAUAUGCCGAUGUGCAAAUAAAUCUACUGGAACAUAGAAGAUGCUCAAAUGCACUCUGAUGAACAAAUUCGGUGAGUUCAUGAACGGAUUGACGGAUACCUGAUGUCGAAACAAGAAGACGAGUCUCCUGAACACCUUCAAACCAAGCCAUUGAUGUAAUUUGAGGAGACGGGGAAAUGGGGAAUUAAGGUUACAGUAGUUGGGUUAGAGAGAAAAACUACUUCAUCACUCAAAAUAGGAAUGAGUAGUUGUUCCAAGUUAUUAUGCGCCAAAAGUUAGGCCAUGCCCUUUCGUAUCCCCAAUGGAAGCAUGUAGUAGGGAUGAGCGUGGGACAGAACCGGUACCGUUUCCGAUUUCCCGAAUUCCGAAUUUGUCCGAAAGUGGAUACCGAGUACCGGACCGAUUUAGAGGAGGUAUGGUACCGGUACCAGUACCGACGAUGGUACCGGUACUCGGUACAAGUACCGAACCGAGGACAAAAUUGUUGAGUUGAAUUUUUGGAAAUUUGGUUUAUAUUUAAUUUUGGUUUUUUGAAAUUUGAUGGUUUGAUUGAAUCUAGUUUUGUAAUUAGAAUAUUGGUUAUGCUCACUACAAAUAAAAUGACAUUUAGUGGCACAAAAAAGUGUCACUAAAUACCAAAAAAUGUCACUAAAAACUCACUUUGUAAUCUACAGUACAAAAAUAAAAUGUCACUAAAAGUGCUCCCACUAAAAGCCUUUAGUGACACUUUUUUGUUGUGCCGCUGCGGGUUUUAGUGGCACUUUCGGUUAUGCCACUAUAACAUUUUUAGUUUUAGUGGCACUUUUUUAUGCCUAAUACAUAUGUUAAAAUAAAAGUCAUUUUACUACUUUUAGGGCACAUGCUCUAGCAAAAAAAAGAAAAAUAUCCAGAAAUUAGGUCCAAUUACUUUUUUUAAUUUCAUUGAAAUAAUAAAAAUAUAAUUAAGAUCAUAGACAUACCAAUAUCAUUAUUUGAAACAAAAGUUAACUAACAAACAAUAAUAUGAAAACUAAUUACAAUUUUCAUAAAUUCUUUGUCAAAAAAUCGAGUAAAAGGUUUCAUUUUUUAUAAUGCAUUAGAUGCUUGUGCUUUCUACAAAAACCCGCAUAUUAUUUAUAACUGUUAUUCUUCAAAUAACUUGCUGAAUUUUCUUUCUUUCAUGAUCUUGUCAUAUUAUUGUUGUUGAAGGUUAGAAACUUCUUCCUGCAAACAAAGUAUAACUUUAGCGACUUCAACUUCAAGUUAAAACAUAUUAAAAGCUAAAUAAGAAAAUUAAUACAACAUAUUACUACAUAGCACAUCAAAUUCUAUUCAAUUCCAAUUCCAAUUCCAAUCCACCACAACAGUUUCCAAUAAAAAGACCAAUGGAAUUCUCUAUUCAGGGUUAAAAAAAUGUCAUCUCCAGUAUAUAUCAUAUUAUUUAUAAUCUCUAUUAAAAAAGCCCUAGAAACUCAGCUUAAAAUUAAAAUUGAAAAAAAAAUAUCUUAAACUCUAACCGCUGAAAAAAGCCUUCUCUAUAGCUCAUCAUGCAUACAUAAAUACAAAAAGAAGAAUGAGAAUUGGUGGUGUUUAGACAAAAAGAACAUAUGCAAUAAAUAACAAUAUACUUUCAUUUAUUUAUUUAUUACAAUAUUGCCCUCUCAAAAGGGGCUAUAAUUGCUAUAAUAAACAAAUGAAUAAAAGCAUAAUGCUAUUUCUUCAAAAUUACCUUAACAUUGUUUUAAUCAGCCUCUUCCUCAUCUUCUGGUUCAACAUCAUCAUUACGAACCUGAAAAAAAAACAUAACAUUUAACAAAUUUAAAAUCCAAAAUUAAAUUUAAUAAUAAUAAUAAUAAUAAUAAUAAUAAUAAUAAUAAUAAUAAAAGUUGUAAGAGAAAGCCAUAUAUCAGAAUCAGCCAGAUCAUCCUUUGAUUCCUAAAAGGGGGACAAAAAAAUAAAGAGUUAAUGUAUGGUACUUUCAUUCUUUUUCUUAUUAAGACAUUUUUUUUACUUUAAAUUAACAAUCUAUAAUUUUGUGGAUUUUUUAAAAUAUAAUGUUGUAAUAAAUAAAUGAAAGUAUGACUCUGUAAUACACAAUUAUAUGAAAGUAAGAAACACUAAACAUAAAGAUUUGAUACCUCUUCCUCCUUUAUCAUUUCUAGCUCUUCAAAUGCCUCCUUUUCAGCCUAAAAAAUAAAAAAUAUGAAUAAUGAGAAUUAGAAAAUAUUUAAUAUAAAGAAUAAACCAGAAAAAAGACUAACAUCCCAAUCUCCAGGCUAUAAAUUAAUUCAAAAAUGAGUUACUAUUAAAAAUUAGGGAGACCUAAUGUUGAAGAAAGUCAAUUACCUGUUUGUUUCUCUACAUUAUCAAUUGAGAUGGUGCAGGUUGCAUCAGGGCGGAGGAGAAAGAUAUAAACAUGUGAAAGUUGGUCAGUUAGUUGGAAUUCGUGUUGUCAAUCAAAAUGGUAUUUCACCAAAUUAACCCUAAAAAGGUCUCUCCAUGCAAGAAGGGUCGGAUGCUGACAUCAAGGGCUCCAACUACAGUUUUCAAUACAGUUUGUCUCUCAUUCCCAUUGUGACAAUAGUCAAUUUCGGAUCAAGUCAAAGUCGAACAAAGUCAUCAAGUCAAACCAGUCAACUCAAUUAAACCUUGUAUAUUAUGGUUUGUGUUAUGUAAUUACUGUAUAACUCGCUAUCUUAAUGAGAAAACAUCACUUGGAAAAUUUGUGUGUUUAAUUUUCCUUAGCCUUAGUGCUAAACAAUGAACCAAACUGAUAAAACAAUGUUGCAUACUCAUCUGGAGUGUGUAAGAUCCUAAAACAUGGCUUAAUGGGGCUUCUGGAUCUUGCGUUGCGAAGCCAAACACUCAAAAAGGUCACAAAAGAAAUCUCUCCCAAAUCUCUCCAACUAUGUGAAAUCUCUCCCAAAUCUCUCUCUGUGUGAGAAAUCUCUCCAAGAAUGUUAAAUCUCUCCCAAAUCUCUCCAAGUAUGUGAAAUCUCUCCCAAAUCUCUCUCUGAAUGAGAAAUCUCUCCAAGUAUGUGAAAUAUCUCCUAAAUCUCUCCAAGUAUGUGAAAUCUCUCCCAAAUCUCUCUCUGAAUGAGAAAUCUCUCCAAGUAUGUGAAAUCUCUCCUAAAUCUCUCUACGUAUGCCAAAUCUCUCCAAGUAUGACAAAUCUCUCCCAAAUCUCUCUCAAAAUCUAUCUCAACAUUUUAUAAUCACUUGGGGCAUCCCGACCCUCGAAUUUGGUGAAAACAGCCCAAAAACGGAAGUCUACGUGAAAAACAGAUUUAAGGAGCCGAAACUCCUCUUAGGAACUGAAACCCCUCUCAAGGAACCGAAACCCUCUCAGGAACCGAAACCUCUUAGGAGCCGAGACCCUCUUAACCGAAAUGGACCGAGUGCUCUGUUUAUUUCGGUCCUCUGAUCAUUCCAAACCGAACCUGACUUUCGGCUCCCCUUCUCACCUUCGGUCCGAGGAGACUCCACUUCGGUCCAAGAGACGAACCUGUGCAUCCGAGGACUUGAGCUUCUGUCCGAGGAGCAAGCCUGCGCAUCUGAGCCCCACUCUCGGUUCCUCCUCCUGCUCUCGGUUCCUUCUCAUGCUCUCGGUUCUAGUGGCUAGGACCGAACCCUCGGCCAGAACUUCGGAUUUUGACAGUUUUCACCCGGUUUUCGAUUUCUUUAGCGUUUUGAGCUCGUUUUUUGAGAUUUUAACGCGGGAUUUUCUCCCAAACUCAUAUUUUAACAUAAUAAACCCCAAAUAUUCAUAUUUUAAUUAUAUUUUGGGGAAAAUCCUUGUCUAAGAAUAAAAUCUAGUAGGUAGGAUUUAUGGGUGGAGUGUUGGCUUUGCCUUGGUGUAUGACACAAGCAACCUCCCCAUACCUCCAUAGUACAACCCCUUGUCCUUCCACCAUACCUAAGUCAUGCCAAUGUACUUUAUCAUCAUUUCCAGCCAUUUCCCACGUUCUUAGAGCUGGAACAUCCACCCUCUCUCCUCACUUCACUCAUUUUCUCUCAUUUUCACCAAAAGAUCAAACACUUUUCUCUCAACUCUUCUCUCUUAAUUUCGAGAUUUCCAAGGCAUUUUCCAAGAAUUUCCUUCUACUUUUGGUAAGUAUCUUCAUUAUCCUUAUGCUUUUUACACUUCCUUCUACUCCAAUCAUAGAUUGCUUACACAAAUAUCGUCAUAUUUGUCUUAGAUCUUCGAAUCUUCAAGCACCUCCCAAGUAUUCUUGAGUUGAGCACUUCUUUUCUCCAUCAUCCAUCUACUGAAAUCACUCAAGGUGAGUUCAUAACCCUACAUUUUCAUGUUUUCUUAAGUUUUUAGGGGGGGGGNGGGGGGGGGGAUACAAGUUAAAAUACCAAGAACAUAACUGAACUUUUCUAACAGCUUUCAUCAGAAAAGUUGGACUUCAUUCACGGACUGUUUUGGGCAACUUAAGCAUUUUAGUUUUCAAAACUGUUUUAGGUGCAAGUAAUUGCAGUUCUUAGCUUUAAAAUGACUACUUGCACAUCUCCACACGAUUUUCCUACGAUUUAUGGUGAUUUUUGCAAAACAGCCUAUCACUUCAAGAACAAAUCCGGACCAGUCUGUGAAUAUGGACAUUUUAACACAAGUUAAAGACUCCCAAAAAUCAUGAUAAAAAUUAUGAAUAAACUAGACACAUUUUAUGAACUCUCACAAUUUACGGAUUCAGUUUUCGACUUCAUAUGAUUUUUCUAUGAUUUUUUUUUCUAAAGAAGUACAGAAAAGGUUAAAAACUAGUUACCAGCUUAUUAACUUUCAUAACACUUUGUAUUAUGUUGAGCAAAGUGUAUAACAAUAAGUUCUAAGUAUUGAAUGUGCUUUCUUGUUAUUUUAUCAUCAUAAACUGAAAUUUAGACAUUUAUGAUAAGAUUCUUCAUUCAUUUAGAACACAUGUAUUAAGCUAUAAUAAGCAUAGUUUAUGGAUUAAUAACACUAAUGUAUCUUCACAAAAGAGUUGUUUUACAUUACAAACGUUUUGGAUAAACUAUAAUAGGUAUAGUUUAUGUAUCAUUUACAUUUCAAACUUAUUUACCAAAGGUUUUUAGUUCAGUUCACGUAAAUCUGUUAAUGAAUAAAUUUGUGCGACAUCCCCUUCCGGUUACCUUCAUGGUAACAAAGUCAAAAAGUCCUGUAAAUUGUAACUAGAAUCUCUUGUAGGGAGAACGUGAUAGUUGUGUAUAGAUCUAUAUUGGGUUUGACAAACCCAUACCUGAGCUGCUUACAACAGCUAGACCAGCAGGUCUGUGGUGACAAGUGUCAUUUAACAGCGACGCCUGAAGAACGCCGUAUUACGAGGCCGUCUAUGUCAAGUAUGGUUGUGAUAGCUCACAUGUGGUAUUAACAAAUCAUAAGAUUUACGGGUUCUAGUAUUAAAUUAGCGAGUUAUGUCGAUUUAGCUCACAGAAAUUACCUUAAGUACGAAUAUUACUGUUCACUUUCGGUCUUGGUAUUUAAGACUACACGUCAUUCAUUACGGGAUUUUCCCUCGAAUUAAAAAGGGUUUUAUGUCGAUUUAAAACUAUGAUUAUAUCAUUAAGUAUGGAAAAUACUUGUUUACUCUUGGUCCUGGGAUUUAGGACCACACAACUUUUAUAAGGGAAAAUAUUGGAUUUUUCUUGGUGACACACAACCCAUUAUAAAGAACGGUUUCCAAACUCUUUAUCUCAAAAACUUAUGAACUCACCAACCUUUGUGUUGAUACUUUUUUAAACAACUUGUAUUCUCAGGAAAUCACUAAACAGGAAAUCAAGUGCAUUUUGAGGAUGGGACGUUAAGACGUCAAACAUUUCAUAUUUUGUCAACAUAUUGUAAUUGAUUUUGAAACAUGUNUAUAUAUAUAUAUAUAUAUGUUGGUUGUGUUUACUUUCGUCACUAUUGCCAUUGUUGUUAUGAUACUAUACAUGAAGUCCUCCACCGCCAGACGUUUCCGUCAUCCUUGGUUUGGGGGUGUGACACCCAUGUUCUUUCUUCACCUAAUAUUGUAAGGAAUAAUAAGCUAAAUAAAUAAUAAAAUAGAAAGCAAAAUUAGAUGAAAGAUUAUAUACCGUGAGAAUGUAUGCACUUUUUUGUCCCUGUUUACUUUCACAUAGUUAUUUUAGCGUGUUAACCUCCUGAUCAAGUGGAAAUAAAUGUGAAUGAAUAUUGUAAAUAUUUAUAAUCGAGGGCAAAAAAGUAAUUAAGAUGUUACUUGCUCUGUAAAUUUCCUUCUGUAGCCGGUAGGUAUCAGCAAAUCUUUCCUAUCUUCCAAGUGGGUUUCUGCCCUAAGACAUGUUGCUGUCCAAUAUUCUUCAUCGAGAACUGCCCGACAUGCAAAAAACUACCCGAAUUCAUGUUUAUUGUCUUUAACAAAUAGGUGAUCAUUGUGUUGGAUCCAAUCAAAUUGAAGAUUCAUGGUUUCUGAUUUACAAAUAUAGCUUUAUUUAAGUUCAUAAGUAAAACUUACAUUACAACACAUGUGAAGAUGAGGAGCAAAAUCAAUAAUACUGUUUGACAAAGAGCAAUCAGACAUUAUGAUGAGCACCUGGUAGGCAGAAGAAACAGACAUGGUGGUUCGAUCUACAUAAAUGUCUCUAACAGAGUUCACCCUGAAUUGGUUGUCGGUGUCUGAAAAAAGAAACAAUUUAGUUACAUGUUUUGCAUUAAAUCAUAUGAUUCGACUCCUAAGUCGUAAACAUGAAACUAAUUUAGGGCACAAGGUCUCCCGAUUUUGACAUACAUGUGCUUGCCUCUAGUGAUAAUCUAACCGAAAUCCUUAGGGUCAUAUCAAUGGAUCGUAUAUCCGAGUGUUACGUGUGUAUGUUGGGAGAAUUUGAAUCUAGGCAUUAGAAGAUGAAAAUUGAACUCAAUAUACAAGAGUUGGAAAAUUCUUAAUCAUUAUCCAUAUUACCAAAUUGAAGUCAAGACUAGAGAUGGUGAAUGAAUGCGACGACGACAUUGGACGAAUGACACGACGGCGUUGGAGCAGGCAGCGAUGACGCCGAUACAGUAGGGACAAUGGUGGGGGUGGAGCAGAGCGAUGUCAUGCUAAAAAGCUGAUUGUUUGGAUCGGGUUUUAAAAAUGGGAGGGGUAAAAUGUAAACUAGAGAAUAAGGGUAAAAUUGUCAAUUUAUAGGGGGGGGGGGGUUUAAGAAAAUAUCAAAAUACCUUAAUGUGAUUAGCACAUCAAACUAUGUAAGGAUAUAACAGGAUAAACCAUAUAUGAACAAUUUUUGUAGAAAUUAAUCUUAUAUAAAUUAGGAAUCAAAUUAAUAGGCAAUGAUGGAAAACUGACCAAAGUUGUAAUUUUUUGAAAGAUUAGGGACUAGUUUUGUAAUUUACUUUUCUUAUUAUAACAGUUGUAUAUUUAUACUAUAUAACAAAAUAUAACUUUUAAUGGCAUAUUAAAUCAUUAUGCCACUAAUAAUUAUAAAUAUCAAUGACAUAUAAUGUUAAGUGUCACUAAAUUUAUUAAUUUUUAUAGUGGCACAUAAAAAUAUGUCACUAGAAACAUGAUAUAGUGGCACAUUAAAUAUAUGCCAUUAUAAAUGUAUGCCACUAAAUGACAUUUUAUUUGUAGUGACUUGAAUGGCUUCCCUGCCAUGGCUAUUCAUAAAUUGGAAGACAACAUAACAAGUCUAAUUAGAAUCUGACAAAAUUUAAAGUUAGUGACCGUUUAUAUAUUCCAAAUAUUUGUUAUUUGUUAUGCAUGAAUGGCUUCUCUAUCACACUAUUCAUGGUGAUAUAAAACAACAGGUAUAAAUUGUUUAUUAAGUUAAUAGAUUUGCUUUUAAGACAGUACUAACUUGAUGGUAUUUGAUUCAUGUGAUGCUAUUUGAUUCAUAAAAUAAGAAUAUAAACUCAUACAACCAAAUUAACUAAUAAUUCGAACAAUUAACAAAAACAUAAGGGCAAAUCUGUCCAAAUUGAUUGCAACAACCAAAAUAACCCAAAUGUAAAAAUACAACAAAAAAACAAUCCAUGUGAUGGCAUCAUGUGUUUCUAGUUAAAGUCUUAAACAUCAAAAAUAUAUAAAUCCAUAAAAAAAACCACAUUUAAAUUGGGCUAUUAGACAUCCGUUGUCAUUGUUGUUUUUCCAUUAUUAUAUUCGGCGCGUAGUAGUGCUUCUUCAAUCGCUAUAUAAAAACAAAAAAAAUACAAAAGUCAAUAUCAUAUAAAUAUUAUUUGUAGAAAAUAAAACAACAAAUACGUUUUAAAAGUUAAAACUAAUUACCAUAUGCUAUGUCAUCAUCGUGUAAGAUGUCGUCAAUAUCGUCUACAAUUGGUUUGCUAGCUUUUCUAACCCAAUCUUUUGUGAAAACCAACGCCUCGACUAUUGUUGAUGACAAAUUUGUUCGAUAAACAUCCAAUAUACGACCACUCGUGCUAAACGCCGACUCGGAUGCCAUGGUAGAUAUUUGUAUCCCCAGAAUAUCUUUAAAAAAACGUUACAAAAAGUUAGAUUAUCAAUAAACACUAAAUACACUAAUAAUAAUAAUAAUAAUAAUAGUUACCUUUCGCCAUCCGAGAAACGAUUGGGAAACGCAUGUUGUUGUGUUUCCACCAUUGUAAAAUGUCAAAGUCUUUGGUGUAAGUUACAACUCCCUCUCUCAAAUACCUCUUUAACUCGUUUUCCACUGACAUCGAUUUGCCUCCCACAUUAAGGAACGCACCUAAAUAACCGUUCCCGUCAUCACGAGGAACCACAUCUCCAACUCUUUCUUCUUGAGAUGAUUCAUUACCGUACAACUCUUUGUACCUCAUAAAAAACUUCUCCAACUUUUGUUCAACCUCUCUAAGCAUAUUAGACGCCUUUAUUUCAAUAUCUGAUUCAGUAAUCGUAUUUGUAUUCACGUUCUACCUUAUGUUUAUGAUAGUCUUAAAGGCAUGAUGAAUAAACGAAGAUUUCAUUUGGGGAUCCAACAACACAGCAAAGUACAUGUAAUCAUUGAGCUUAUCGAACGACCCCCAAUACUUAUCAAAUUUCUUCCUCAUGUCCUCACCAUUUAAGAAAAAUUCUGGUCUCGUUUCCCACUCUCGUAGAUGUUGGUCAACGUCUAAAAUCUCUCGGAGAAAUAUGUGUGCCAAAGGUUUAGAAGAUGCUGAAACAAUUUCUAUUUUUGUUUUAAAUUUUUCUAGAAAUCCUACAACACCUUUGCAAAUAUCGAAAUCCGCUUUCUCCAACACUCUACCCAACUCUCGUGCAUAUUCCUUAUCUACAAAAAAACAUACAAGUUAAAAAGAAGUGUAGAAAAACUGUUUUUAAGACAUUUAAAAGCUGUUAAACAUAAAAAAAACAUGCAUAAAACUCUUUUUAAAGCAUUUAAAUGUUGUUAAACAUUAAAAACAUGCAUAAAGCUGUUUUUAAAACAUUUAAAAGUUGUUGAACAUAAAAAACAUGCAAAAAAGUGUUUUAAAACUUAUAAAAGCUGUUAGAAGUUAAAAACAUGCAGAGAAAGAGUUUUUAAAAAUGUUUAAAAACUGUCAAAUGUUAAAAAAAAGGAAAAUACCUUCAAGUUCAUACUUCUCGAAUGCUUCUCUUAGUUCCAAAGCAAUCUUCAAGAUAUCGUAUGUUAAAUUCCAUCUUGUUGGACAAUCCCCACAUAAAAACUUAUUCGUUUCCAAUCCACAUAGCUUUAUACACUUCUUAAACCGAGAAAUUCUUUGUGUCGAGUUUCUUAUGUACCUAACAGCUUUUUGAACACAAUCCACACUAUAUUUGUGUUCAUUCAAGCUAUCUCUGACAAUAAGAUUCAAAAUAUGUGCAGUACACCUUACUUGAAAAUUCUUACCACUUUCAUACAUGUUCGGUAAUUUUCUUUUCAAAAACUCAAUGGCCGUAUUGUUUGAAGAAGCGUUAUCAACCGUGAUGGUCGUAACGUUUUUUAUGCCCCACACAUGUAUACAAUUUAGCAACAUACGUCCCACGUCCUCUCCCUUGUGAGUUUCUAUUUGUCUAAAGUUUAUUAUCCUCUUGUGCAUUUCCCAAUUUUUAUCAAUAAAGUAAGCUGUGAUUACCAUAUAUUCGGCUCUUUGACACGAGGACGUCCAUGUGUCAGUCGUCAAAUUUAUGGUGUGAUUUGUGUUACUUAAAAACGCAUACAAUUUCUUUUUUUCUUCGACAUAAUAAUUGGACACAUCCCUACUAAUAGUAUGACGUGAAGGCAAAAUAACCCUACCAUUUAGUGCAUUUGUGUAUUCGAUAAAUGCUUCGUUCUGAACAAAUUUAAAUGGUACCUCUCCUACUACAAAUAAGUUUAACAAAGCUUUCUUAAUCUUAGCUUCGUCAUGCUUCCAUGUCUCCACACUACCCUCCCCGCUAGUCUUUUUAUUGAAUUGCAAAAUAUUUUGUUUUUCUAAGUUUUCUGGGUUACUUUUGCACUUAAGGUAAUGUUUUCUUCAACUUGAUGUGCCAUUACGUGUUGUAUCGACUUUAAAAUUUUUAGAGCAAUACUUACAUCUCCCAUGUCUUUCUUUUUUCCAUCUUUCCCAAUUUUCCAAUAAUACGUCUUUGGUUUGUUCGGUUGUCGCUUUCUCUUGUUAGCAUGUGGUACAUUAUCUUGAUUGUCUGAAUCAUCAUCAAUAUUUGUUACAUUUUUGUUCAAUGUUUCCGAUAAAAUCAUCUUCAUCCUAAAAAAGAAGAAGUAACAGUCAUAUGUAAUCCAGUAUAUGCUUUAGCAAUCAAAAAAAUAUUACUGGAACUCAUAAUUAUGAUAUGUGAAAUCGAUCAGAGUGUUACUAUAUUUUGUAAUCAAUUUCUAAUUAGAAAUCAGUUUUUGAUAAAGGGACUUGACGUGAAUAUAGAUUCCAUCAACUAGAUUGAAAGCAAUAAUGAUAGUACUACAAAGUGUUUUGUAGUGGAAGAUAUUAAUUAUCUAUUGAUUCAUUAAUACAUAUUACAUAACUGGAAAUAUUUAAACUGAUAGGUCAUAACCAACUAAGAUAUAUAUGUGAAAUCGAUGGGAGUCUUGAACCGUGUCAAAAUCAAGAACUUCAAGAACCCAUGUCAAAACCACAAAAUAUAUGAACUACUAUCAACGAGCUAAAAAAUAUUACCGGUGUUUAUUCAAUAGGAGUAUUGACCCGAUUCUUAUUUACCAUUUGAAAGAACUAACUGAGUUUGAACUUUGAAGUAGCCUUCGAAUGUUGAAUUGUUGUUGAUCGAACAAUUGUGAUUGUGAUGACUGAUGAGCAUACACAAGUUGUUUGGUGUACCGAGGGUUUGGUUUUGGCGGUUGAAUAAAGCGUAAUCACUAAUCAAGUAAUCCGAUUAUUUUUUUACAAUAAGCACAUGAAUCUUCAACUUCUUUACUCGGGCCGGUCCGGUUUUUUACCCAGUUGAUUUGGUACCGGGUACCGAGUCCCGAGUCCCAAUUUUAGACCAAAACAUGUACCGAGUAUCGUCCCGUGUUGUAUAAGUCGGUCCGGUUCGGUACCGGUUCCGGUACGGGAACGGGAAAUGGUACCAACUGAUCAUCCCUAGCAUAUAGACCUGACGGACAUGUUGUGUCGUGUCGGGUUCAUGUCGUGCCAAAACAGUAAACGGAUUGAGAGCUUGACCCUAACCCGAUCCUUUUAAUUAACAUAUGGUCUCGUGUCAACCCAUUUAUUUUUGUGUUAAGUUCGUGUCGGGUUUUGGGUUAGGGUUAUACCUUAAAAUGUGUUGUGACAUGUGAGGUUGAAACAUUAACCAUGUUGAAAUAGUAUAAUUUGGAUAAGUGGAAAGGAAAUGUAAUAGUUGGGAAGCACAAUGACUAAAUUUAUAGUAAGUUUAGAGAGCAAAAUGGAAUGAGUAUGAGCUCGAAGGAGAAGGGAUGGAUCAUGAGGAUGAGAGAAUGGUUGAGGGGACUAUGUAAUUUGGACGAUAACAAAAAAACCAAAAAUGAAAGUCUUGACUAAGACAACUAAGUGUAUUCCAUGUUACAAAAUGAGUUAAUCCAAAAGUUUUCUUUUACAUAUAUUUUUUGGUUUUUGGUCUUUUUAGUUUAUUUAAAAUACUCAUAAGACUUACAUAUAUACAAGUCAUUUUUUAGUAGAAAUUCUCAGCCCUAAUCUUACCCAUUUAUUUUUUGUGUGUGUCGUGUCAACCUGUUUAAUUAAACUGGUUGAAAUAUUUUAUCCAAACCCGUUUAUUUCGUGUCGAUUUCAUGUCGGGUUUCGUGUCAUGUCAAUUUUUGUCACAUUUAGUUGCAUGCCCCGCCUCCACCCCCGAAGUUUCUCUAUUCCCUCGUUGCUCCAUCCACACCCUUUCCCUGCCCUUGAAGUUUUCGUGAAUUGAAUUUUUCAGAAUACACAUGAAAGUAAUUUUUUUAUCUCCUUAGGUAAAUUAAUCAGACUUAAAAGGUAGUACUGAGUAGUACUUAUAACUGUAAGGAAAUUGAUAAAAACCAUUCAAAAUUUAACAUAAAAAAACCCAGGAAUUCAAGUUACCUUAUUCUUGUAGAUUAUAAUCAUUAGAGAUUGAGGUAAUUAUGGAGAAGCUUCAAAACAGAAUUUCAAAAUUUAGUAUAAAAAACAUCAAAUUAAUAGAAAAAAAAACAAAAAAUAACAAUUAUAAAAUGUAAUUUACCAUUUACCCAACAGAUCAAAAAAGAGGAAAAAUAUAGAACCUAAUAUUCGAACUCCAAGUCUCUAGGCAGACAAACCGUGAAAAAUCAAUUUAGGCUGUUAGGAAAAGAUGUAUGAAGUAGAAGUAGUCUUUCAGGUUUCAAGAUUAAUUUUUCAACUUCCUAACUAAAGAAAUUGGGCAAAAAAAAGUAUUGAAAGUUGUAACGUCACAAAAAUACCAAUAAAAAUUUUCAUUUUUAAACCACCAAAUCCAUACAAACAUUUGUUCCAAAACCAUUCAUAGUAAAAUGUAUCUUUCAAACAUUAGAGUAAAACAAUAAUAAUUGGUGUGGAAAAAGCUAUCAGGGGAUGCUGUGUAGUCAAGCCGAGCUAUUCUCUUUAGAAUAAAACUUGGCAAGUUCCUCAAAAUACCACAUACCAUACAUAAGAUAGUGAAUUUAUGUCGAAUCAUAAUCUUACGGUCACUUCCUGCCAUGGGCUAAAUCAUGGUCUUUUCUUGCAAUGCCGAGGGCCAAAACUCGGUCUUCCAAAAAAGUGUCAAGGGACAAAUCAUGGUCUUCCAUGCAAGUAUCACAAAGAUAACUAACAUCCUACAUACGAAUUCUAGGGCCAGAUCCUGAUCGUACAUACAAUUUCCAGGGACCAGCUCCUGGUCUUUCAUAUAAUUUUCAGGAGCUGAAUCCUGGCCUUUCAUACAAAUACUAAGGGCCACACCCUAGUCCUACAUGCAAGUAUCACAAAGACAACUAGCAUCCUAUAUAAUAUAGUGAGAAGGCUCACCUCAAAUAUGUAGUUAACAACUAACAAAUAUCAACCAAUCAAUGGGUGCUAUACACCUGCUAAUAAACCACAUAAGGUCAACUCUUAGCUUACCUUCUAUAACUAUCCAAUUGACCAAAAAUCAACCAAGUUAAAAGUCGAUGGUCAAAAUCAUUAUCAGCCGAAUUCCACGUCGUGGUCAGUCCAUGGCCACAUUGUGGCCACCAAACUCGGUCACAUACAAUUCCAUUGUGACGUCAUGGCACAAAUGCCACCACGUCGUGGCUCACUCUAGAUAAAACACACACGAAUCCUUAAUCCACCUGUAACGACCCAAAAUUUAAGACCAAAAAUUUCAUUUUUAUAAUAAUAAAACCAUCAUCCAAAAUGUUUCAUAAAAUCCAUAAUGAAAUCAUAGUAUAUCAAUAAUCAUCUAGUUACAUCUGCGACAUCCCCAUUUUCACGGCCAGAAAAAACCGAUUUUGUUUAUGCUUUAUAAAAAAUCAGAGUACCUAUUUUAAUAAAAAUGUUGUGGAAUUUGUUCAUAGUAAAACAUGAUAAAUACAUUAUCAAAGCAUUUAUGAAGAAAAGUAUUUUUUUUAUUCAUUUAAAACAUUUGGGAUGUCAUCGUCAAUACAGAAACAUAAGCAUAAACAUAACUUACAUUUAUUUACACUAGUGAUCUACAUCUCUUAUAAAUCUCUUAGUGUAAAGUAGCUUCGUAUCGACACCUGUGAUACAAAUAAACUGAGUGGGUCAGGUUGGGAAACCUGGUGAGUACAUAGGGUUUUCAACCCAUAAUAAUAUAAUUAUUAUGUUUAAUCAUCAAACACUUAACCCAAUUACCCAUCCCCAUUAUCUUCUUUAAUCUUAAGGAUCUACCCUAAGAAUCAACUAUUUCUCGUUCAUUCAUUCCUAAGGAUUUUCAUAAGGAAUAGGUACGAAGUCCAUCGUUGUCAAUGACACAGCUGUCAAGCACAGCUGCUAGUUCUAUCACUUAGGCGGACCUGCCAUAGUUGUGACAUUCUAUAUGAGGCGCUUCUGUCGGUAUUGUCCUUUAAACGCUACUGUCAAGGUUAUAAUGUUCUCUAUUAGGCGCAGCUGCUGAUAUUAUCCUUAGAGCGUAGCUGCUAGGAUGUUUAUCGUAGAUCAACAACAUCUACAGGUUGUGGCGCAACUGCUAGUGCUCAUCUAUAGGGUACUAGGUCCAUUGUUGCCAAUGUUCACCUAUAAGGCACUAGGUCCAUCCCACUAAUAUUCCUCUAUUUCAGCUUUCAUCCCUCGUCCUUCAUCUACCCAUGUUUUUCCCAACAUAUUUUAUAGAUAUAAAAAUACGUAUACAGUUUAAAACAUUUAAAACAUGUAUAAAAAUCUCUCACCCAACAUAGACAACAAGUAUUCAGACAAUAUGCACACAUAGCACGUAAUUUAUAUUAAAUACUUCAUAUCUAUGUGUAAGAUGAAAGUAACUAUGCACUCACCUGGGAAGGUGGUGACUCGGAACUCGGACAGCACUUCGUUACUCUUAAAACAAUUAUCCCUUGAAGAAACCUAGUAUCAUUACCACUAGAGUUUAGUCUAACAUUUGACGAGACUAAUUUAAUAGUCUAGCUAUUAUUAUUAUUAUUAUUAUAUAAGCGUUAAACAAUACUUAUAUAACCCAUAAUAAUAGCCCAAAUACUCCUUAUAAGGUCCUAAUAACAUUACUAUAUUGAAACAUAAGCUAUACUAAAGAUAUGAUAGGUACAACUCACUUAUAGCGGGUUUCCUUGGAAACCGGGCUCCAUCGGAGCAGAGAUUCUGAGCCGAAAGGCUCUUUUCUCGAGGCUUCAGGAGCCUCGGGGCUUCCUUCAGGUGCUAGGGGCUUACCUAGAAUUUAGGGGGGUUUGGGGCUUUAGAGAGAGAAAGAAGGGUUUGAAGGUGUGAGGAAGUGAGGGAAGCCAAAACCUCUAUUUAUAGGGGUUCUGACUGUUGGAAUCACCGAGUAGGAGGACCUACUCUCCAAGUUGGGGCAUGUGGCAGCCUUCUGGUGGUGCAACGUCACCCCUAUCGCGUAUCAGCCUUCAAACUUAGAAAAAUCAUAACUCUCGCAUACGAGCUCCGUUUUCAAUGUUCUUAUUUUCAACGCGUAGGUAAAAUCAAGAUCUACCACUUUCAUUUAGACUCCGUCGGCUAAUUCUCGACCGAUCUCAAAUUUAACAGUAGGAGGCGUUUAGACUGUUAAAUGAGCGCGAAGAAUUCGUAACUCCUUCAUACGGACUUCGUUUUCGUCUAUCUUUUUACCGUUGAGUUCCUAUUAAUGAGAUCUUCAACUCUCAUUUAGGUCGUGUAAACCAAAAACCGCUCGAACUAAAAAUCGAGUUUUGGGUCGUGCACUGCUAAGCCAAAUCGUAGAAAAUUCAUAACUUCCUCAUACGAAAUCAGAUUUGGGCAUUCUUUUUUUGUAUGUUCUCGUUUUGACAUAUACUACAACUCUAGUUUAGAUUGAUAAGGCUAAAAGUUGCUCCAUCGUAUAUUUACAAUUUACGCUUCCCGGUGUCGUGCCGGUUUUGCCAUAAAACUUCGACGAGCCAUUACUUCAUCGUUAUAACUCGGAUUUUGACGUUUUUUAUAUGUACGGAAACCUUGAGACAUAUUCUACAACCUGGUUAAGGCUAUUUAUUAUAAAUAAUCUUUUGCCGAAAAGUCAUUUUCGACACUUAUUGUCUCUAAAUUGACUAGCCCGGAUCUACGGGCGUUACAAUUAUCUCCCCCCUUAGGAUGAUUACAUCCCGGAAUCAUCAACGAACAGGGCUCACAUGAUGACUCCAUACGUUAUCUCUUCAUCCUAGGUAAUAAUUGUAACUUUCUAUGUUUCAUCGAAUGCGUAUCUAACUCCUGGUCUUCUUGACUGCAAGCGGUGCUUGAUCUUGCACACGUUCUCUAUGUCUUGUUACACUUUCAAUCAUGACCUUCAUGUCACAAACUUGCUCUUUAUCGGAGACUCCUUCUUAUUGUUAACAAACUUAAGAUAAGAUUCUUCUAUUACUACAAUGGAUCGAUGUGUCAUAUUCUAAUGACUUAUCAUCGCAUAUUGCAAAGCUUAGACUCAGGUCUCUUAGAGUCAAAUUCCAGAACAGACUAUACCUUCCUUCAUGUUCUAAAUCACAUCUUAAAAAGGUAGCAUUUCUAGCUACAAGCAACUAUCGCGAUACCUCUACCGAUUUCUUUGAUUAUCUUUUAUUUCAAUCUUCCGGAUUAAGUUAAAUGCUACAUCAAACUUGGUUCUCUGAACCACGUAACAUACUUAUCAUAGUUGGAAUCAAUUCGAUAUGACCACUAGGGUCAGAAUAACAAUCAUCCUCUUAGUCAUUACCGAAAUGAUGGUAACGACAUAUUUCAAUAAAACGGUAUUAAUUACUAGCUUCUUGGUAACCUUGUGACUUUCCCUGAUCUAAGCGUGAGUCCUGUGCUUCUGGUAGUAUAGGGCUCUACUACCAUUCACACCUACUCAUACUCGUCCCAAGUAUUAUCUCGCAGUUUUCAAAGUCACCAUACAAGAAAAUCACAUAAAAACUUAACACAUCAAAUAUCAAAACUAAGGUUUUAUAUUAUUCCUUGAAACGAUUACAUGGGUGUUCAAGUUCACCCUAGAUUAUGCCUCUAAUAGGCUACACCAUAUACACUAUCUACAUGGCUUCUUCAUAACUUGAUCUCCAUAUAUCCAUCCUCACUCCUGAUUCCUUGCACCGUCAGCUGCUUCGUCAAGGAUCAUUUGAAAUGCUCUCGCCUUUGGCUUUGGCGACACAUUUGGCUUUGUGGCCCCCUCUCUCUUUGGGUAGUCUUGCUUGAAGUGCCCUUCCUCGUUACAUUCGUAACACACCCUUUUGUUGAAUGUACACUCGUUGGCAUAAUGGCCAUGCUUCCCACACUUGAAACAAGUCACCUCCUCACCGCAUUUUCCAGAGUGUUUCUUUUUUCACUUCUCGCACCAUCUUUCUUCAUUCCCUCCUCCUCUAAACUUCCUUGUACUGGAUUUGCUUCUCUCAUCGGGCUUUGCAGACCCCUCAAACUUCCUCUUUUUGCUAACCUCGGUCUUUUUGGCGGCUCUUCCAUUGAUCAUCUCCUCAACCGACUUGGCAGCCCAGAUAGUUGCCUCCAAAGAGGUGCCGAACGCAAUGGCACCGCGUACUCCCAUGGAAGCCCUUUUGCGUACUUGUCAAUUUUCGUCAGCUCAUCUGGAACAAGACAUAAGGCGAACUCCAUCUUCUCUGUGAAGUUGUUGGUGUAUUCAUCAAUAGACAUGCUUCCUUUCUUCAAGGUAAGGAAUUGGUUUUCUAGCUCAAGCAAAUUUUAGGCUGAGCAGUACCUACGUUUGAACUGCACCAAAAACUCUGCCCACGUCAGUUGUAGGGGCUCAUUGGGGCUUAGAGUCUUCCCCAGAGUGUUCCACCAACGAACCGCGCCUCCUCUAAACUAGCGUACCACAAACGUGGUUUGUAGUUUGCCUCUUCAACCACACGUCAUGAAAGCUAACUCCAUCUCCAAGAUCCAAUCCAUGACCCCGAUCGGAUCUUCCUUUCCAGUGAAAGUCGAUGGCUUGCAAGUCAGAAAAUCCUUGUACUUGCAUCCAUUCCUCUCGACUCCGUCAUCUUGGUUGUUUUGUCGAACUAUUGGUGGGUUGACUUGACCAACAGUCCCACUGUAGUUUCCUUCCUCAGUCUGCCCUUCGUUCAACUUNAUCGCUUCCUCUCGAUUUUGUUGGAUCAAACAUCUGGUUUCCUCCAUUUGACGAUCCAACAUCGCCUGGAUCAUCGCUUGCACUCCGGCCAUCGUUAUUGGCUCAGCAGCGGCCACCNNNNNNNNNNNNNNNNNNNNNNNNNNNNNNNNNNNNNNNNNNNNNNNNNNNNNNNNNNNNNNNNNNNNNNNNNNNNNNNNNNNNNNNNNNNNNNNNNNNNNNNNNNNNNNNNNNNNNNNNNNNNNNNNNNNNNNNNNNNNNNNNNNNNNNNNNNNNNNNNNNNNNNNNNNNNNNNNNNNNNNNNNNNNNNNNNNNNNNNNNNNNNNNNNNNNNNNNNNNNNNNNNNNNNNNNNNNNNNNNNNNNNNNNNNNNNNNNNNNNNNNNNNNNNNNNNNNNNNNNNNNNNNNNNNNNNNNNNNNNNNNNNNNNNNNNNNNNNNNNNNNNNNNNNNNNNNNNNNNNNNNNNNNNNNNNNNNNNNNNNNNNNNNNNNNNNNNNNNNNNNNNNNNNNNNNNNNNNNNNNNNNNNNNNNNNNNNNNNNNNNNNNNNNNNNNNNNNNNNNNNNNNNNNNNNNNNNNNNNNNNNNNNNNNNNNNNNNNNNNNNNNNNNNNNNNNNNNNNNNNNNNNNNNNNNNNNNNNNNNNNNNNNNNNNNNNNNNNNNNNNNNNNNNNNNNNNNNNNNNNNNNNNNNNNNNNNNNNNNNNNNNNNNNNNNNNNNNNNNNNNNNNNNNNNNNNNNNNNNNNNNNNNNNNNNNNNNNNNNNNNNNNNNNNNNNNNNNNNNNNNNNNNNNNNNNNNNNNNNNNNNNNNNNNNNNNNNNNNNNNNNNNNNNNNNNNNNNNNNNNNNNNNNNNNNNNNNNNNNNNNNNNNNNNNNNNNNNNNNNNNNNNNNNNNNNNNNNNNNNNNNNNNNNNNNNNNNNNNNNNNNNNNNNNNNNNNNNNNNNNNNNNNNNNNNNNNNNNNNNNNNNNNNNNNNNNNNNNNNNNNNNNNNNNNNNNNNNNNNNNNNNNNNNNNNNNNNNNNNNNNNNNNNNNNNNNNNNNNNNNNNNNNNNNNNNNNNNNNNNNNNNNNNNNNNNNNNNNNNNNNNNNNNNNNNNNNNNNNNNNNNNNNNNNNNNNNNNNNNNNNNNNNNNNNNNNNNNNNNNNNNNNNNNNNNNNNNNNNNNNNNNNNNNNNNNNNNNNNNNNNNNNNNNNNNNNNNNNNNNNNNNNNNNNNNNNNNNNNNNNNNNNNNNNNNNNNNNNNNNNNNNNNNNNNNNNNNNNNNNNNNNNNNNNNNNNNNNNNNNNNNNNNNNNNNNNNNNNNNNNNNNNNNNNNNNNNNNNNNNNNNNNNNNNNNNNNNNNNNNNNNNNNNNNNNNNNNNNNNNNNNNNNNNNNNNNNNNNNNNNNNNNNNNNNNNNNNNNNNNNNNNNNNNNNNNNNNNNNNNNNNNNNNNNNNNNNNNNNNNNNNNNNNNNNNNNNNNNNNNNNNNNNNNNNNNNNNNNNNNNNNNNNNNNNNNNNNNNNNNNNNNNNNNNNNNNNNNNNNNNNNNNNNNNNNNNNNNNNNNNNNNNNNNNNNNNNNNNNNNNNNNNNNNNNNNNNNNUAUUAUUAUUAUUAUAUAAGCAUUAAACAAUACUUAUAUAACCCAUAAUAAUAGCCCAAAUACUCCUUAUAAGGUCCUAAUAACAUUACUAUAUUGAAACAUAAGCUAUACUAAAGAUAGGAUAGGUACAACUCACUUAUAGCGGGUUUCCUUGGAAACCGGGCUCCGCCGGAGCAGAGUUUCUGAGCCGAAAGGCUCUUUUCUCGAGGCUUUGGGAGCCUCGGGGCUUCCUUUGGGUGCUAGGGGGUUUACCUAGACUUUAGGGGGGUGGGUGGGGCUUUAGAGAGAGAAACUAGAGAGAGAAAGAAGGGUUUGAAGGUGUGAGGAAGUGAGGGAACCUGGCAUCUCUAUUUAUUGGGGUGCUGACUGAUGGACUCGCCGAGUUGGGGCAUGUGGCAGCCUUCUGGUGGUGCCACAUGUCCAAUUCUGGUGGUGCCACGUCACCCCCUAUUGCGUAUCAGCCAUCAAACUUAGAAAAAUCAUAACUCUCGCAUACGAGCUCCGUUUUCGACGUUCUUUUCGUCAAUGCGUAGGUAAAAUCAAGAUCUACAACUUUCAUUUAGACUCCGUCGGCUAAUUCUCGACUGAUCUCAAAUUUAACAGUAGGAGGCGUUUAGAUUGUUAAAUGACCGCGAAGAAUUCGUAACUCCUUCAUAUAGACUCCGUUUUCGUUUAUCUUUUUACCGUUGAGUUCCUAUUAAUGAGAUCUUCAAGUCUCAUUUAGGCCGCAUAAGCCAAAAACCGCUCGAAGCCAAAUCUUAGAAAAUUCAUAACUUCCUCACACGAAGUCAGAUUUGGGCGUUCUUUUUUUGUAUGUUCUCGGUUUAACAUAUACUACAACUUUUGUUUAGAUUUCUAAGGCUAAAAGUCGCUCCAUCGUAAAUUUACUAUUUACGCUUUCUGGUGUCGUGUCGGUUUUGUCGUAAAACUUCGACGGGCCAUAACUUCUUCGUUAUAACUCGGAUUUCGACAUUCUUUAUAUGUACGGAAACAUUGAGACAUAUUCUACAACUUGGUUAAGACUAUUUAUUAUAAAUAGUCUUUUGCCGAAAAGUCAUUUUCGACACUUAUUGUCUCUAAAUUGACUAGCCCGGAUCUACGGGUGUUACAACAUCCAAGUCAAAUAAAAAGCAGAACAAUGUAGUGUGUGUGAUGAGAUCAUCCCGAGCAUUUCCCCUUCGAUCCGGAAGUACCUAUAACAUAAAUAGAAAACCGUAAGCAAGAAGCUUAGUUAGUUCCCCAAAAUACCUCAUAUCAUACAUAUUAAACAUACAAUGGGCCAUGCCCAACAGCCAUCGGGCCCCUCCCGGCAUCGAGCCCCGCUCGGAACAGAUCUGUCAAUAAUAUGUGAUGGGCCCCGCCUCAUCACAUUCAUCAGUCUCCGCCGGAUANNNNAUAUAUAUAUAUAUAGAUGAUGAGUUUUACAUGCACUAACGUAGAUAAAUCCUUAACUCUUAAGGGUACAUGCAACCUAAGGAUGUAUAUCAUAACACUAUUGAAGUAAUAUUCUAUUAAACAACAAAAACUAUAAACCUUCUUGAAAAACUCUUGGAGGCAAGCACCACAAGUUUCGUGCCUGUAAUGGUUCACACCCAAACCUUAGAAAUAAAUGAGCUUGAAGAUAGAGAGGUAAGAUGUCAAAAUUUUGGCCUAGCCCUCUAAAAGAAUGAGUGGUCGAAAUUAUGAGGCUAAGGGUCCUUUUAUAGUCUAACACAAAAACCCUAGAUAAGUCCCAAACAAUAAAAGAACAUUAUCUUAUUUUUGGUAAUUAUGUAGCUUCCUAAUUAUCUUCCAAGGAUAAUUCUAGAUCUUCUAGAUCCCUAUUAAAACCAUCCAAGGCAUAGGAGGAUGCUAGAAUGUCUCUUGCUCAAUUACUGAAUAUUUACACUUUAGUCCAUGCACUUUUAAUUAGAUAUAUUAAUCCAAAAUUAAUUUUAAUUAAUUUCUGAUUAAUUAUUAUUUAAAUAAUAUUAUUUAUAAUUAAUAUAUGUUCUCAUAAUAUAAUAAAAAACUAUUUAUUUUGAUUUACAAUUAAUAUAUUAACCAUAUAAUAAAUUAAUAAAUCAGUCUCUCUCUCUAAAAGUUAUCCUAUUCAAUUGCUAGGUUUGAGGGCAACCCAAAAGGACUGUGUUACCAUCAAUUCAACUUUAUACCAAUUAUAGUUAUCGGCUUAGACACCCAAUCUAAUAGCUCCCACUUGGAUAAGUAUGUAACUAUAAUUGCCAAUAUAACUUCCAAACUGUUUAGCAAAUUGUAGCUUCCAAUAGCCGCUGUCGAAAUCUGACCAAGUCAGUCAUGUGUCCUAAGAUAAGUGAUCAAAUAUCCAUCUGAUCUACAAGAUAUCAUACAUACAUGAGACAUGGAUUAUAGUCAAUCUCAUUAUCCAAGUUUUAUUUCCCGAUUUCUAAUGUAUGAUGACCACAUAAGUGCAACACCCUGUUUCGGGUCGUUUCCUAAUUCGGGACCGUGAAAGGAAGAUCAAGUAUGACAAGGCUUUAGGAUUUGGUAAUAAGAGGUUUAGACCCAUUUGGAUGUGGGUAAUGUAGAUUCUGUGAUCCAAGAGUUCAAUUUAUGCGUUGGAGUCAAAUGGUGAAAUGGGAAGUAGUGUUUCAGACUUUUUUUUUUAUGAAUUAUGGAUUUUAGUUCGAACUGUUUUAAGUCAAAAUAAUUAGAUAAGGUUGUAGAUCUCCUCAAUACCUUUAUGUGGAUAUAAAGAUCAUCGAAAUCAGAGUUGAAACGAAGAAGUUAUGACUGUUUGAAGUUUGGGUGGUUUUGGGCCAAGCUGAGUACGUUGGGCGUACAAGGAGGUGUAUGCUAGGCAUACUAAGGGAAUCUUAAGUAUGUUGGGUGUACCAGGAGUACGUUGGGCGUAUGCAAUCAGUGCCCAAACUCUAUUUUCGUGGUUUGAGCCCUAUUUAAGCUCCUUAACUCCCCCAAGCCAUUCCAUUCUCAUCCCCCACCCCUCCAACACCCCUUUCAUGAAACCCUAACCCUAGAUGAGCCUUGUGAGCUAAAAGAACGUGUUUUUGAGUGCUUUGAAGUAUGCAUGGUGCACCUUGGAGAAGAAGGAACUUGUUGGAGAAGUGUUGGUUGCUUUGGAGCUUGUAGAUUUGGACUUUGUUCACCUUGAUCUAUCUUUUAGAGGUAUAAAGUUUGAAUCUUAAUGAUGCAGUUGUUAGAUCAAGCUAGUUUUGGAUGUUAUGAGCUUUUGGUCAUUUUAGUGGAUUUAGAUCUUGAAAGUUUGUAACCUUUUUAUGGAUAAAGUUGGAAACUUUAUCCAUCUAAACAUCAUUAUGAUUCAGAUCUAAAGGUUGGAGACUUGGACUUAGUGUAUUAAGUUGAAAAGGAUGCACUUUUGGUCCCUUUGAUGCUUAAAGGCAAGAUCUUGGUGGUUUGGAUCAUUCUAAUAGAUAAAGUUGGAAACUUUAUCUAUUAUGGAGCUUUUAGGAUCCAUAAAAAUAUGAUCUUGAUCCUUCUAUACCUUCCAUGAAAGUGUUGUUGGAUUAGGUGUCUAAGCCCAUAACUAUUUUGGUAUGUACUUGACCCGAUUAUGUGUAUGGUCCUUUUGGGUUGCCUUUACUCAUGCAACUUGAUAGGAUGACAAGAGGAGAGAGAGAGAGAGUAGAAUUUAUUAUAUGAAUAAUAAAUUGGUACUCGAAAAUGGUUUUAUUAAUAUAUUACAAGUUUAAUAUAUUAUUUUGAAAUAAUAUUAUUUAAUUAGUAUUUAUCAGAAAUUAAUUUGGUAUUAAUUUUUUGAUCAAAAGAGAUUGAUUAAAUAAAGGGGACUGAUAUUGCAAUUAACUGUUAGUUGCUAGUUGGGUUGAUGGACUCAUAGAGUGGAGUGGACGAAAUUUAUGGGGAAGCCCAUAAGAUUUCGUCCAAGGGCUCUAAGGAAGGAAUCCAUGGGCUGCUUAGGCCUUAAGCAGGAAUUAGGGUUUCCUUCAGAAACCCUAGCAGCCCACACAACUAUAUAAGGAACCCUUUACAUAGGAUUUUCGGCCCCCAUGAGUUGUAUGAGAAACCCUAGCCGAAAUCCUUCCCUCUCCAAGUCAUCUUGUUGCAUUGAGUGUUUGUGAUUCCAUUAGAGGUGCAGCAUUUGAGGCACUAGGAUUUUAGAAGUCAAGAUCAAGAAGGAUUGCGAUUGUUAUUGCUACAUAACAAUCAAGGUAAUGUUUAUAACCCUAAUCAUCAUAUGUCAAUUUCGAAUUAUAUGCUAGUUCAUAGGGUUUAUUGCUUUGGUAUUCAAUGUUGUAUGUUCAAAUUAGAAAAACCUAGAUCAAAGCAAUUAGGGUUUCAUGAACACCAUAGGAAUGAUGUUAUGCUCAUAACCCAUCAGUGGUAUCAGAGAAUGGUUGCUUUUCUAGUUGAAUAGAUGCAAAAGUGAACUGCCAAAGGAUCAAAAAGUUGAAUUUUUGUUGUCUGCGACGCUGACUUGGUGAGUCCAUUAGUGGACUCGACAAGUCGCCUGAACUUGGCGAGUCCAUCAGUAGAAUCAGCGAGUCCAGGGUGCUAUUGCCGAGAUUUUCGAUUUUUUGAGCAGAUUUUGUUAAGAAUAAUGACCAAAACUCGUUUUUAUUGCCUAAAAUCGAUUUUUUAUGUUUGGAAUGCUUAUCCUUAUCAAAAUUAAUGGAUUUGGUUCAAUAUGGAUAAUAUAGGAUUAUUAUGAGUCAAAUAUUUGACCUAGUAAGUUUGAAAAGUUUCAAUUUACACCCUUUAGGUUUUAUAGUUUAAAUUUGAACUUAAGGGUUUUAGUUUUUGAAAUUUAUAUAGUUAAGCCCUAAUGUUUUGAAAGGUUUCAAAAUAUGUCCUCGAGUUUUGGAAUUUAAAAUUUAAUUAAAAAGUUUUUAAUAUUGAAAUAUUAAAUUCUAAAACCCUAGUAUUUUGAAAAGGUUUAAAUUACACCCUUAUGGCUUUAUUAAUUAAUUAAGUUUAUAAUUAAAAGAGAGUUAAUAAAUCCAUAAUGAUAUGGUUUAAGUUUAAUUAAAUCUAAAGUAUAAUUUAUUAAAUUAGACCACCUAGUAUUUUAAAAGUGUGAAAUACAUCCAUAUACUAUUAUAUAAAAUUAAAAGUCUAAUAUUAUAUAUGUAUGAGUAAAGAGUCAAUAUUACCGUUAGUAGGCCUCAUUCACGAAGCUGGUGUAUUAGGGGUGUUUAAGGAAAUUGCCUAUAAAAUGGCGAUUGAAUAGAUAUCCACUCUUACCCACCGCACUCUUUACUAGUGGAGGGUCGUUAGCCGACCGGGUAGGAUAGGACACAACCUUCCAUUAUAAGUAUAAUGAAAUACAAAGUAACUAAACACUUUUAUAAUUUCCCAAAUCUUAGUUACUUUAGGAAAAAUGUGGAGUUGGUGCUAAUCCACACAAUGCACCUUGUUGGUCGUUAGUGGAGCGUUUGUGGUUAACCAGCACACUAAUAUGGGACUAAUGAAGGAUGUCAAUGGGUAGCUCGUAGAUUAUCAUAGAUCAAUGGAGAGUGUGUGGUUAACCGGCACAUUGAUUAGGUGAUAGAUAUCUUCGAGAGUACCAAGCUAAUUUGCAUGGUUAUCCACAUCUUGUUUGUGAUCCUCGGCAUCCCAGUCACAAACUUGAAGGGUAUAAUCGAGAUUGAACAUGCCAUUGAAAAGUUCAAUGAAUCUCAAAAGAUCUAGGAGUUUCAAUUCAUUUAAAACUUAAGUUUCCCUUUUGUUUUUCAUGGUGGAAAUUGGAAAAUCGUCAUUUACCUACCUUCAAAUAUUCUACAACUAGAUUACGACAUCCCUCUUCCGAGUUGUAGAAUAUUGUGUUGGGUCCUAGCCUUAAUAUCUCAUUUGAGUGUUUUAUUAAGGACUCAAUCAACUAAUUUGAAUAUCUCCCGUUUUGUAGAUAUCAAAGUCUAUCAAUUAUGAUCUUCCUGAAUCCGUUGGAAAAAGUUUUCUGCUUGAAGAUGAUGUUCCACGAUUAGAUUGUGGAAAUGGAAAUCAUUCUUCACUUCCUCCACCUCCUCCAAUAAUUCUCCCUGACCCACGUGUUCGAAGACUUGAAAAGUUCAAGGUCACUCAAGCCCUGUUGGCAAACAAACACGAAGAUGGAAAGUCUGUAUGUGCUCAUAUCUUGGAUAUGAAGUUACAUAUUGAUAGAUUGGGAAUGUUGGGUGUCGAUGUCUCAAGGAAGUUGGUUGUUGUCUUGGUUCUUCAAUCACUUCCCGAAUCAUGUAGUGACUUCAUUAGAGAGUACUAUGUGGUGGACCACGACGUGACCCUCAUUGAUUUAACUUAUUUGCUUAUUGCUGCUGAAUCAGAAAAUGAUUUGGCGCACUGGUCGAGCAAAUUUUUCUGAGAAAUCAAUAUCCCAACCUUCUAUGGGAAAUGACAAUAUUGGAGGUCCAGAAAUUUUUUAUCUAUGCAAGAGAAAGGCCGAGUUGGAGAUAGUCCCGUGUACCAUUCUAGAAGAAUCCAUAUGUUUCUACUGCCAAAAGAAGAGGCAUUGGUUACGAAGCUACCCUAACUAACUGAGAGAUCUAAGAGAUAGGAGAGUCAAGAUGUAUGACUCUGCUACGGGUUCAUGGCUAACCCCGUGAUCUAUCAAGGUCUGCACUAGACGCUUGGCACUAUUGAAUGUGAGUGGUUUAGCAGCUAAGACAUUCCCUUGAGUUGGGAGUGUCAAUCCCCAUAUGUAUCACUCAACUUUCUUGCUUUCCGGGGUGACCAUCCCGGGACACAGAAGAGCCAGGUCGCUGAAACUAGCAGUGUAUGCAGCGACGUCAGAACCUUUCAUCUUCAGUUUCCAAAGCUCUUGCUCCAGCUUUUGCAUCUUGCCCUACGGGUAGUAUUCAGCAAGCAUUAGUUCCUUCAAAUCCUCCCAACUCAUUGUAUCCAGAUUUGAAUUGGCUGUUCCACCAAGUUAGUGCUCUGUGAGUGAAGGUGCAGGCUGCAAACUUCAAUUUGCUUUUCGCGAGGCAAGCACAGAUCUCGAAGAUUGAUUCGGUCUUUUCGAACCAACGAGUUAGUGCAAUGACUCCUCCGGUGCCAUCGAAGGAUCAAUGUUUGGCGUUUGUGAAGUCCUUAUAUGAACACUCAUUCGUGCGUCCAUGACUGUCACCGAGGUUAGAGGGGUUGGCACCACUACCCGCCCUGUUAGUGCCAAUUGCGUUAAUUUGUGACAUUACAGCAGCCACGACGGCUGUAACUGCUUCCUAGAAAACAGUAAGGUCAUAUUGAGGAGGUGGCGGUGGUGGGUUUGUUAGAGGAUUGUUGUCCUUUCGAUUGGACUUCUUCAGAGGCAUCUUUCUAUAGAAUAAUUCAAGAGAAAAAUGAAGAUAAGUCCAUUAUAGCAGUUAUGAGUUAGGUAAUAUUGAACAAGAUAUAUCUCAGCCUGACAGUUAGAGUGUUCUAUUAAGCGAUUUACAGUGGAAGUCUACUAAUAAAAGUAAACAAUCGCCGAGAAAGUAAUAUAAAAACUUAAAAUGAAAUCUGUACAAUGUGUUUGGCUCUAGUAUCGAAGAGCUAUAAAAUACUCCUAUGGUAUUUUAGUUUGUAUGUUCUAUUCUAGUGUUUCUCUUGUAUAGAGUUUGGUAAGUUUUAGACUUGCUACAACACCACAAUCACUCCCAAACACAUGUUGGUCGUAUCUCAAAUAAAUAUAGUUGAUCAGGCUAUAUUGAUCCCAGAUAUGAUUACAUAACUAUCCAGGUUUAACCAUAGUGUCCAUCAUCUAAAUACUUUUGUUUUGUUCUCCAUGUGAUACUGUUUCUGGUAUGUAUGUAUGUUUGUAUAAUUAUUAUAAGAUACUUAGAUUUUAAAAGUAUACCUUUAGUUCAGAGUGCUACAUCCCCCAUUGUGUUUAUAUUUGUAUAUCUUGUAAGGUUUGAUAUACUUAGUUCACUAUAAACAAUGCUCUGAUACCAAUCUGUCACACCCCCAAACCGGAACGGUGAAAACGUUCGGGGGUGGAUGACGUCAUGUAUAGUAUCACAAUAAUUGUAUAAUAAUAAUCAAAGCAAUCACAACCAUUACAUUCAUAAGUAUUGUAUUUACAUCUGUUCAUAAAGUAGUUUGUAUGACAAUAAAAUUGUAUAACAAAAGAAUAAAAGACGAGACUCUAUAACGCUCUGUCUUCUCAAAAUCAGUGGGUGUACCUGUCUACAUGUUCCUUAGGAAUACAAGUGGUUUUGAAAGUGUAUCAAUAUUUAAGUUGGUGAGUUCAUAAGUAUGCUUUUGUAAUGAAAACAUGUCUAUGAAUCCAUAAAAAGUGUAUCAAUAUUUAAGUUGGUGGGUCCAUGGAAUCCUCCAAUGUAGUGUAUAGUAGUUCUAUUAAUUAACAUAAAACUAUUUGAAGAAUUGAAAUCCUGUAAACAUAUGGUUAGUUUAUAUUGUUGUUAGUUUGGUAUAACCAUGCUUGAUGUGACCUAGUGACCUCUACGACGUUCUUCAGGCGUCGGGUGUUAUGACAUUUGUCAUCCCAGGCAUGCCUGCCUAAUUGUAGCUAGCAGUUCAGGUGUGGGAUUGUCAGUCCCGUAUAGAUCUAUACACAAAUUUCACGCUCUUUCUCCAGGAGACUCUGGUUAUACUGUAGUAGGAUUUAGUUCCGUACCCCCGGAGGGUACAAUUGAAGUAGUGCCUCACAACCCUGUAUUAACUAGUUUACGUGUGCUUUUGUAUUGUUCUCUUGUACUUGAAACUGUAUGUAUGACUUGUAGAGUAAAAUAAUUAUACUUAAAUAAUUAUUUAGUAUUGUACUCUUGUAUUCGGAAAAUAGUAUUGUAUACAAUAAACUAUAUCUACCAUAGUUUAUUUGUUCGUUACUGUGUAAGGCUCUUUAAUUAGUAAAACUGUAUAUUGAAUUCCCAAACUAUACAUAUUAUAGGUUUGUAUGUAUGUUCUUGUUCAUGUAUUGAGAUCUGUAUAAGUUCUGAAUGUUUCCAAACUAUAUCGUCUAUAGUUUGAUUGUAUGUUAUGUAUUGUACUGAAAAACUUUUCAGUUUUAGUUGUAUGUUGAAAACUACCCUCAUGCUCAGCAUGUUACAUAAGAGUUUAAAAUAUUUGAAUAUUUUUAUAAAAUGUAGUGAUUUCUCGGUUUGUAUCGAUUGCAAAAGUUUGUAAAUCUGUUUGAAAUUUUUGUAUAAAAACACAAAAAUUGUUGUGUUUUACUUGUAUUCCCCCUGGAUACAUUAAAAAAAGUGAAAAUGUAGGGGUAUGAACUCACAGUUAGUGUGUGCUUGCAGUAGGACAGCGGACUGCAAAGAUGACCCUCGAGUUGUUGUACGCGAAAUUAACGAAAUCCUAAUGAUGAUUAAACACAUAAUUGUAUUUAAAUUAACGAAACCAUUAAUUUAAAGUGUUAGAAAACACUUGUCUUUAUGUUAGGAAUAGUUACCGAAAAUGAUGUAAGUGUCAAAGGGGUUUUCGGUUCCAAUGGUGUUCACGGCCGAACACGGGUUUGCGACCAAAAUCGUGUUCUCGGUUCUGCUGAUUUUUUCGGUCCUUUGAAGAUAUGAAGGCUGUUCUUGGUGUUCUUGGUGAAGAAUAUGAAGAUUUAAAGGAUUGUUCUUGAAGAUAUGAAUGUUCUUGAGAGAUCCUUAGGAGCAAAUUAAGAGAGUUUUAGGGUAAGAAUGUGAAGAAAUGAACAAGUUUUCGGGUGAAAAACCUUUAUAUCGAUUGGGUUUUCGGCCGGAGAUGGGUUCUCAGCCCGAGGGUUUUCGGCCUAAAACGAGGAGCUGAACGAGUUUUUGCCGAUUUUCGAGGAAAAACUUGAUUUUUCGAGUGAUUUUGGUCCCGACACUUAUAUAAAUUUUAUUUGUAUAAUUUAAAUUGUUUGCUAACCCUUACAAACUUAACACAAUAAAUAAAAUUGGAAAUUUUAUUUAAUGAAAUUGACUUUUGUUAACCGGAAAAGUAUUGGGUUGUCACACUUACUGCUAGAGCUUUGGCAUUUGAUGUUUAUUGAGUGUUGAUAAGGUUUAUAGGAUUCUAAGUUAUAUGGACUUACAUACACAACAAUAUGAAAUUCAAAUGUUUUACUCAUGUCAAUUAAUAUCUCUGUAUUAAUAAUAUUCAUUAAACGCCUUAAUGCGUAGAUUCUUGAAGAUUUUUGUUCCGAGUUACUCUAAGCUUGAUUACAUGGUUGCUUCUAUAGGCUACUUGAGAGGCUGAUACAUAAAAAUAUGUAACCACAACCAUCGCCGUAAACCACCAUCAUCCUCUUUUUAUCAUCCUUAACCCACCGCCCAUGCCAUAAGCGAGAACCUCAAUACCGAACACCUCCAACAUAAUGUAGAUCAGUAGCUAGGCACAUCCGAUAUCCACUGUGAAACACUACCUCCUUCUUCUCCGGACAUUUACUUGUUCAACAGCCUUUUCCCUCCAGUCGAACCUCCACCAACCGGAUUUCCGAGUCAAGAAUUGAAACAAGAAAAGAAGAGGGAGAAGAAAACGAGGCGCGUUCUACCUUUGUUUCAUCGACUGCACAAGUGAACGUAACAUUAGGGGAAAAAAAUUAUUCGAUUUUAGUGUGGGCUAAACAUAUUAAUUUGUGCUUAAUUUCUUAUGAGUUAAACAUUCAAUGGGCCAUGAGAGCUACAAUUACAAAAAGGUGUGGAAUUCAAAAUUAAAAAAGUUGGUCUAUGAUGACUAGGAGUCGGAUCAUAUUAAAAUAAUCAUAGAAAUCAUGAUGGUUUAUUAUUUACUUGCAAUGUGUAGAAAAUGUGGUCUGCAUGUUAAAUUACCCACAUGAUAUGUUAUAGACUUUGUAAACUUUCCAAUAAUUAAAAUUAUAUGUUAAACUCAUGUGUAUAUACGUUCCUUCAAGUCAUGUAUCUACAACUCAUGAGGCUAUCCCAUCAAAUCCAUUUCCUAUCUCUAGCUUCUUAUUUCCUUUGGGAAAUUUUACUGAAAGCUUAAACAAAAGAAAACAUUCAAUUGUGAUUAAAACAAAGGAAAGUGUUGUUUAACAACACACCUAACAAACGACAAGAAUAGAUUGUUUACAAGUACCAUAAUAUUUUUCGUAAUUGAUGAAUAUAGAUUUUUAAUAUUCGUUUAACAAAAAUAAAUGUAUGAAAAAAUCAUUUUCACAGAAAAACAACUUAAUUUUAUGUUUAAUAGAAAAUAGUCGGCAAAAGCAAAUUCAUCGUCCUUUUUUCAAAAUAGGUAUUUUUUUUCGAUAUUUGUUAGGGACAAUGCACUUAAAAGGUAACAUUAUUUAGAUUGUGUACACAUUUAGUUAUUGAUUUUAUUUUUAUACUCAUUUAGUCAUUUAUGUUUUUUGUACAUAUUUAAUUAUUUAUUUGAUAGGAAACUGUUAUGCCCCGCAUCUGCGUACCUAACUAUAAAUUAUUCGUCGAAAGGAAAUAUUCGACACAAAACAAUCCACCAAAAGACGAAUCACCUGACACGAAAAGGAAACUAAUUCCCACAUGAAAACUAUAUGUUGAAAGGAACUAUUUGACACACAACAAUCCUCCAAAAGGAUGAAACGCACUAACACGAAAAGGAAACCAAUUGCCGCAUGAAAACUAUCUGCAGAAAAAAACUAUCUCGUGCCGUCGCAUUGUGUGGAUAUCCUACUAGUAUAUAUNNNNNNNNNNNNNNNNNNNNNNNNNNNNNNNNNNNNNNNNNNNNNNNNNNNNNNNNNNNNNNNNNNNNNNNNUAACAAGGAUUCAAAGAACCAAUCGUGAGCGUCAUAAAUUAUAAUGAUCAAUGACUAAAGAAUACCAACUUUUAUGAUGGACGUACAUGCAUCAUAUUAUACCAAAAAACUCACUUCGUUUUACGUUUUUUAUGCCAUAUUUUUUUAUUGAAAAACGGUAUAUACCAAAAUUCAUAAUUUUUAUUCUCUUUCUUUAGAGAUUUAUACUGAUAUAUAAAAAAAUAAACUUUUUUUUUUCGAAAAAAAAACACACAUCGUUUGGUUGUUAUUUUUUUUCAAUAUUUAGGUUUAUUUAUUAUACAAAAAAAACUAAAUAUACCAAGCUUCUUGAAUUUUUGUCUUCUAUAAAUAGACAUCAUCAUCGGUAAAAAAAAAUUAAAAAUAAAUCAUAUUGAUCUGUUCAGAUUCACAGUAUGAUUUGAAUUUUGAACUGUAAAUAUUUUAGAUUUAACAGUCAUAAUGUGAAUAUGACUUACAAUUUUAACUCUUUGAUCAUUUAAUAAUAAAUUUAGUGAAAUUUACGUAUUAAUGAUUUGAUCACUCCUAAAUUAGUUUUAUAAAAUCAACAAGUAAAUUUAUCCACAUUGUGAAUCUGAACUGUCAGUUUUCAGAAUUUACAAAGUGAAUCUGACUUACUAAUAUUCACACAGUGAAUCUUAACCGAAAAUAAUUUAGUUUUUAAUACAUUCACAAUGUGAAUCUCAACAGAUUCACAAUGUGAAUCUCAAUAGAAUCAUAAGGUUUCACAAUGUGAAUUUAAGCUAAUUUCAAAGUAAAAAAAUAUUUUUUAUACUUCAAUAUGAAUGUCUAUUUCGAGAGUACACAAAUUUAUGAAUAUUGAUAUUUGUUUUAUUUUUUUUGACAAAAAAGAAACCUAAAUAUUAAAAAACAAAAAAAACAAAGUAAGUUUUUUCUUAAUCUAGAGUAAAUUACACGAAUGGUCCCUAUGGUUUGAGGUAAUUUGUAAGUUUGGUCCUGAACUUAUUUUUUUUAACUCGGAAGAUCCCUACUGUUUGUUUUUGUUACGCGCUUGGUCCCUACUGUUUGUUUUUAUUACGCAUUCGGUCACUGGCUUACAUAAAAAGACUAUUAUUUAAAUAAGGAAAAAUGACGGGGUAGGUAAGAUAAGGUAAGGGGAGUGGGGUUAAGGGUGUGUUUAUUUAAAUAAAUUAAAAAACCAAGGGCAAAAUAGUCUUUUUAGAAAAGACAGGGACCAAACACGCAACAAAAACAAACUAUAGGGAUCUUCCGAGUUAAAAAAAUAAGUUAGGGACCAAACACACAAAUUACCCUAAACCAUAAGGACCAUUCGUGUAAAUUACUCUAAUUAAUUUUGAAAAGUUCAUAAGUGAAUUUAUUCACAAUCUGAAUCUCAACUGCAUAUAAUUUAGUUUUGAGGAUUGUAAAUAUGACUUAUAAUUAUUCACACUGUAAAUAUAAACUGAAAGUAAUUCAGCUUUCAACAGAUUUACAAUGUGAAUCUAAGCUGAAAUUUUGAUUUUUUUACAUCAAUAUAAAUCUAUAUUUAAAGAGUGCUAAAAAAAUGAAUUUUGAUAUAUUUAAUAAUUUUAAUCGAUAAAAAUAAAUCUGAACUUUUCAGAAAACAAAGAAAACAAAGUGAAUUUUUUUAAAAAAAUAGUUCAUUUUUUUUUAUAUAUUAAUAUGAAUCUCUAUUGAAAUAUGAUGAAAAAUUAACAAUGGUNAGAGAGAGAGAGAGAGAGAGUUAGGUUCAUAUAUAAACCUUAAUUAUUGUGUGAAUGUGUGAGCCAAUGAGAAUUUAAAAAAACAAUAAAUGAUUAAUUAAAUAAGUAAAAGGUAAUUUUGGAAGUUUAAAUAUAAUUAUUUACUAACCAAAAAAUGAAGUCGUAUAUUUUCCUUAAAUCAUGGUUUCGGUUACAAGAAUGCAAGAAUACUAAUUACUUUUUUGUUAUUUAUUAACUACUGUUUUUGAUUGUAUAGACCAUGUUAAAUUAUUCUUCAAACCAUUUGCAGUUAAUUUUUUUUCUAGAAUGUUAAUAUUAUUCUUAAAGAAUAUUAGUUGUGGUCACUGUUAAUGGAUAUUGAUCCAAAAAAGUUGAAACAUAAAGAAUUUUAGGCCUUCUAUUUAUCAAGAAUUAUUGAAUUCUCAAAGAAUUUUUCAAUUAUAACAAAUUAAUUAUGUUAGAGGCUUUUUUAUUCAAACUAUUAUUUUCGAUAAUAUAUGUUGUACUAUACCAUAUUCUUAAAGAAUACACAAGCAAUAAUAAACAAAAUUGAAAUACAAUAACGAAGGUAGCACUUAUUCUAAAAGAAUAUACUCCAAUUGAUGGUAUUAAAAAAUUUAAUCAUGCUAAAUGAUGAAGUUAUUCUUAAAGAAUUUAAAUAUGCAGAAUAUAUUAUAUCGUAUUUUUAAAGAACGCACGGAUAAUAUUAAGCUUCUCUUUUUACAAAAAUUAAAUGUGGUUGCAAUCAGUUACAAAAAUUCAUUCAAUACAUUCCUUAUUGAGAAUUAAUCAAAAUAUAAAUUAUGUCUUUAUAAUAAUUAUUUUUAAUUUCUUAUUAAAAAGAAAUGUUUAUGUGUAUUGUGUUCAAUGUAAUUAUGGUAUACCAUAUAAUCUUAGCCAUAUACACAUCUAAAUCUAAUGGUCCAAAACUUGUCAUACACUCACACUCUAGAUCUAAGCUCUCAAGGCUUGAAUNGUAUAUAUAUAUAUAUAUAUAUAUAUAUAUAGGUUAAAACUUGUAAAAAAUUCAUUUAAUCACAACUAAAAUUUAUGAAAAAAAAAUCAUGCAUCACUACAAAUAAAUUUAUAUAUAGUGACACAAUUUUUUAGUGGCAUAAAAUUUUUGUGCCACGGUUUUUAGUGACACAAAAUUUGUGUGUUACUGUAUUACGGUUUUUAGUGACACAUAAAUUUUCAUUCCCGCUGCUUGCUAAAAUUUCACUCCCGUUUUUCUCAAAUUUUCAUUCCUGCUCACCCUAAAUAUCUUUUCAAACAUAAAACAGUGUCUGCUCACCCUAAAUAUCAUGAGGUUGGAGCUAUGAGACAGUGUGGAGGCAUCCUUCAGAAGGAGGCUAUAUCAAGUAACACCAACAUCAAACAGUGCCUCCAUAAGGUUGCAGAUGGUCAUUUUACCGCAGCAGUGAAAGUGUUAUGCUCAUCGGGUGUUGCACCAUAUAAUGGUGAUACUAUUAAAGCUUUGGAGGACAAACAUCCUUUCAGACCACCCCCAUCCAUGCCGAGCCAUAUAAUUUCUGAACCUCCCCUUGUAGCCGACUUUGAUUGUGUAUUUAGUUGCAUCAAAUCCUUCCCUAAAGGAACUUCUUGCGGGAGAGAUGGCUUGAGGGCUCAACACUUACUAGACGCCCUUUGUGGAGAAGGGUCUGCUAUUGCCANNNNNNNNNNNNNNNNNNNNNNNNNNNNNNNNNNNNNNNNNNNNNNNNNNNNNNNNNNNNNNNNNNNNNNNNNNNNNNNNNNNNNNNNNNNNNNNNNNNNNNNNNNNNNNNNNNNNNNNNNNNNNNNNNNNNNNNNNNNNNNNNNNNNNNNNNNNNNNNNNNNNNNNNNNNNNNNNNNNNNNNNNNNNNNNNNNNNNNNNNNNNNNNNNNNNNNNNNNNNNNNNNNNNNNNNNNNNNNNNNNNNNNNNNNNNNNNNNNNNNNNNNNNNNNNNNNNNNNNNNNNNNNNNNNNNNNNNNNNNNNNNNNNNNNNNNNNNNNNNNNNNNNNNNNNNNNNNNNNNNNNNNNNNNNNNNNNNNNNNNNNNNNNNNNNNNNNNNNNNNNNNNNNNNNNNNNNNNNNNNNNNNNNNNNNNNNNNNNNNNNNNNNNNNNNNNNNNNNNNNNNNNNNNNNNNNNNNNNNNNNNNNNNNNNNNNNNNNNNNNNNNNNNNNNNNNNNNNNNNNNNNNNNNNNNNNNNNNNNNNNNNNNNNNNNNNNNNNNNNNNNNNNNNNNNNNNNNNNNNNNNNNNNNNNNNNNNNNNNNNNNNNNNNNNNNNNNNNNNNNNNNNNNNNNNNNNNNNNNNNNNNNNNNNNNNNNNNNNNNNNNNNNNNNNNNNNNNNNNNNNNNNNNNNNNNNNNNNNNNNNNNNNNNNNNNNNNNNNNNNNNNNNNNNNNNNNNNNNNNNNNNNNNNNNNNNNNNNNNNNNNNNNNNNNNNNNNNNNNNNNNNNNNNNNNNNNNNNNNNNNNNNNNNNNNNNNNNNNNNNNNNNNNNNNNNNNNNNNNNNNNNNNNNNNNNNNNNNNNNNNNNNNNNNNNNNNNNNNNNNNNNNNNNNNNNNNNNNNNNNNNNNNNNNNNNNNNNNNNNNNNNNNNNNNNNNNNNNNNNNNNNNNNNNNNNNNNNNNNNNNNNNNNNNNNNNNNNNNNNNNNNNNNNNNNNNNNNNNNNNNNNNNNNNNNNNNNNNNNNNNNNNNNNNNNNNNNNNNNNNNNNNNNNNNNNNNNNNNNNNNNNNNNNNNNNNNNNNNNNNNNNNNNNNNNNUGUUCAUUUGAUGGGCCUUAUUCCAUAACUAUGUGACCCACAGAGUGAGCUCCUUUUGCUUCGAUCAUGUAUGGGCAUUGCAAAACUUUUCUUUGGUUUAAGAGCAUGUCAGCCGGUACACAUAGAAGAGGCAAUGUUAUUCUUUGACAAGGGAUUGCGCAGGUCUAUCGAGGAUAUGGUGGUAUGUGAAGGCCCCUUCUUUGGAGACAUUCAGUAGCGCUUGGCUUCUUUACCUAUUCAUUUUGGUGGUUUGGGUUUGUACUCGGCCUACGAGGUUUCCUCCUAUGCAUUUGUAGCCUUGAGGGCCCAAUCUUGGGCAUUACAAGACCACAUCUUACGUGAUAGUGGCAUAUGUGGUAUGGACUCGGAUUACCUAUGUGCUAUGAAUCAUCUUNACGAUUCUGGGAUUUGACUGUAGCGGUUUCACUAAUAAGGACACCGCCCCCCUAAAUCCCAAAAAGUUUUGGCGUGUGCCCUUUUUAGCAAAAUCGUCCAAGAUAUGGAAGUCAACUUCGAGAUGACUGUCAGACAGAAAGCAGUCUUUGAGUGUCUGCGGGCGCCUCAUGCUCAAUAUUUUUUUGCUAACUAUCCCUAUUGAUGGUCUUGGCCAGCAUAUGUCUCCUGUGGAGUACCGAACUAUCCUUCGUUACCGCCUCAUGAUUCCCAAUUUCCCAAUUGAUGAGAUAUGCCCAGUUUGUCGCAAGGCAUGUUUGGAUACCUUUGGGGAACACGUGGUUCAUUGUAGAGAGCUCCCUGGUUUCAAGUAUAGACAUGAUGUGGUUUGGGAUGUUCUCUUUGAUGCUUGUCGGCGUGCUGGUAAGAAAGAAGCGCCAAUGAACUUUUUAACGGACCCGCGGGAUGGCAGGUCCACACAUAGACCGGCUGACAUUUUGGUCUUUGGAUGGAUAGGAGGGAAGCAUGCGUGCGUGGAUCUUACUGGUGUAUCUCCUCUCGUUGGUUUGGGGAGCGGAGGUUUCGCAGCUGGGCAUGCCGCUUUGAAAGCCGCUGCGUGCAAAGUGGUAAAGCACGACAAUGCAUGUAGAGAAAAUCAACAUGUGUUUGUUCCUUUUGCAUUCGAUACAUUUGGUUUUCUCGCACCAGAGGCGGUGGAGCUCCUUAACAGAGUCCAACGGGUCAUGCAUUCUAAUGUCAUAUCUCCUAGAUCCACAAAUGUUGUUUUCAAAAGAAUAGGUUUUGCCAUCCAAAAAGGGCUAGCGGCGCAGCUUGUUGCCCGUUUGCCUUUAAUCGAUAUGUAUUGAAUUCAAGUGUUAUUAACUAUAUUAGGAUUUUCAAAAGAUUUUUAAAAGAUAUGAAACUCCUCGUAUGAUUCGAAUGCAAAAACAUAAAAAAAACAUCGUUGCUUACUUACUUAUCUGUUCAUCUAUUGUUUGUGCACCAGAGCUCUGCCCAUCAAUAUCUCCAUUCACCUUCUCCAUCCUACUGAAAGUCACCCUUGACACACUCUAAGAUUUGUAUCUACUCCGUUCUAGAAUCUUUUAGAUUUUCAAAGUAAAUCGUUGUUGGUAAGAAGUUUUUUGAGUUUAUGUUUUUAACCAAAUAUCUUGUAAUUUUUUGCAAUUCGCUUUGGAAACACACUUUUGGAAAAGUGGAAUAGAAUUAUUUUACUAUUAUUACCUUUGUUUUUUGAAUGAACACCGGGUGUUCGAUGAAAUUACUCAAUCAAACCCUAAUCCAUGUCUAAUGCAUUCGUGCUUCCUUUUGUUUAUGAGUUGUUUUAUGAAAUCAAUUAUCGAUGAUUUAGUAAAAAGUUUUUUCUCUCUACAGGUUCGAUUUUGGUGCUCUGAUUCAACAAUACAAGAGUUUUUUGUGGUAUUUAAGGGGAAUAUGUAUCUAAUUGUUGUUUAUUUGAUUUGAUGAUGGAGGCUUUUUGAUUAUGGGUUUAGUUUUCCAUGUUAGGAACAACUUUAAUCUGCUUACCUUUUCCUCAUCACCUGGUAAUUUCUACCAAUACUUUUUUUGAUAAUCAAAAGCAUAAUAAGUUUUGUAUUUUUUAAAGGAAUGAAUGGUUAUUUGGAACAAAUUCACCAAUAGUUAUUUUUGUAUGGGGCAUGGAGAAGCGAGCAGGAAACUAUACAAGGGUAUGAUUAGUUCUUUUGACCAAAAUCCUUUUUCAUUUGUUGUUAUUAUCAUGCUUAAAAGUCACAAACUCACAUGUUUAAUAGGAUGUUUAGCAUUAAUAAUUUAUUUUUAUAAUUCAUAAGUCUUUUAUUUACUUAAAUACCCUUGGUAUAGAUGUUUCUUAUUUGUCAUAACUCACAAUUCUGUCUUUGGUAAAGCAGUUAGAAUUAAUAUGUUUAAUCUAACUUACCUAUCUUAUAUUUUUGUCUUCUAAUUCCUAUCAAUAGUAUAUGUUUAAUGACACUCUUGAAUCACAAAGUCUCCAUGAAAUAGUAUUAUUAUCAUUAACCAAGAAGAGAAAAGGAGAACAAGAAUCAAAAUGUAUUGAGGAUUGCAAACAUAUUAGAUUGAUUUGUCUGCGUUUCCAUAGAUAUUUCAUGAUGUAAAACACUUAUUUAUGGGGUUAAUUUAAUUACAUGAAAAAACAACCAAGUGUAAGCCUUUUGCUUAAUUUACCCCUAAUCCACUACAAGAAAAAUACCCUUUAAUGACACACAAACAAUGACACUCGCUGAUUUAUGAUACGUAUUUUUGUGUGCCCCUAAAAAUAAUGUCAACCUUCCAAAAUUUGAAGAAUAGAGGACACGUAUUUUUGCGCGCCCUAAAAUUAAUGUCCAAUAAACAAAAAUAAAAAACACGGAGGGCACCUAUAAUAAAAAGGGCGUCCCCUACAAAUGUCGCUUUAUAAUUUUUACUAAACGUGCAUUUCUGGGACUCCUUGAUAGGUAAGGGGGAAAACUGAAUCCCCCAAAAUUUUAAACACCCGUCUUCCUCUUCCUCUCUACUCUCUACACCCACCAGAUCGACUUCAUUCUCUCCCUUCCUUCUCUCUGCAAACCCCUUCUUCUCCGAUCGACUUUCACUUCCUUCUAUGUGUAAACCCUAAUCAAACAUAAUGCAUUUGCAAUAGUAAUAUAUUCUUUCACAAAAUAGACAAUUGACCGAAGAAUGAUUUUCUUUUGAUGAAUCAGACAUCACCAACAACAAUAGCUUCCAUCACAAUUUGUGGUUUCUUUUGGACUCCACCGUUACAACAUCACACCACAACACCAGCCCUGAGCCACCACCACACUGCCUUCGCAACAACCCAGAACCACCACUACACCCCCACAGGUCUUUCAACAAACCCUAAAAAGUCGCAAUCAAUUGUCGCUUUACAGAUUUAAGAGUCUUGGUUGUCGUGGAUAUUGUCGAUGUUUCCUCUUCUACUAUCAACUCUCUCAGUUUUCGCUAUUGGUAUUGGUAGUGUGACAGUGUGGGUUGCUAGUGGCUGUGACCGGAGGCGUUGUGGUCUUCAGGUCUCGCAAAUCGAUUGCGUCAUCACAGUUCAGUUUUACCGCUAUCAGUUCCGAUUAAUUUAGUCUACGUAACGUCGCUCAUCACCAUGGUCCAAGCCACCGUCGCUCUCCACCACCGAUUGUCUCUACAGGUCAGUUAACGUCUAUUAUUUUAAAUUACGAUGCCUUAAAGAAGAAGAACACUUCCAAAAGUCAUCAUCUCCGGGGACAGCGGGUCAGUUGUUUUUGUUAAAUCUAGGUUUAUUUUGGGGUUAUCUACUUGAUUGGAGUUGAAAAUCGUUCUCACUUGAAGAUGAUCUCUAUUAUUAUGUUGUCAAAAAGAAAAGUUCGAUUUCAUGAUUUUUUUUUGGUGAAAUUGGUUAUUGAUUGUUUCAUAGAUUUAUUAUAGAUUACUAUAGGAGAAACAACUUGAUAUAAAUCACGAUCUCCGACCGUAAUCUAUCUUAAAAUUUGUGUUUUUGACAAUUCCUUUCUGACCUAGCUUAUGAACUUCCUAAAUAUUGGUGUUUAGACUGCGUAUGUUGAUGCAAUCAUCUCUUUUCAUGUAUAUCUGUGUGAAUUUUACAUAGGUUUCAUUCCUUGACUUGCUUAUUGAUUUGUUGUAUAUCCCACGGUCUCUUUCAUCAGGUAAGUUGUUCAUGUCAAUAAUACCUCCGGUAGCUCCCGUGCUUCUGGCUCCGACGACUUUUAUCAGGUUUUUGGUCUAAAGUCUUCUAAUACUUCAUUUGAAAUUGAAAAUCGACAUUCCCCUCUUGUAGUAAUCCCUUAAUACUUCAUGAAUAAAAUUGAUUUGUUGUAGUAAUGGCCCAUUUGGACUUAUUCGUGCAUCUAUUUCCAUUUCUUCAAAAAGAACAAAGUCCUCGUCCUGUCCGGAAGCAAUAAACAAACAAUAACCUUUCUUCUUCCUUCUUGUUAUGUGUUGUUUCGUCUGGAUGUCUGGUUAAUUCUGAUUAUUAAGGUUUCCAUUUUUUGUCUCAUGUAUCUUUAUUUGCUCUUAUUUUCAACAUAUAGGAGAUGGUCAUCUAAUCAAACGUCGAAUAAGAGAUGGAAAAGGUGCUGUUUUAGUCCUUCAAGUAACACAUAAUUGCAUAUUAGUCCUUGGUUUAUACCAGUAACGACACUGGAUGUGAAUUUUGAAACAAUUAGGUGAAUUUCCUAUGGAUUGCCCUCUUUAAGACAGUAGACUGUGUGUCCAUUACAAGGGCAUGCUUCUUGAUGAGAAAAGAUAGUUUUCUAUGAUACAAAAGUUGAUAAUGAUGGGGAACCAUUGGAGUUUUCCUCAGGGGAAGGGCUUGUAAGUUUUGAGUUUGAAUAAAAAAUUUGAUUGGUGUUAGUUAGUUUUGUUGUAAAUUGUAAUAUGAGGUUGUGAUUGUGAUUAGGUACCUGAAGGUUUUGAGAUGUGUGUUCGACUCAUGUUUCCUGAAGAGGUAUCACACGUCACCUGCCCCCCUGAUUAUGCUUAUGACAAGUUCUCAAGGUAAAUUUCUGAUAACUUAAUACAUACAAAUAUGUAAAAUUAUGAAAUGAAGUAAUGUUGAUGUUUGUUUGUUGUGUGAGUAGGCGAAAUAAUGUUCCUGAAGGUGCUUAUGUUGAAUGGGUGAUUGAGCUUCUUGGUUUUCAAAUGCAAAAGGUAAAACAUUUUAUUGUAUUUUUAGUAUUUGAGUUGAUGCAUCUGGAAUUAUGGAUGAGUCAUUUUAGUGGAGUAUUCUGUAUAAUAUGUAGGAUUGGACUGGUAUGGAUUUUAGAGCUAUUAUGAAUGAUGUUGAGAACAUGAAAAGCAUGGUAUGUAUUUUUAAAUUAAAUUAACAGGUGUUGAGCAUUUUAAAUUUUUUUAUCCAUCUUGAUGUUUCUUAUUCAGGGUAACAGACUAUUCAAAGAAGGAAAAUUUUCUCUUGCCAAAGCCAAGUAUGAUAAGGUACACAACAUCAUUAUUAAAGAAUUUGAAAUUAGUGUGUGUGAAUUUAUUAUGAUUUAAUUUGUGGUUUUUGUUGCAGGUUCUAUGUGAAUUCAAUCAUGUAAAUCCUCAAGAUGAUGAGGAGGGAAAAGAGUUUGCAAAUACAAGAGUAUGAAUGAGCCUCCUUCAUUAUUUAUUACAAAAUAAUUAAAAAUUUUCUUUAUUUACCAAGAGUGGUUGCUAAAUGCUAAUAACAUAACAUGCAUGAAAAGAAUUUGUUGAAUCUGAACGUGGCUGCUUGCUACCUGAAGAUGGGGGAUUAUAGAAAGUCAAUCGAGACGUGUAAUGUUUUUAACAUUCAGUGCAACCCCUUUUGGGUCAAAGUAAUUUAGAGAAAGAAGGGCCAAUACUACUCUGAUCAGAUAUUGUUUUUAAUAAUUUCUUUGUUCUAAUUUUUACUAAUAUUGUCUCUGUUGGUAACACCCUCUCUUUAGCCUCAAUUGAAAAACACAUAACCACCAACUUAUCAUCCCUAAUAUAGAUUUUUCUUUCAUAUUUAAUAGAUUAUUUCAUACAUGAAGGAGAUACAAGGUAGCUAAUGUGUAUCUUUGAAAAGCUUCUUGAAAUUGACUUCCUUAUAUUAGUUAUUUUCAAAUUUACUUUUUUGAUAAACACUAUUUUUUAGGCAUCCAAAUUGGCCAGGGUUAGUGGUCUUUUAACUCUUAUGAUCUUAUGAACAUGGACACUUAUAAAAACACAUGAUUUUAGUUGAUUAAUUAUAACUAUUUUCAUUUCAUCAGGCUUUUCGCAUACCCUUAGGAGUUAUUGGAUGUUACAUUGUUGCCAAAUUUACCCCUGUGAAUACAGAUGGUGAAUCUGGUGAACCAAUGUACAUUAUAUCAGAUCGAUCAGUUGAAAGUAAGCAAACUUUAUAUACUUCUUUGAUAGUAACCUUUUGUGUAACAAGCUUGUCACCAAGAAGUUGCAACUCUGAUAAUCAAAUUCACGACACAAAUGAGAGAAGAUAGGAACAACUUUUGAUUCUACUUGUUACUGCACAUUAAGAAAAUGCUAAUUUCCAUGACACACACAAAAACAAAAACAAGUAGUUCCCAUCUUCUCUAAGAGGAGUCAUCUACUUUUGGAAUUUUAGAUUAAUGAAUUUGUAUUUUUUGCAAAGUAUUAAAUUAAGGAUAAUUUAAAUAAUUUGAUGAGGGAUUAAUUACACUUACAGGAAGAACUGGAGGGACUUACUUCUAAUUACCCUAAUCGCUUCAAAGUUUACUAUGUAUUGAAUCAGGUAGGUAUUAUUCUUAGUAACAAAAAGCCUAUGAUAAACAAAUCAAUGAUAGUAGGUUGCUAUUUGUUGCAUUGAAUUAAACCUAAUAAUUUUUGGGUUUAUUAUAAAAUAUAAAUUAAAAUAAAGGGCCUGGUUUUGUAUUUGUGAAGCCACCGGAGGGAUGGACAGGUGGCGUUGGGUUUGUAUGAAAAAAAUGAUCCAAGACCAUUUACCUGCACCUUCAUCUGAUAUCAAGGUAUCUUAUUCUAAUUCUACUCCUUUCAUUCAAACAUGUUUUCAAAUAUUUAUUCAACAAUGGUAAAAAAGGCUAAAAUAUAUAUUAUCUGUUUGUUGUGUGAACAGAUUUUACGAAGUGGACCACCACCAAUGAAUAAGGCGAUGGCUGCUCAUCUUGAAGCUUUGGGAUAUGAAUCAGAUAUGCUAUUCCAAUUUUAAAUUCAAAACCUCCUAUUCAGAAUUUGAGAUUUGAGAUUCUGUUUGUUGUAUUUGGGAUUUUGUUCGCCAGAAGUGUGAUGUUAGUUAUGUGAUGAAUUCAAACUAAUCUUAUUUGUAAGUAAGUUUAUUUAUUUGUUUUCUAAAUUACAUUUUACAGGUGUACGCAUGUUGCUAGCUGGAAGCGAUAUGGGUGUUAUGUGUGGUUUGACUAGAGGCAUCAAGAUGGCAAGACCCCCCUCUUCCUCCAUCAUGAAUUGUACCACUGGUUUGUUGACUUCCAGUACACAAACACCAACACCAACACCAAAACCAACACCAACACCUGCUCAAGGAAACUCCAUGUUGAGAUCACGUGAGGCUAUGCAUAUGAUGCGGGUGAGUUUCAGUUUAUGUUAUCUUUCACUUUAUGUUUUAUUAUUUUUCACUUUUGAAUUUGCAUUUAAGUUUCAGUUUCCUUCUUUCAGCAACCUUCCAAAGUCCCUUCAGCCAAAUAAAGAACAACAAGAAGCUUUACGCCCUUGGUUUAUGCAGUGUUUUGGUAGGAUGGGAUAGUGUAAGGAAUUGAAUCGUUCAUUCCCCACAAACAAGUUCAGCAAGGUAAACUACCAAGUUUAAAUGAGUAAUUUUCUGUUGUCUAUUUGUGGUUUUAAACUUAAACUGUUGAGCAUUCUUGUUUUUAUGAGUAGUUUCAUAUUAUGUUAUGUACUUGUUAAUCUUGAAUCCUAUUCUGCAAUUAUUAUAUGUGUUAAUUAAAUGCUUUUGUACAUUUGUAGAUACCUCCCUGGACCGGAUGACAUGUCAGUUUUGGACAUUGCAUACACAAUCUACACAAAGUUUGAAGAAUGUCGAAGUGUAAUAUCCUCAAUAUAUAAGGUAUUUACUUCUCAUUUGGAUCGAAGUUACAUUGGAAAUUGUAUUCAAUUAUGGAUCUUCCAAGUCUAGCUAUAGGUAUAUGUUUUUCUUAAUGAAUAAUGUAAUCAUAUGUAUGAAUAUGAAAUAAAGUUUGUUAUUUAGUAUGCAAUAAUCCUGUAUAGGGAGAAAACAACUUCUAUUGAUUUGUUUUAUCUUUCCAUGGAUCGAUUACUUGAAUGAUAUUAAAUUUUAUGCAAUUGAUUGUUUUUUUUUGUAAAUAGUAUUUUAUUUUUUGUUAUGAGACAUUAAAUGCAAAUUUAAUUUGAAAAUUAGUAAAUCUAUAAAUAAUAUUUUUUUUAACAUUUAAAAUUACGAUAUGCAAAAAUGUGUGUCAUCUUCAUUUAUGACAUGGCUUUCUUGACAGGGGCUUCCUUAAUACGCAUUGUGUGUCAUUAACACGCACGUCGUAAGGUUACGAUGCCCGAAUGCGUGUCGUCUUCCUUUAUGACAAGGCCUUCCUUGAUACGCAUUGCGUGUCGUAAACGUGCGUCGUAACUGCGCGUCGUAAAUGAGCGUCGUAAAUGCGCGUUGUCUAUUGACGACGCACAAAAGCGCGUCGUCUCUCUUUAUGACAGGGUCUUCCUUGACGCGCAUUUGCGCGUCGUCUGAGCCUUUUACGACGCGCAAUGAGCGUCAUAAAAGGCUGUUUUUCUAGUAGUGAUCGUGUUUUCUGUGAAGUCCAAACCAUUAGACUUGUUGGUGGCCAAGCACCUAUUUUUUUUCCUAGUUUUGCAGGUAAAUUUCAUGACAUGGUAGUGUUGGUCCAUCCUACUUAGGAAACUGUCCACCUUGUCUUCACAUGACUUUUUUUUAAUAUAUUUCUUUUACAUUUUUAAAAUUAAAAAAUAGAUUUUUUUGAUAUGUUCUUAUUGUUUUAUGUGUGAGCCCCCACCAAACACCCCAAUAUUCAAGGUUAAUUACUAAGAUUCAGCUUUCAAGUGAGUCUGCAUGAACAUUUAGUUGGCAUCCUAUAUAUGUAUUUAUCAGUCACAAUCAUAAAGCAUUCUAAUGAACUAAAAAGAGAUCUUUGUUUGACCUGAUUAAGUAAGAUUCAGCUUUCACUUGUUCUUCCACAUUCAUAUCUAAGGUUUUACAUAUCAUAAAACUUAUAAGGGUUCUGAUUAUUUACAUACUCAUUCCAAUCAUAAAGCAAUAUAAUUAACAUUUUUGUUUCUUUCUAAAAUUCUAGGUUUCAAAGGAAGGGAACAAGAAAGGGACCAUGAAAUGGAAAUCCAUGGAGAUUUGUGUUUCAAAUGAAGCUUCAAGGAUCGGUUUUUUGGUUAACAUUUUUGUUUUUUUGGUUAACAGUAGUAGCACAACAUUUAGACUAAUUAAAUUUUUUAAGACAUUUGUGUAUUAAAUAUUAAGAGUAUUAUUGUAAGACAAGUUUGAAUAAACCAUUAAACCAAUGAUAUUAUGUUUCUAUAUAGUAUCUUAAUUGUCUUAUUAUUGUUUUAUAUUCCAUUUAAAAUUAAAAAAAAGAUGGACCUUAUUUAUUAAUAUAAUAUUUUUGCGUUAAAAACUGUUACUAAAAGCAUGAAAAUAAUAUUUAAUUUAUCAUUUAAAUAGUGUCAUAAAAAUAGUGUCACUAAAACCUAUAAGUAUUCUAGUGGCAUAAUUGAAAAGUGCCACUAAAACACAAUAAGGCUGCAGCGACACAACCAAAAAGUGCCACUAAAGGUCUUUAGUGGCAGCUGUGACAUCCCCAAAAUCACGGCCAGAAAAGACCAAUUCAUUUAUGCUUUGUUUUAAAAUCAGAGUAAUCUUUUGAAGAAAAUAGUUGCGGAAUUUGUUCCCAAAACAAAAUUUGAUAAGAAUUUAUCAAGCAUUUCUUUAAAGAAAUGUAUUUUUAUUAUAUAACAAAAUCUCGGGAUGUCAUGUUCCGAUACAGACUAAAAGCAUAAACAAAACAACAUAGACCUUACACAGUUAUUUAUAACUACGGGCCUAUAAUCCAUAUCUCUCGUUAUGUCAGCCAACAUAUGCUCUUGUGACACAGCCUGUAAUACAAAGAAAAUUGAGUGGAUCAGGCUUGGGUGCCUGGUGAGCAUAUAGGGUUUUCAACCCACAAUACUAUAUUNNNNNNNNNNNNNNNNNNNNNNNNNNNNNNNNNNNNNNNNNNNNNNNNNNNNNNNNNNNNNNNNNNNNNNNNNNNNNNNNNNNNNNNNNNNNNNNNNNNNNNNNNNNNNNNNNNNNNNNNNNNNNNNNNNNNNNNNNAUAUAUAUGCUCACCAGGCUCCCAAGCCUGACCCACUCAAUUUUCUUUGUAUUACAGGCUGUGUCACAAGAGCAUAUAGGGUUUUCAAUCAUCAAACGAUCAUUCCAAUUACCCAUCCCCGUUAUCUUCCUUACUCUUAAGGGUCUACCCUAAGAGUCAUCUAUUCGUUCACUCCAUAUUAGGCACUAAGACAAUAGCUGCCAGGAUUCCUUAUUAGGCACUAAGACAAUAGCUGCCAAGGUUCUUUCGUAAAGCACUAAUUCCAUAGCUGCUAUGUUUCAUUCAUCGGGUACUAAAUCCAUAGUUACCAGUGUAGGUUCUAAGUCCAUAGCUACCAACGUUUAUCUAACAAUACUAAAUCAUAGUUACCAUUGUCUAUCGAUCUAACAGUACUAAAUCCAUAGCUACCAACGUUCGUCUAUAAGUACUAAAUCCGUAGCUACCAGUGUAGGUACUAAGUCCAUAGCUACCAACAUUCGUCUUUCGUCUCAUCCUCAAACUCAUCCGUUAUCACACACCAACUAAUUCGUCUACCCAUGUUCUACCCAACAUAUUCGUAGAUAUAACAUACAUAUACAGUUUAACUCAUUUAAAACCUAUAUGAAACAUCCAUUCCAUGCUUAUCUCAAAUAAACAACAAUAUAUAAACACAUAACACGUAUUGCGUAGCAAAUACUUAAUACUUAUGUGUUAGAAGAAAGUAACCACACACUCACCCAAACAUAUACUUAAUACAUUCAAACAGUACUUGUAUUAUACUCGUGUUUAUGAAAGGGACUAUACACUCACACAUAUAAACAACUUUAUAUUAUACACAUAGCAUGUAUUUCAUAGCAAAUACUUAAUAUUUAUGUGUUAGAAGAAAGUGACCACACACUCACUUGAUCAGAAGAUGAUCGGACAACACUACAGCUUGUAGAAGUAGUAUUCUUUGGUAGAUCUGGAAGAUCUUCAAAAAAACCGGGCUCCUCGUGGGCAGAGCUUUGGCUCGGGAAUUUUACCUUUCGGGAUCUUCGGGGCUUCGGGACUUGCUUCGGGACUCGGGAAUAAUACCGGGGCUUCGGGAUAAUUCUGGCAUGAAAAAUGAGGCAAAACAGGAGAGAGAGAAGAGAAAAGGAGCAAAAGGGCCGACUGCCCUCGCAAGGUAUUUAUAGGGCUAAACCCUCGCAUUACGCUGGGCGUAAUGCUCAGCUACCUGGGGCGUAGCUCGAAAAACGUUAUCGCUUACGUAUGCGAGGCACUCGAGUCCGAGGGGUUCAUGGAUCGGGGUACGCUGGGCGUACUUCGGAUAAGAUCAAUGACUCCUUUAGAUAAUAUCCGAAUUAAAGAUUAAAUAUAUAUUUUAAUUAUUUAAUAAACUUCAAAAAUUCAUAUAUUCCUAAUACGAACUCCGUUUUCGAUUUUCUUUAUAUCCACACAUAGGUGAGACUACGCUCUACAACUUUCGUUUGUACUCCGUUGGCUAAUUUUGAAUUUAUUUUUAUUAUUUCUUUUUAGUAGGCCGGGACAGGAAAACUCCGUUAUAAAUUUAUAACUUCUUCAUCCGACGUCCGUUUUCGUCUGUCUUUUCACCAUUGCACUACUAUCAACGAGAUCUUCGAUUCUCAUUUAGAUUGUUUCGACCAACAAUCAUUCGAUCUCGAAUUCGAGUUUCGGGCUGCAUACUGCUAAGCUGAAACUUAGAAAAAUCAUAACUUCCUCAUACGAAGUCAGAUUUGGGCAUUAUUUAUAUGCACACUCUCGUUUUAACAUAAUAUAAGUCUUUCAUUUAGAUUACUAAGGCUAAAUAUCGCUCUAACGUAAAUUCAAUUUUUACGUCAUUCAAUGUCGUGACGGUUUCUGUCGCGAAACUACGACAGAUCAUAACUUAUUCGUUAUAACUCGGAUUUCGGCGUUCUUUAUAUGUACGGAAUCCGUGUAACAUAUACUACAACUUAGUUAAGAUUAUUCAUUCUAAAUAAUCUUCUAUCCAAAAGUCACUUUAGGACGCUUAUCGUCUCUAAAUUGACUAGCCCUAAUCUACGAGCGUUACAGCAACACUUUUAGUGACACUUUUUUUUGUGCCGCUGAUUCCGUUGGGGGCCUUUAGUGGCACUUUUUCGGUUAUUAGUGGCACUUUCUCUAUGUCACUAAAUAGCAUUUUAUUUGUAGUGCAUUUAUAACUUAAUACUUACAAAAAAUCAUGUAUUCACAACUUAAUACUUAAAAAAAAUCAUGCAUUUAUAGCUUAAAACCUUUUCUAAUUGAAACAGUUUGAUAUGUAUAAAAUCCAUGUAUUGAUAACUUAAUACUACUAAUAAAAAACAUUUAUUCACCAAACAGCUUUGAUACAUCUUAUCUCCAAAUCUGAGAUUGUUCCGUUACUUCAGAUCCAUGAGCACCGAUGUUAGGCAACAACAACGGUAGUACGACGUUGGUUGUGGUAAAGGUGGAGUCACAUUGACAGUUGUACCAACAUAUUUAGAUUUCAGAUCUGUUGGUAGUGAUUUCCGACAAAUCUAUUAUUUCGACGAAGCAAAUCAGAGAAGUUUUCUUGUAUUCUAUCAGAUCUGGACGUUGAAGAUCCGGAGACGAACUAGAUCUACACUUCGGAGUAGAGUGUGACGUUUUUUGGUGUUCCGAAAAAGCACAAUAGAUGAUGUUAGGAGGUGGUCGGUGAUGAUAAGGUCAACUAUCAGAUCUGACCAAAUCGCACCAGAUCUGAAAUGUUUUGCGUUUUCGAGAGGGAAAGUGAAGCUAGAACAACUUCUUGACUCCAGAUCUGAGACCAAGUGGUGAUCGACAAUGAUAUAGGAAGGUGGUGGUUAUCACCGCUACCUGGAGCUCAUAAUCUAGAGGUGAAAAUCGAAGAUCUGAAAUCAAAAUAGUAGAUAUGAGGAUGAAAAUCAUAGAUCUGAAGAGAAAGCUCGUAGAUAUGAAGUUGAAAUUGUAGAUCUAAAGAGGAAAAUCAUAGAUCUGAAGCUGAAGUUGUAGAUCUAGAGCCAACUAUAGCUUGUGGAUCUGGCGGCGGCGAUGGUAGAAGGCGACGACAAUCAAGGGUGGUGGCUGGCGGCUAACUGGUGGUAAUCUUUGUGUGUUCUUUAAGUUUGAGAUGAGAGAGAAGAUAACCAUAUUAUAGUGUAUGUAGUGUAUGUGGAUUUGAUAUAACAAAAGACAAAAGAACGUUCUUGUGUUAUACUUUAAUAAAAAUGGUUCUUAACCUUUACUAGUUCUUUAUAUAUAUAUANNNNNNNNNNNNNNNNNNNNNNNNNNNNNNNNNNNNNNNNNNNNNNNNNNNNNNNNNNNNNNNNNNNNNNNNNNNNNNNNNNNNNNNNNNNNNNNNNNNNNNNNNNNNNNNNNNNNNNNNNNNNNNNNNNNNNNNNNNNNNNNNNNNNNNNNNNNNNNNNNNNNNNNNNNNNNNNNNNNNNNNNNNNNNNNNNNNNNNNNNNNNNNNNNNNNNNNNNNNNNNNNNNNNNNNNNNNNNNNNNNNNNNNNNNNNNNNNNNNNNNNNNNNNNNNNNNNNNNNNNNNNNNNNNNNNNNNNNNNNNNNNNNNNNNNNNNNNNNNNNNNNNNNNNNNNNNNNNNNNNNNNNNNNNNNNNNNNNNNNNNNNNNNNNNNNNNNNNNNNNNNNNNNNNNNNNNNNNNNNNNNNNNNNNNNNNNNNNNNNNNNNNNNNNNNNNNNNNNNNNNNNNNNNNNNNNNNNNNNNNNNNNNNNNNNNNNNNNNNNNNNNNNNNNNNNNNNNNNNNNNNNNNNNNNNNNNNNNNNNNUCCAUAGAGAAUUAUUAUUAUUUAAGGAACCAAUCUAAAGCUUUAGAAUUUAAAGCGAUCAACGACAAUAAAAAGGGUUGUAGACGUUUACAAUGGAUGUACAUUCACCGAAUUAUAACAAAACUUACUUCAUUUUUUUCGUUUAAUUUUUCUUAGGCAAUGUUUUUUAUUGAAAAAAAACAAAAUAUAUUAUUUCUCAUGAUUUUUCGUUCUCUUUCCAUAGAGAUCUAUAUUGAUAUACUAUUACAUGCACCGAAUUAUAACAAAACCUACUUCAUUUUUUUUCGUUUAAUUUUUCUUAGGCAAUGUUUUUUAUUGAAAAAAACAGAAUAUAGUAUUACUCAUGAUUUUUCGUUCUCUUUUCAUAGAGAUCUAUAUUGAUAUACAAAAAAUGAUAUAUUUUUUUUUUUCAAAAAACCCACUUCAUUUCUUUGUGCGGGAAAAUGCAGAUGAGGAUGAAUUCGGUGGCGUUGAAGUCUGGUCAACCGAUUUUGAUGAUGAAGAGGUGAGAAAGCCCACACAUGGAAGAGCUUAUGUGGCGAAGGAUGCAAGUUCGGCUGGAAGAUGUUUGGUGGUUACAGCUGAUAGAUCAACCGAAAGUGAGAGGAAGGAGCCGAACCUAACUGAGGACAAGUGCUUUGCAACCAAGCGCGUGAGCAAGAAGAUUAACGACUGUGAUCGGCUGAUCAAAAAGGUACAAUCCAUCCUUGAGUCACUUAAAGUUCUGGUAACAAAUUAUGAAGAAGAAUUAAAUGAAUUAAAAUUUAAACUUUCUAAUUUAAGUGGCAGUCUCAUGCAAACUCGCUUAGCGAACUCUCACCUACCUGACCAACCUAGUAGGGUGUCUUCAAAGAGUGAGGAGAGAAGGAUGUGGAUUGAGCUGAAGGAUGCAGAGUUAAAUUGGGCUAGGGAUGAAACUAUUUAUUUACAACGAGGCAAUUUAAUGUUUUUAAAACAAAGGAAUGUUUUUUGUUUAAUUGCUAAGCGCUUAUAUACUAAUAUUGCUCAAUUGUACUUAAAUUGUGAAAUAGGGAAAAAGAUUCAUAAGAUGAUCUUACCCUUCCUUGAAUUUAAGGAGGACGAGGUCAUUGUUGAAUGUGAAUCAAUAGUGUCCUCAGAAGAGACAUCCGCCGCUUACAAAAUCGGACUGGACAAGAUAGAGACCUUCAUUGAUUCUAAGGAACAUAAAUGUAUGCUCAAAAAUCUUUUAGAUGAAAAUGUUAGGUUAAAAAUUAAGUCUGAGACCAUUCAAUAUUUGAUUCGUCAAACGCCAAAUUAAUUUCAGAACAUAAAAUGAACAUAGAAAAAUUCAUCUGAAUUUGAUGUGGAAAGUGAGAUGAGUGAAAUCUCUGUUGAAGACGUGAUUGAUUGCUCUGAGUUUUUGAAGAGCGAAACCGAGAAUAAGAAACCCCACAUUUCUGAAAAUUUGAUUGAAUACGCUUGCCUGUCAAAGGACAAGCCAUAGAAACUCAAAGAGAAAGCAAUGGUUUAUCAAAAGGUUCAAAUUGUGCCGAAUCAGGUCUAUCCUGUUACAGGAGUCACUGUAAAACAAACAGCAAAAUUAAAAAUCUUGGUCGACAAAGACAAUGUUGAAGGGUGCGAAGACUACUUCUGGUCAGCUCCUACUGAUAACUCAGACAAACCCAUAGGCUUACCUGAGCACACCUUAUGGAGGGUAAAAGGAAGAUAUGUUGUUGAACCUAUCAACAAACCCUCGAGGUUCGACAAACCAAGCACAAGUGGAACAAAAGAGAUCCCUGAAGAAUCAAAGAAAACACCGAAUGUUACUACUAAGACAAUUGAGACUCAAAAAGAAAAUCUAAAGGCUAGUUUCAAUAUCCAUAAGUCUCGGAAGGAGUUAGCUGAACAGAAAGCCAAAGAAAUCAAAGAUACAUGAAAAAUCUAAAUGAGUGAAAACGUUAUUGGCAACCUCAAAAUCCCAACUACGUACCUCCUAAGAAAGAAUCAAUCAUCAAAGGAAAGGAAAAGCUAAAAGAAAAAGAAAAUUUUAGUCCAGGCUCCUACUAUUCCAAAGCUCAUAAUCGAACAUCUACUUCCGGCUGCAAAACUAGUGCUAAGAACCGAAUGUCUAGUUUCGGUCCCAACGUCAAGACCAACAACAAAACGUCUAGUUUUGGUCCCAAGACAAGUUUCGGUCCAUCCUACUACCAAAGAAAACCAAAACCAGUGAAGGGCAUCAAAGGAAAGGGAAAGCUUGACUCAGACUCUGAGUUCAAUAAUAAGAAAAAGUCAUCUAACCCUAGGACUCAAAAGAAAGUUCCAAAACCGUCUAACAAUACACCAUCGAAUACACCAAAAUUUAAACAAGAUUAAACCAAAAUCAAGGUGUAUACCAUCAAAAGAAAAGAUCAAUUUACUCUAAUUAAAAGAACCUAUUUGGUUGAUAUUUCUACUGCAAUUCCUUUUACUUUAAAAGACUCACCAGGGCCCAAGAAACUUGGGGUUCCUAAAUCUGCUUGAAUUUGUAGGUUAUUAGUGACGAGCAGUUCGAUGAUGAAUGGUAUAUAGACAGUGGCUGCUCGCGUCACAUGACAGGAAGGAAGGAAGAGCUAAGGGAAUUUCGGUCCCUAAAAUAUGGCGGAUGUGUGAAGUAUGGUAAUAACUCUUAUGGCAGAAUCAAAAGAUAUGGAAUGAUAACCAACGGAGACUUCUCGACUCGAAAAGUAGCUUAUGUAGAAGGGUUGCAGCAUAACCUCAUCAGUGUAUCAGAGUUAGUUGUGGGAACAGGUUUGAAGGUUUCAUUUGAUGAUGAUGGAUCAGAAAUUAUUGAGAAGCAAUCCAAAAAGGUUCUGUUAAAGUCUGAAUGCAAGGGAGAGAUGUAUCCUUUAAAUCUCAAUCCAAUUCGUGGAAAACCAUCAAUAUGCCUGUUGUCAAAGGCAAACACUGAUGAAAGCUGGUUAUGGCAUCGACGUUUAUCGCACCUAAACUUCAAAGACAUUAAUAAGUUGGUGCUUGGUGAUCAUGUUUGAGACCUUCCUCUUCUCAAGUUUGAUAAGGAACAUCUGUGUGCAACAUGUGAGAUGGGCAAACAAAGCAGAAAGAGCCAUCUUACACGAAUCAAUACAAAGAUUGUUGAAGCUCUUGAACUUCUACACAUUGACUUAUGUGGACCUUCGGCUACCGAUAGCUUCGGUGGUACUAAGUUCAUUCUUGUCAUAGUAGAUGAUUUUUCACGCUUCACAUGGGUUUUCUUUCUUAAACAGAAAUCAAACGCUACUCCCAAGUUGAAGACGUUCAUCAAGCAAGUGAAAGUGCAGCUGCGAAAGCUGGUGAGGAACAUCAGAAGCGAUAAUGGGCUUGAGUUCAAGAAUAAAGAUUUCGAGGAUUUUCUAGCUGAAAAGGGAAUUUCUCACAACUUUUCGGCCCAUUAUACACCACAACAGAAUGGGAUUGUCGAAAGACGAAACCGUUCUUUAUGUGAGGCAGCCUGACCCGUGCUAAGCUUCGCUUCUCUUCCGCUAUACUUUUGGGCUGAUGUAGUUGCAACCGUGUGCUUUACUCAGAACCGAUCCUUGCUCAAUAAACGAUUCUCAAUCACUCCAUAUGAGAUUCUGAACAAUCGAAAGCCCAACGUCAAAUUUUUUCACGUGUUCGGUUCAAGGUGUUUCAUCUUUAAUUCAAAAGAGAACCAAAACAAGUUCGAUGUCAAAACUGAUGAGGGAAUUUUUCUUGGCUAUUCACUCUCUUCAAAGGCAUAUAGAGUUUUGAACAAACGUUCUAAACGAAUAGAAGAAACAUACUAUGUAACCUUUGAUGAUAAUUAUUUGAAGAAAGUUCAAAGAAGCGAAAGUGCCUUGGGGGAAAUAUUUCUUGAAUCAGGACACGUCUCGGUUCCUAUUUCAAACCUAUUUGAAGAGUACAUAAGGUUAUUAGUUGAACCAGAGAAGGCUGCACGCUCAGAGGCGAAAGCAGCAGACAACAAAAUCGAUAAUCUGAAAAAGAUCAUAGAUGAAGCUAAAAAAGAAAUGGAAAUAAAUCUCCUAAACCGUCUGGUGGUCAACCCUCUACUGACUCUCCAAACAACAACUCAAUGUUCAAAGGGGAGAGUUCAUCAGCACCAAAGACAACCGAUAUGUCUUUCGAGGGGGAGAAUCCAACUCCAACACAACCCAAUGAUAGUCCAUUUGAGGGGGAGAAUCCAACUCCCACAAAGGAUGAAAACUCUGAACCUGACAAGGGUUACAAUUCGCCAUUUAAGGGGGAAAAAGAGCAUACAACCGAUGAAGAUGAUCAAUCAGAACUUGAAGAAGUAGUAAACGCAGAGUUGGAUCCAGCUUAUGACCCUAAUUACCCUCCUCUAAAUAAAUGGACUAAGGACCAUCAAAAAACACAAAUAAGUGGCGAUUCAUCUGAGAAAGUUCUAAAAUGUUCUCAAUUGAAAGCGAAACAAACUGCAUUAUUCUCUAAAGUUGAAUUCUGUAUGUUUGACUCGUUUAUAUCCAAAGUCAAACCGAAGAUGGUCAAUGUUGCACUUGAUCACGCUGAUUGGGUACAAGCUAUGCAAGAUGAACUCCAUGAGUUUGAACGUAAUCGAUUUGGAGGUUGAUUCCCACUCCAAAGGAUACUUCGGUGGUCGGCUUAAAAUUGGUCUUUGGGAAUAAAUUGGACAAAGAGGGGAACGUCAUUCGCAACAAGACUCGGUUGGUGGUGAAAGGAUAUUGCCAAGAGGAAGGGAUAUAUUAUGAGGAAACCAUCGCUCCUGUAGCAAGGUUGGAAUCAGAUAGAAUUUUUCUAGCAUAUGCUUCUCAUAAAAUCUUCGAAGUUUUCCAAAUGGAUGUAAAAUGUGAUUUCUUGAAUGGAGAACUAGAAGAAACAGUGUAUGUUGAGCAACCACCUGGGUUUGUAAACAAGAAAUUCCCUAAUCAUUGUUAUGUGCUGGACAAAGCUGUAUAUGGUUUGAAGCAAGCACCAAGGGCCUGGUAUGAUACUUUAACUCGCUUUCUAAAAAUGUCGAAAUUUAAGCAAGGGUCGAUUGAACCAACCUUCUUCCAAAAGAAAGAAGGCGAACAUCUUAUGAUAGUUCAGAUUUAUGUCAAUGACAUCAUCUUCGGCUCCACGAAUCCUAGCUUAACGGCUGAAUUCAGGAAGUUGAUGGAGACUAAAUUUGAAAUGAGUGCAAUGGGUCCGAUUAAUUUUUUCCUUGGUUUCAAUAUUAGACAGGGACCAUAAGGUAUAUUUAUCAACCAGGAGGCCUACACGAAGAAUUUGCUAGCAAAAUUCGGUAUGAAGGGAGAUUCGAAAGUGAAGGUUCCUAUGGCGUUUGGCACAAAGUUAACACCGUCUUUGGAAAAACUUUCUUUUCAUGUAACACUCUAUCGUCAAAUGAUAGGGUCACUUAUGUAUCUAACAACUAGUAGACUAGACAUUAUGUUUUCUGUUUGUUAUUGUGCCAGGUUUCAAUCAUAUCCAAGAGAACCUCACAUGGUGGCUGUGAAAAACAUUUUUCGUUAUCUGAAGCGAAUCUCUUCUCUAGGUCUUUGGUACCCUGCAAGAUCUGGAUUUUUUGUUCAAGCCUUUUCUGACGCCGAUCUUGGAGGAUGUGGUCGAGAUCGAAAGAGCACAACUGGUGGAUGCCAAUUCCUUGACGGUAAACUUGUUAGUUGGCAGUCCAAGAAGCAAUCCUGUGUCUCUCUUUCAACAACCGAAGCUGGGUAUAUAGUUGCAGCAUCCUGUACCUCUCAAGUGAUAUGGAUACAAAGCCAACUAAGGGACUAUGGGCUAAGUUUGAAGAAACUACCUCUCUAUUGUGACUUAGAAAGUGCGAUAAGGAUAUGCCACAAUCUAGUACAACAAUGAAAGACAAAGCAUAUUGCACUAAGAUACCAUUUCAUUAAGGACCAUGCGGAAGAUGGGAACUUGGAAGUACAUUUCAUUCGGCCGUCUGAUCAAUUGGCUAACAUUUUCACUAAAGCCUUACCAGAAGCAAGCUUCAAUAAAAUUUUACAAGGUUUGGGAAUGAUGGAAGCAGAGUCAGUACCGAAUCCUCAAAUCUCUCUCUAAAAAAAUUAGACAAGCGAAAUAGAGCGAACACUCGGCUUAUUUCGCUUCAUUCUUUUAAGAUUUGGUUUCGGUUGUACAUUUUGUUUGUUCUUUUAAGAGUGUUUUGUGUUAAUUUCUUUUUGUUUGUUUUUUUGUUUUUAUUAUUUUUCAGAAAACUUCAGAAAAUCCAAACAUAUUUCUUUUAUCUUUCUGUUUUUAUUAUUUUUCAAAAAACUUCGAAAAAUCCAAAAAUAUUUCUUUUAUCUUUCUGUUUUUAUUAUUUUUCAGAAAACUUUGAAAAAUCCAAAAAUAUUUUUUUUUUCUCUUUUUAUUAUUUUUAAGAAAAAUUCAAAACUCCAAAAAUAUUUAUCUAAAAGGUUUUUUUUUUUGUUUGGAGUAAUUGGUUUGUUUGUGUGGUGUGUAUGUAUGCCUGUUCUUUUAAUUAGGUCCCAUAUACUUCAGUGCAACAUAAUUUGGAGCUAAGGCAAGUAUGAUUCUUUUCAUCUGAACUAGUUAAGAGUCCCUAGAAGCAACAGCAUGUCAACCGAAGCCUCUACGACUAAGAUCUGGGCCUUAAUGAUUCGAUCAAUACUUAUCAUUUCUUCCCAAUCAGGCUGUUAAAAUCCACUCAAGUCAGAGCUACCUUUCUCUUCUCACAUGAGUUAAGAGUUUUCUGCUUUGUCACAUUUAUAUAGCAGAUGUACUUUCGAUUCUUUACCCACCUUCCUUACUUUCUCCAUCUACUUUCGGUUCACAACUGUAACCCUUAAUACUCUCGGCUUUAACCACUGAGGUUUAUGGUUACAUACUCCCUUUGUAUGAUCUUAGAUACGUACACCAUGUUCUGAGUGAAACCCGAAAUCUAGUACCAACAAUGAAUUGACGGUGAAUCUUUAUGUUCAAGAUCUUACUUGCUACCUGAUGAAAUCUCUUUUUUUUUUGCGUGGUCUUUUAUGAAAUUGUCUAACACCAAGACAUUUCUUUCCGCAAAGAUCCAGUUUGUUUAUGUUUUUUGAGAUUUCAAUGACAUCUUUAGUUACAGCAAAAUAUAUCCAACCUACUUGUUCAACAUACCACAUCGGUCUCACAAGUACUUCAUCCAACGUUCGGUCUUAUGUUAAGAAUCGACGUUCGGUUGAAGAUAAGCCACCCUUAGCCUAUUAAAUAAAAGAAGCCUUUUGGUGUUUCUUUACAAGCACUCGAUCGUAUUUUCUCGGGAAACCACGCUAGCACUUCAAGUCUCUCUUGACUUUGAACGAAGUGAUUCUUGCUCGGAAUCAUUUGCUUUAUGUCUUCAAAUAGACAUCACUCACAUCCUAUACACAUUUUGCUUUAUUUCUUUAUCUUUUGUCACACUAUUGCACGAAAAUUCUAUGUGAUUUUCCAACAUUCUGACUGAGCAACAAUGGUUAUCCUAAUUUUUGGAGCGAAGCUGAAUUUCAAACGUCGAAUUGCGGAUAAGCAUUUAGGCGCAUGAAUUUAAAUGGUUCCUACACCCACGCACGCUGACAUAUACCUGGGAGCAACCAACCUAUCACAUCGUGCUUUUUCAGGCGACGUUUUAGUGACCGCAUCAUUAUCAUGAAGAUUAUUUCUCUCUCCUGUCAACGGUAUAUAAAGGGUUUCUAAUAUUAUUUGUCUUUUACCAACAUAAAUUCUCUCAAAAUACAAGGCGAUUUGCAACUGUUCAUCUUCUUCCUUACCUCAACAAUGGCGACUUCCUCAUCUGUUCAAGAUCAAACUGCAUCGUCCUCAUUGGUCUUGAUCAAGCCAAACCAGAACAUGAUCAUUCAUCUCAACCCUUUUCUGUACGAUCCAUACAUGUUACAAGUGGUUGAAUGCUUGAAGUAUUCUCCUCUAGUUCUAGCCCUAACACAGGUGGAAUCCGUCCCAAUGUCACUCCUAUCGUAGGUCUACACUACUGCUUCAUAUGACAAGAACAAGAAGAGGAUCUACUUCCAAAUCUUCUCUCACAAGGCUUCGAUUUCAAAAGGAAGAUUUUGUUCACUAUUACAGCUUGUUGUGGAUUCAUCUGUGAUCUCACUUGAUUUCAUCACCACCACUCAACUAUUCUUGAUGCUCUACGAGAUGGGCUACACUGAUGUUCUUACCACCAUCGCGAAGGUUAAGAAAUCAUGUUUGCCGCCCCAAUGGAAUCGAUUGCUUACUCUUCUCAUCAAGAGUUUGGAGGAAAGGAGUGAUGGGUCUGAUGGUACCAGCAAGGGUAUUCUGACUAUUCUAUACGGUCUCUAUAAUGGGAUUAAUCUCGACUAUGGGUCGAUUAUCUGGUCACAUGUGGUGCAAAGCCUCAACACUUCCACGAGGCACUUUGAAAUUUCUUGUGGUAGAUUCUAGACUCUCAUCAUACGUAGAGCAAUUGACACUUUGCAAAUUUCAGUAAUGAAGGAUGCCCUGCUCUCGUCUGUGACUACUUUUCACACGAAGAAGAUCAUCUUCUCUGAUGCCUCAAAGUUCUCUCACAUUGGUUCUAUUCCUGAGACGAUGUACCGAUGUGUAUCAGCCGAAAGUAAUGUCAUGGUUGAGUACUGUAAGCUUCCUCCCAAGGAACCGAGGCUACCGACUCCUGAAUAGCAAGCUGCUCUGGAUGUUGUGGAGAAACCUGUGAACCAAGGAAAAAUGGCUUCUUCCAAGAAAGAAACAACCGGGGGUGAUUCAUCUAAACCUGCCAAGUCUAGGAAGCGAAAGUCUGCAAAGGAUGGUUCAUCUAAGGCAAAGAAGAUUAAGAAGAUGGAGAAGAAGUCAAAGACUCCUUCCCCUUCAAGUUCAGAAAACGAUGAGGAGGAUGACGAAGAGGAAAUUCCGCAUCAUGAAUCACCGAGAGGUAACACACCUCCUCGAUCACCAACUCCAACUAAUCAUCUUAAUGAUAAGAUUCCAUCACCUCCUCCAUCUCCAUCGAAAACAACUGUUCCACUUUUUGUUGCUCCUACUCAACCACCUACCACAUCUCAAACAACCACUUUUAUUCCACCACCACUACCUGUUAGUACAAUUCUAGUUUCUACAACUCCUUUACCAACUCCUAUUAUUUCACAAGCAGCUACCACUACUACAACCCAACUGAUAGUAAACGUCAACGUAUCUGAUACGGGGCGCAUACUGAAACCGAACCUCCAGUUACUUCUAAACCUCUUUCAUCCUCUUCUUCAACUAAGUCUGGAGCAAAUCUCAGUGGUGAUAAUGUUGAGUUUGACUCAACUUACUACAGUCCCUAUCGGUUUCCCACUGAUGAUGAUGAAGAUGCUCCUGUCACUCGCCAACAACUACGGAGUAUUGAUGAGCUUGAUCAACUGCUUGCUGCUUCCAAGUCCUACAACGAUGUGGUGCUCAAGGCCUUUCUUGACACUGCUCUUGAACAAUAUACCAGAGCAAUAAAGUCAUCCACUCAGGCAGUUGACAAUUCCACUUCUUCUUGCAAGAAGGCCCUCACUGACAUUAAAGAACUCGUUCACAACACUCAGAUUUUUCUCGACUCACUCAAAGGCCAUGUUGAUUCCAAUACAACCAAAGUGAACGCUUCUGUCGAUUCUUUAUCACAGUCAAUUAAAGAGGAACAUACUAAGUUUAAGGUUUUUCGUUCUUCACUUCAAACAAAGAAUGCUUCACUUAUCAGCUUUGUGAACUCUAGGCUUGAAUCUCUUCAGGCUAAUUUAGCAAAGGAGAGUGCCUUAAAGGAGGAUCUUGCACGUCAUGCCUCUACUAUUGAAGUUCAAAAGGUUCAGCUAGCUCAUGCUGAAAAGGAAAUUUCACUGUUAAAGACUGAGAGAGCUGUCUUUCGUAGUUGUGUUGGAGAUGUCAAGAACAUGCUAUCUAAUAUUCUCAGUGCUCAUGAUCCCAUACUGAUUCUGACCAUCAGAAACCAUCUGACAACAAAGCUUCUUCCUGCCCUUGCAAUGUUACAUGAAAUGAAGGGUGUUUUGGAGAGCUUCGUACCUCCAAAACAAGGGGGAUAAGGUGCUACUCAACCGAAGGUCACAGUUAAAACCGAACUGAAGGGUAAUGAAGCUUCGGGUUCUGGUGACAAGGAUUACAAGAAAGGUUUAGAUGAUGAUAGUGAUGAAGAAGGAGAGACAAUUGCCGAGGCCCUAAAAAGAAAGAAAAUGGAUAGGGAGUUGGAUGAAACCCUUCGGGUUGCGAAGGAAGCUGAAGAAAGUGAGAGAAAGAAAAAGGAAGAACAAGAUGCCUUAGACUGUAAAAAGGCCUUGUUUCCUCUCUGGACAAGAGAAACACUCAUCAGGGAGGCAAUAGAGUUUCCAAGCACCUACUGGCUGGAGCCUGUAACAUCUUUUGAUUUUGAGAAUACAAGGGAUUCGUAGUUCGACAUGCCUAUUACUCGAAAGGCAUUUUUUUCCAUUGUUUUGAGCUGACAGUUGAAGUCCCUUCACCCCAUCCUCAAGUCGACCGUGAACUUAUUGAUUUUUAUCUCAAGUUCAGUCAGCCUCAGUAUCUGACCUGGAGUGCGCAGAAGAUUACUACGGUCAAGGUGCUGAAACCAUCGUCUGCAGGGAAGUUUGUUAAUGUCUCUUUCAGGAUAAACCGAGGUUCGAAUAACUCGGUUUCUAUCAUCUCUCUAGUAGACCUUCCCAACCUGAAUCCUCAUGAUUGGAUUCUGCUCUUUAAUAUUUUUCUCACUAAUGCGACAGAGUAUGAACCAAUCUUAGGUCAUCUGAAAAGGAUGUUAGCCUCUUAUAUCCACGACGUUGUAAAGAUGGAUUAAGAAGUAGCAAAUGUCAUGAGGAAGAAACCAACAGUGAAGCCUACUGCAAUGCCAGGAGAUGUCAACAAAAUGACUCUCGGUCAAAUUGAUUCUGCUCACCUCACAGUUAUGGUUACAACAGCCAAAGGUGAAAGGUUCUUAUUUGCUCUUGUUGACAAACACUUAUUCUCGACCGACUGCCUGGAGCAUAUCAUUAAUAUCAUUCAUCGAUGCAAGGCGAAUUCCGAUUCUGAUAAGAAGAACUUCACAGACAUGCGCCUGUGGUACAUCACUUUUAGACAAACUCUUUUGGGCAUCAUACCAAGCGUGUUAAGGACUAUCAAGAAGUCUGUUGCAGAACAACCGAAGUGAGCUCUCGGUUCCAUUGACGCAAAGAGGGAGAUUGUUGGGUAUUGUAUGUUGCGUCAUGGGCUUAUUUUGUAUAUCGGGAUUGGGCCUGUCCAUCCGUGAUUAUUAUAGGGUUUAGCUAUAAAUAGUGCAUGUAUGUAUGCAUAGAAACAAAAAAAAACGUGAUUAUAGUGAUUAUUGCUUUUGUAACCCUAAACAUCUCUAUAGUCGAAGUUCUUAAUCGAGCUCUUCUGAGGUGUCAAAGUUUAAUCAUAUGACAACUUUAAAGCUAUUCCUGUGUUCUUAAUUACGUCUCUAAUUUUUUAUCUGCUUAGAAUCUAUCGAUCCUACUAGAACUUUGUUCCAACAGAGUUGGUUAGGGUUUAUCCCAAAAAACUGAAUCAUACGAUUUCUCGACGAGUUGUGGGUCAAAUCAACGAGUUGAGCUGGACUAUCACGAGAUUUCUAAGGAAAAUAAGUGGACUCGACGAGUAGCAAUGGUGCACUUGGUGAGUCGGGUCAAACAUAGACUGUUGACUCGAGUUUAACUUCUGUUGCCUUUGGGGCUUUGGUCAACAUGAGUAGUAGAGACCAUGGAGGGGUAAAAUGGUCUUUUAUUCACUUCAAAAGAGUUAAAUAGAGGAAGAUUAGCCUUCGGUUAUUAGAAUUGUGAUUAGGGUAUCACUUAGAAAUAUUCAUCCCUUGUGUUAGGCGGAGGCUAGUUCGAGAUUUGGGAGCAAGGUCUUUACUUGCUGCUUGUCAGGUGAGUCUUCUCACUAUACUUUACCUUGAGUGGUAGUUAUAUGUGAUCGGAAGGUCUUUUGUGAUUACAUUGAGUAUGAUGUUAUCUUGUUGUAUGUGGUAUGUUAUGCAUUAUGUCUUUGUGAUUUAUGUUAUGUGGAGUUUAUAGACCGGACCGGAGGGUCCAACGAUCCAUGAGGCCGAAGGCUCACAACCAGACCGGACCGGAGGGUCCAAUGUGCUACGGGACUGGAGGGUCCCGCUGAGACACAUUGACCAGAGGGUCUUAUAGAGUAUAGCCUCGAGUGGCGAAUUGUUAUAUGUGGUAUUUUGGGGAACUCACUAAGCUUUGUGUUUACCAUGUAUGUGUUAUGUGUUUCAGGUUUCUCAGGAUCGCAGGACGGCAUCGGCUUGAUUGUACACACCGGAGAAAGAGUUAUGAGGAUCCUGGAUUAUUAAUGGAGUUGUGUUUUUUUUGUAAUUUGAAAUAAUGAGAUUUUUAUACAAUAUGUUAUGAAAAGUAUGCGAUUUUUAACUGAAAAUUUUGUUUAAUAAUGUACGUCGUUACAUUUAUUGUUGUCUAAAUUCCAUAUUUGCCAUUUCUCAUAAUGAUUUUCUUCAUUUUCCUCAUAUGCACACCUACUACCUGUUGACUUGCCAGAGUUGAAAUCUUUGACCAACAUGUGGUUACAAAAGUUGCCUUUUGUUAUCUAUUCAUUCUAGUGCAUUAUUUAUUUAUUUAUUUUUUUGCUUUCCUUCAUCAUUAAACUUUUAAUGCUGAUAGCUUCAUCUAAUUUACUUUUCAAUGUAAAAGGAAAACAUAUGCAACUUACACCUUCUUAAGUUAUUAAAAAUUUGUAGCAGGUUGCAUAUGUGUUAGGAUAAUAUCAUUUGAAUAGAUUGAUUUAUUCUAUGUUAGGUAAUGGUUGUUGAAGGUCGUUGGUAUAUGUAUAGGUAUAAAAGCAUGAUUAUCUGUCCUGAUUAUAUUUGGUUUUAUUUAUGUUUAUCUUUGUACAUAAUAUAAUUUGUUUGAUAACUAAUAAAAUUUAGCGGAGGCAAAGUAAAUAAUAAAUCCUAUUUACAAAAUGAUCCAAAGAAUCAUUUUAAUGAUGUAUUGUAUUGCAAGUAAAUUUACCGAUUUGCCAUGUGCAGGUUCUGACAGCUCUAGCAACCUCCUUCCUUACCCUGCAGCCUCUCAAAGUUCCUGCAUUUAGGUUACUCUUUUAGAAAGGAAAUUGUCAAAGGAGAAUUUUGUCAUAGGUUUCUUUCAACGUUAUACAUGUUUUGUUUUCUAUAAUAAAUAUUAUGCAAUAUUAGCAAUGUGUUACAUUUACUUACUAUUGGAAUGAUUAUCUGUAUUUGACAUAUUAGUGCAAUGAAUUAUCUUUAUUGUGUAUGGUAUUUUAUUUUGUAUUAUGAGACUUUUAAUGUGUUAUUUAAUUUGAAAAUUAGUAUAUCUAUCAAAAAUAUAUAAUUUUAAAAACGUUCAAAAUUAUGACACGCAAAAAUGUGUGUCGUCUUCUUUUAUGACAUGGCUUUCUUGAUACACAUUGCGUGUCAUAAGCACACACGUCGUAAGGUUACGACACGCAAAUGUGUGUGGUCUUCCUUUAUGACAGGGCCGUCCAUGAUACGCAUUGCGUGUCAUAGCUGCACGUCGUAAAUGCAUGUUGUAAAUGUGUGUCGUAAAUAGACGACGUGCAAAAGCGUAUCGUCUCUCGUUAUUACAGGGCUUUCCUUGACACACAUUUGCGCGUCGUCUGAGUGUUUUAUGACACGCAUUGGGCGUCGUAAAAGGUUGUUUUUCUAGUAGUGUUAGAUGUUAAGUUAUAGCCUAUUAUCUUUUUGUUGAUGGUCGGUGGAGUCUGAGCCUUCCUAAUAGACCAUAGAGCACAAAGUUUGGAAGUGGAACGGGAAAAGAGGUGACACAUUUUGGCAGCAUAUAAUUAGAGGUAGUAAAAGCUCCAAAGAUUUGGUAGGAUUUUGGGGAAAUAUCACUUUUGCAUGUGAGCAUUUUCAAAAUGAAUAUAAAAACAAAUUACAACAAACCUUGUUAAGCAUUAAACUCAAACAAUUUCUCACCAAUAGCAAAUUACACCUAAAAUUUAAAAAUCUAAAAACAAACGGUGUAAAAAUGUUGGAUUUUGACAGGUUCUCAAAACGAAAGUAAAAAGUAGUGUGUUACAACGUUCUCCACAUGUUCUUUGUUUAUGAAAGAACUUUAAAUAAUACUAAUAAGGACGUCUAGAGAUUAAAUGAGAACUGAAUUAUUUCAACAUUCUCCCCCUUUAAUUCAUAGUUCUCAACCUUCUUGAUGCAUGCUAACCAACUUACACAUUUCUACAUGCUUUACUCUAGACAAUGCCUUUGUAAGCAUAUAUGCUUUCUGUUCCUUUCCAGCUACAUGCGUGACUAUGAUUUCUGCAUUCUCCACACACUACCUGAUAAAAUGAAACCAUAUGUCUAUAUGCUUGCUUUGUUGGUUCAAAACAAAUGAAAAAGGCAAAAUGCAAAAAAAUUCUCGUGUAUUAUUCAGUGAUAAACAUAGAACAGAAGGCUGCAAUAUAUAGCAAAACUUACAACUGAAAAAGUAAAUGCAGGAAACAUGAAAAGACUUAAGUAAAAUCAGGAAAUAUGAAAGACUUCAAAUGUUAUUGAGACAUACACGAGAGAAAUUAAUUCACUUUAUUUCACUGAGUUUGAAUCAGUCUUCAACACCCCCCUUUGAUUCAAAGCUUCCAAUACGAAUACAAGCUCGAAGAUACUAAAAACGUGCAGGCAGAAGAGCCUUUGUGAACAUGUCGACCUAUUGUUCUUCAGUAGGAAAAAAUUCCACCCAUAUUACACUUGCUGCCACCAAGUCUCAAAUGUAAUGAUGCUUAAUUUCAAUAUGCUUGGUACGCCCAUGCAUAUCUGGGUUAAUUGUCAUGAAAACUAUUGAUUGACUGUUACAGUAAAUCACAGUUGGUUCCUUUUGUUCCUGCAUAAGAUCACCCAUAAGUCUUCGUAACCACACAGCUUGACACGCGGUAAUUAUGACUGCCACAUACUCUGCCUCUGUUGUUGAUAAUGCUACCGUUGCUUGCUUCUUUGACUGGCAUGAAAUUAUUCCAGACCAAGUAUUGAAGCAAUUCCCUGUUGCACUUUUCCUGUCUUGUUGUGAUCCUACUCAAUCACUAUCACUGUAUCCGUUUAGCACAAACCUUUUAGAUUUCAAAUACCAGAUACCAUAGUGUUUGGUACCAGCUAAGUAAUGAAUAAUUCUUUUGACUGCUCCAUAGUGUUGUGUUGUGGGUUUGUGCAUGAAUCAUGAAACUACUCCCACUACAAAACUUAUGUCUGGUCUUGUGUGAGUGAGGUAGAUUAACCUCCCAACUAUGCUAGCUCCUAUAAUUUUGAGGAUCUUUCAUUCCUGUGCCAUCUUCACAUGUUAACUUUGUUGGAAUAGUGUCUAAGGUUGCAACUAUAUAAGGCAAGUAUUUGAUCCGGUUGAGCAUGGUCCUUUUGGGUUGCCUUCACCAUAGCAACUUGACAGGAUGAUUUAUAAUGAGAGAAAGAAUAUUAUUAAUAUAUUAUAAGAAUAAUAUAAGGAAUAAUAAUAUUGUUAUUUGAUUAAUAUAAGUCAUAAAUUAAUUUGGAAUUAAUUUGGUGACUUAAAGAGAUUAAUUAAAUAAAGGGGUAUAAACUGUCAAUUGUUUGAUAGUUGCACUUUGGGCUAUAUAUCCUUUAUGGAUAAGGGGUGGAUGAUUUCUAGGGCUAAGGAUAGCCAUAAAAUCGUCCAAGGCUUAUCAUGGAAAGGAUUUGGAUUGCUUAGGGCUUAAGUUAUCCAAUUAGGGUUUAAGGGUGAAACCCUAGGAGCCUUACUAGUAUAAAUAGACCCUAUGGGUUGAGGGAAUUCGACACACUUUUCUCUAAGGAAACCCUGUCCGAAUUCUUCCUCCCCUCUCCUCUCUCCUAAAUCAUCUUCUUGCUAGUUGGUGUUUAUAAGCCAUUAGAGGAGUGACAAUUGUGACUCUAAAGCCUCAAGGACAACAAGAUCAAGCAAGUGAUUCAAGGUAAACUUCUAAUCUUUGAUUUCAUAUUGUUAUUAUUGUAUAUUAGCCAUUAGAAGUCUUGGAUUCAAUAUAUGAUCAAUUAGAGAAACCUAGAUCCAAGCAUUAGGGUUGCAUGUACACAUAGGGAUGUUCAUAUGGCUAAAAUCCAUCAAACUUUUCAUUUGUGCUCAUAGGAGUUGUGACUGGUUCAACAUUCUCCAUGUUGAGACCCUUUAGCAUGUAUGAUACAUAUUUUACUUGAGAAAUAAAAAUACCAGUGUUUUCUUGCUUUAUUUUGAUCCUAAGAAAAUAAUGUAGCUUUCCAAGGUCUGUCAUUUCAAACUUCUUCAUCAUCUCCAUCAUAAAUUAACAUAUGAGCUCUUUAGACAACCCUAUGUAGAUGAUGUCAUCAGCAUAGAGACUGACUAACAUGAUCUCUGAAUCACCUUGCUUCUUAAAAUAUAUGGUAGGUUCACUUGGAGUUUUCUGAAAAACGUUGAAGUGAAAGAGGUUGUCAAUCUUGCUAUACCAUGCACAUGGAGCUUGUUUACGCCCAUACAAUGCCUUCUUCAACCUAUAUACCUUCUCUUCUUGCCCAGUAACAAUAAAUCCUUCGAGUUGUUGAACAAAAACUUCUUCUUUGAGGUCCCCGUUUAAGAAUGCCGACUUAACAUCAAACUGGUAAACUUCCCAUUGUUGUAGUACAGUUAAUGCAAGAAUUAACCUUAUUGUCUCUAUUUAUGCUACGGGUGAGAAUGUUGUUUGAUUAAUGUCUAAGUCCAUAACUAUAAUUGGUAAGACUUGACCCGACCCGACAUGGUCCAUUUGGGUUGCAUACCAUCAUGCACUUGGAUAGACUAUAAUGAGAGAAAUAAGACACUUAUGGUUAUUAAUAUAUUAUAAGUUCUAGUAUAUUAAUAAUAAGAAUAAUGAGAUUAUUUAAUUAGUAUUGAUCAAGAAUUAAUCUAGGAUUAAUUAAGUGAUCAAAAGAAGACUAAUUAAAUAUAUGGGUUGAUUGUGUAAAUCAUCCAUACUUGUAUAGUGGGCUAAUGCUCCAUGGAUUAUCUAGUUGGGCCAAAACCCAUAUGAUGCUCCAUGGAUGCUCCAUGGUGUAUUUGAACCCAUGGAUCCAAGGAAAUGGAAAGUCAUGACAAUUAGGGUUUGCCCUAAUUGUAACACUAUAUAAAGAUAUUAUUCUUGGCAAAAUCGGGACUAGGAUUAUUCUAGAGAGGGCUAGCCGAUUUCAUGAAGUGUAGAAUUCUCUCAAGCUAUUCUAAGUGUUUUGAUGAUUGUGAUUCCAUUUGAGGUGUCACACUUGGGGCACUAGGCACUCAAGCUUCAUGAAGACAUUCUACAUCAAAGAGGUAUGUAUUCUAUCUUGUUAUAUUGAUAGUUUUGUAUGCUAGAUUAGGAUAAUACCUUGGAUGUUCAUAUUUGCAUGUAUAAUAGAGAAAACAUAGAUCCAAGGUAUUUAGGGUUGCAUGUACACUUAGGAGUGUUAGAAUGCUCAAAACCCAACAGUGGUAUCAGAGCCUAGGCUUGUUUUCUUGUUAUACCUGCAAUAGAAGCUGAAAAAACGAAUCUGGUGCUGUCUGGCCAUCAGACUCGGCGAGUCCAUCAGGAGACUCGGCGAGUCCAUGCCUAAAAAGUGAUGAAUUCGAUCCAACUCGCCGAGUUUGUUCAUGCACUCGACGAGUUGGACCCCCAGACAGCAUAUUUUCGAGUUUUUUUGCUAGAAAUGGACUAGGAACAUUACCCUAAGUUGUUUUUGAACUUAUAAACUUGUUUUUGAUGUGGUAAUGUUCAUGCUAAUCCAUUUUCAAAGAUAAUUGUCAAUAGAUUCAUGUUUUGUAUUAGUUUAAGGUUUAGACUAAUUACAUGAAAAAGUUUGAUUUGAAUUAUCUUGUUCUUAUGAGUUGCUUAGAUUAAUAGAAAUGUUGAGUGAAAUAGUUGUUUUCAAUCCAUUUUAAUCUAAGAGUUGAGUAUAAAAUGUGUUUGUGUAACUUGUCCUCAAGUUACAUGAAGAGUCACAUUAAAGACUCAUAAAACUCAUAAAAGUUGGCAAUGGUUACAAAAUGAAGAGUCUUGUGUCAUUGAAUAAUUUUUUUUGACUCCAUAACUUGUCCUCAAGUUAUGGAAGUUCAAGAGUCACUUCAUUAAAGAAAAAUAUGUAACCAUAAUUAAAUCCAUAAGUUAUAAAAUAAAGAAAAAGUUAGUUCUUUUAUUAGUUUAAAGUCUUCCAUAACUUGUCCUCAAGUUAUGGAACUUGAAGAGUUUUUGGAUUAAAACUACUUUAAACACAUAAGUUAUGGAAUUAAUUAGUUUUGAAUAGUUUCAAAACUUGCCCUCAAGUUUUGGAAUUUGAAAAGUUUUCAAGUAUGAAUACUUUAAUUCCAAGUUAGCCCUUAGAAUUUUAAAAGUUAAAAUUCAACCCUUAUACUUUAUAAUAUUAUAAGUUAAUAAUAUAUAUAUGUAUAAGAGUAAAGUCAGUCUUACCGCUAGUACGCCUCAUUCACGAAGCCGGUCUAUAAGGUGGGUAUAAGGUUGUUGCCUAUAAAAUGGCAACUUAAUGGGUGUCCACUCUCACCCACCGCUUGCUUGACUGGUGGAGGGUCGUUAGCCGAACGGGUUUGACAGGACUAGAAUUCUCCCUUCAUUAAAAGUAUUAAUGAUAAUACUAAGUAACUAAACUCUUAAUAAUACCCAAUCUUAGUUACUUAGGAAAAAUGUGAAUAAGGUGCUAAUCCAUGAAAUUACACUUUACACUUUGUCUAAGUCGUUAGUGGAGCGUGUGUGGUUAACCGGCACACUAACUUGGACUUAACAAGGUAGGUAAAGGGUGACUUAAUAUUUAUCAUAGUAUCGAUGGAGCGUGUGUGGUUAACCGGCACAUCGAUUGAGGGGUAAUUUAUUAAGGGUACCAAGUGAUUUGCAUGGUUACUUCACACCUUGUUUUGUGAUCCUCGGCAUCCCAGUCACAAAACCUGAAGGGCACACUCGAGAUUGAAACAUGCCUUUGAAAAGUUCAAUGAAUCUCAAAGAUCUAGGAGUUUCAAAACCAAUUAAAACCUAAUAAUACAUUUCGUUUAUCUUGGUGGAAAUUGGUGAAUCGUCAUUCACCUACCUUCAAAUAUUUUAUAGCUUGGAUUACGGCAUACCUCUUCUAAGUUAUAAAAUAGUUUGUUGGGUCCUAGCCUUAAUAUUUCAUAUUGGGUGUCAUAUUAAGGACUUUAAAUCAACUAUCUUGAAUAUCUCCCAAAAGAUGUCUGGUUUAGACACCUAUGAUCUUCCCAAAUCUCUUGAAACAAGGUUUCCUAAUGAAGAUGAUGUCCCAUGGAUAUCAUACUUCUUCACCUCUUCAAAUUAUUCUCCCUAACCCACAAGUUCUUGAAAAGUUUAAGGUCACUCAGGCCCUAUUAGCAAGGCAAGGUCUAGGUGUGGUCACAUCUUGGAGAUGUAGUCACAUAUUGACAAGCCGGGAGAGUUGGGUGUCAAAGUCUUGAGAAAGUUGGUGGUUCAACCACUUUCUAAGUCACAUAGUGAGUUCCUUUGGGACACCUAUGAAACAGACUAUGACAAGACCCUUAAUGAUCUUAUCUAUUUGCUAAGAUCAACUUCCUAAAACUUUAUGGACAUUGACAAUGAUGACAUUGGAUAUCCAGUAAAGCAUUCUCUUCCCAAUGGAAAGGGAUCGGCCAUAGUCAACUCGGUUGACCAAAUGGUAAAGAGAAAAGCUAAGUCUGUGAUAGUCCCGUGUACCAUUAUCAAAGGGUCCAUAUGUUUAUAUUGCCAAAGGAAGGGGCAUUGGUUGCGAAGCUGCCAAAUUUACCUAAGGAUGUUAAAGUCAAUAAGUUUGACUCUACUUCAGGUAAAGUCCACUAUCUAACUCUGUUAAGUUUCUAUUCUGAGAUUCUUGAUACAUGAUGUGACUGGGUCACAUGGUGAUGUUUUAAGAAUCAAAGAAAAGUGAAGAAACUUAAAGAAAGAAUAUGCUGAAUCUGAUGGCGUAGAUGGAUUUCUAUCGCAUAGUUUGAAGAUCGGAUUCUUGAGCUACUUCUUAGGAGUUAUGAGAUAUUGCUUAGGAAUAGAUAACAACAAGUUUUCAUAUGGAUUGUAAGGAUAAGUUUUUCCGCAAAGUUUUAAAAUAAAAGAAAAUUUUUUUGAUUUUAUUUAUUUUAAAAUAUCCUUACAAUGGCUUUUGAGGAAAAAUUGUUGCUUAUAUGAUUCCAUUAAGAGCAAGAGUGGAAAUAUGAAAUUGAUUCUUUCAUUUGUGGUAAUGUCUAGAUUUACCAAAUAAGGAAAGAUUCUCAUCACCCAAGUUUCAAUUGGACCGGAACUUGGAAUCAUGCAAGUUGUAUAGCAUGAUGAAUGAGAACUUUCAAGUUUUGGAAAAUUAAGACUAAUUACUUGUUCACAUGGAUGUGUGAGUCAAGUAAAGGACUAAGGGAUCGAGUACACAUUCUUGUGCACUGAUUAAGUCCACCACAAAAGAUUGAUAAGACUAUUCGUCAUAGUUUACUAAAGCUCAGUAAAUAUGAUUAUACUUACAAGCUUAAGUGUAACUCUGAGACAUUGGAAAAGGUUCCAAUGUAUGGCAGGGCGAAUAAGAAGAAUCAAAUUAGGCAGAAGGAUAAAAGUUUCUCAUAUCUGAAAAGAUGGGAGAGUACUUUAGUAUCAGUUUUGUGAUCAUCUUAAUGAUUAAGAAACCAUAUCAAAAUUAGUUCUCUAAGGAAAUCUUAGUGCAUUCUUAUGACUAAGAAGAGGAACUUGAAUUGUUGAAAUGGUUAAAUCAAGAAGAUGAGUCAUACUUCGUUCCAAUACAAGUCUUAGAGUCAUACUCCAAGAUUGUCAUUUGAGUGACAUGUCUUAAAGAAGGUUUAAAACACUUGUCAAAUGUAAGAGUAAAAGUUUUCUACUCUUGUACAUUUGAAAUUGGUAAGUUGUGAUGUUUUGGAUAAAACAAAGACCAACUUAGGCCAAUUGGGUAAAGUGUUUUUCUUGAUUAGAAUCCGCACUAUCUCUUGGAUGUUUGACAAGGGAGUCUUAUAUGUCAAGAGGACAGUGGGAGUCUUAAAGGUCUUGAAAGUCUCAAGAAAUAAUCAAGAAUAAAACCUGAAGUUCUUCACUAGCACACGACUUGAGGUUUAUAACCUAUCGUGUUGACAUAUCUGUGCCCAUUCCAGUUAAAGUUGGCUUUGCAUAUGAGUUCUUAGAGUUCUCAGUUUGUUGCAUAACAACUUGGAAGCAAUGGCAGGCCCUUGAGCUGCCAGGUGGCAAGAAGUUAAGAUUGAGUUCAAUCCAUAUGGUUUUGGAUUUGUCAUUAUCUUUGUCUUGUGAUUAUGGUUUGACAAAUUCAUAUGGGUAGGAACUCAUACACCAUAUAAAUCUAAGUGUCAUAAGGUUUCUCUCCGAUUCAUGAAAAUGAUGGUGAGGAAACGCUUUCACUAAGUAGAUUUUACGAAGAUAUCAAUUGUGUUAUUUGCAUUUUCAAAAGUCGUUAGUGGAGCGCGUGUGGUUAACCGGCACACUAACAUGGACUUGUGAGAAAUGGCAAAUGCCUAAGCAAUUGAGACCAUGAUUACGGUAUCCCUUUUCAUGGUUCUUGAAAUUGCUUAGACACACAGGUGAGCUAUCUACGGAAAGGGUGUAUGAAUCUAAAUUUCAGACUGUCCAGCUGAUUUCUGAGUACAUGUCAAAGCUAGUGGGAGCAUAAGUGUUAUGCUAAUAAUCAUCAUGUUAGUGGGAGCAUGAUAAUUAUGAUAAGUAUUGCAAGUUAGCAAUGUUAAUUAUAGAAAACAAAAGUUUCAAUUGGGAAAAAGUUGUUUUGCUAUAAUUAAGGGAGAGGAAAUUAUGCUUCAUCUCAAAUCUAUAAGCUUAGAUCGUGAGGUUUUAAUCAUUUAGUCAAGGAUAUAUAUGAAUUUCAUGUUGGAAUGGCUCAACAUAAGGAAAUUCUGUAUAUGGGUCCAUUAUUUGCGUUCUAAAAUUCGAUUAUGAUUACGGCAUCCCUUUUCAUAAUCUGAAUUAUGAGAACUUGGCAAAUUGAAAUGGAAAUAUUAUAGCAAAAGACUGGUUUAGUCUUUAUGUAAGACAUCAUGAAUCGUGUCCCAUAUGCUUCGGAUAUAGGAUCGAUUACAUGUGCUAUAUUCAUCCGUUCUAAAAUUUUCCAAAUGCCUGGGGCAUUAAGAAGGGAAAAGGUUUAGAACUGGAUAUGACUAAAAGGAUUAAACAAUUGUCGAGGACAAUCUAAGGUUUACCAAAGAUUGGUUACUCAAGGACAAUUGGAAGUAUAGUGAUAAUUCUGGAAGGACCAUAUUGACAUAAUCUGUAAGGAGGCAACUCUUGUUCAGAAGUGAUAGUCAAAAUGGAAUCUGGAAAUGUUUCAAAGUUAGAAUUUUCAAUCUGUGUAAGAUUAAGGAAACUUAAUGCAAGAAGGAUAUUUCCAAGGAGUUGAUCUCCUUUGGAAUACUCUGUAAUGAUUGUUGCCAAGUCUUUGUGACUUUGUGCAUAAUCAUUACAAGAGGAUCAAUGCAUAUAAGUUUAGAAUCUAACAGAUUUCAGUAAAUGGCAUGAAUUUGGAAUUCUUGCAUUUGCAGUAAGGAUUUGGGAGUGUGAAAAGAGAAUCAUUGAAGUUAUGUUCAAUUGAUCUAGUUCACAAAGUAAAGAUCAUAGACAAACAUAGUAUGCAUACUUGGUGUGUGGCAUGACUAGUGUUUAAGAAAACAUAGUGUACAUGCUUGGAGCAUGGGACAACUAUUGUUUUAAAUUCAAGAAUAAAGUUGAUAGCUGAAACAGUAUACAAUGAAUAAUGUGUAAUCAUAUGGUGAUAAAUAAAAGGUGUUUUAUUUAUGUUCAAAGGGUUGAUACCAUAUUGGAUUCAAUUAUUAUUGUGUUUCAUUUUGCAUGUUUUGACUUCCCGAAUAAACUGGGUUAUUCUUCCGGAAUGACUAAGUUAUUCAAACCAUCCACAGUCGGUCAUAUGUUGGAAGUAGAUAUGAAUUAAGACUGUCAUGGGUUGGCUUGUAGAGGUCUAAGGUGUUGGACAAAGGGCUACAACACUCAUGAGUGCUCAUAAGUUCUGAGUAUUGGAUUCAACCCGCGCUCAUUGGAAUCACUUCAUGGAUUUUAUCACGAGUGAUCAUGAGACGAUAAUAUCUUAUAUUCUUCAAACCUAGAGAUAUGAGUUGUUACUAUGAGUUGAUAGUACAUUGAUUGCACGAAAACGCAUUUGGUAACUCGGUGCUAUAAAACGUGCCUUUGUGUAUGAUUCAACAAGUAGUAGAACAAGCCAUAUGAGUCGAAGUUUAUCCAUUCCUUUUACCUUCGGGAUAAAAGCGAUAUCUGUGGGCCCCUCGAUGAUUUGAUGAUGACAAAUGGAAGUGCUCGGCCGGGCCAGGACUGAUUUGAUUUGUUCAAUUAGUCAGUCGUCAUAAAUCGGAAAUCGGGAAACAACAAAUGGACAGAGAGAAUGAUUAUAAUCCAUGUCUCAGUCCAUAUGAUAUCUAGAAUGGAGGAAUAUAUGAUCCCUUAUCUAAUGGACAAGUCAUUGACAAAGGUCAGAGUUCAUCUACAAGGUCAGAGUUCGACAGAAGCUUUUGAGAGCUACGAUUGCCAGUUGGUUCCUGAAGUCAUACGCAAUAAUAGUUUUAGACUUAUCCAAGUGGGAGACUGUUGGAUUAAUGUCUAAGUCCAUAACUAUAAUUGGUAAGACUUGACCCGACCCGGCAUGGUCCAUUUGGGUUGCAUACCAUCAUGCACUUGGAUAGACUAUAAUGAGAGAAAUAAGACACUUAUGGUUAUUAAUAUAUUAUAAGUUCUAGUAUAUUAAUAAUAAGAAUAAUGAGAUUAUUUAAUUAGUAUUGAUCAAGAAUUACUCUAGGAUUAAUUAAGUGAUCAAAAGAAUACUAAUUAAAUAUAUGGGUUGAUUGUGUAAAUCAUCCAUACUUGUAUAGUGGGCUAAUGCUCCAUGGAUUAUCUAGUUGGGCCAAAACCCAUAUGAUGCUCCAUGGAUGCUCCAUGGUGUAUUUGAACCCAUGGAUCCAAGGAAAUGGAAAGUCAUGACAAUUAGGGUUUGCCCUAAUUGUAACACUAUAUAAAGAUAUUAUUCUUGGCAAAAUCGGGACUAGGAUUAUUCUAGAGAGGGCUAGCCGAUUUCAUGAAGUGUAGAAUUCUCUCAAGCUAUUCUAAGUGUUUUGAUGAUUGUGAUUCCAUUUGAGGUGUCACACUUGGGGCACUAGGCACUCAAGCUUCAUGAAGACAUUCUACAUCAAAGAGGUAUGUAUUCUAUCUUGUUAUAUUGAUAGUUUUGUAUGCUAGAUUAGGAUAAUACCUUGGAUGUUCAUAUUUGCAUGUAUAAUAGAGAAAACAUAGAUACAAGGUAUUUAGGGUUGCAUGUACACUUAGGAGUGUUAGAAUGCUCAAAACCCAACAAAUGUUUCAUUGAAAUCUACACCUUGUUCUUGUCGAAAACCACGAGCAACUAAUAUUGCUUUAUGCUUUUGGAGACUACAAUCAACAUUGAACUUUGUUUUAAAAACUAAUCUUGUUCUUUUCGAUCGCCAUAAUUUCUUCCUCCAUUCUUUCUUCUAGUUUAUCAUCUUGAAGUACCACUUCUGCUGAGACUGGAUCACCAUUGAACAAGGCUAGAGUGCUAGCAUAAAUGUCAUUGAAGUUUCUAUAUCUGAGUGGUGGAGUUUCUGGAGACGACACAUCAAAAGAUCCAGAUGUGGUCCUCGAGGGCGUAACAAAAGAUGAUUCACCGUGAGUAAAGCUUGGUGUUGGACUUGACAGUGGAGACAUGGGUGUAUUUAUUGGAUGAUCAUGAACUUCAUCUUCUACAUUUUCAAAUGAAUUUCACUGUGGCAUUGAGUUUGUGAGAAAAGAGGUAUCCUCAUAACUUGAAUGUUCUUAGAAAAUUAGAUCAUGGUUGAUAACAAUAUUCUUAUUUAUAGGAUCAAAUAACUUGUAGGCCUUUGACCUUGUACAAUAGCCCACAAAGAUGUAUUUCUUUGACUUUUCUUCUAACUUGUGCCUAUUUGUGGUGACCAACGCAUAGCAUAAACAACCAAAAACAUGCAAAUGAUCAACAUCGGGCUUGAACUCAAACCAGACUUUGAAAGGUGUUUUAUUCCAUACUGCUUUGGUGGGUGAUAAAUUGAGGAAAUACACAGCUGUGGCUAUGGAUUCUGCCCAAAAGGAGUCAGAUAACUUUCUUGUUUUUAGAAUUGCUCGAGCCAUCUCCACAAUAGUCCUACUCUUCCUCUGUGUGAUUCCAUUUUGAUCAGGUGUGUAGGGAGCUGUCAAUUCUCUUCUUAUUCCUUCUUCUUCACAUAAUGUAGUGAAUUCCUUUGACAUGAAUUCAGCGCCUCUAUCAGUUCUUAAAAUCUUGAUUACAACAUUUCCAUAUUUUUCAACAAGGGUUUUGAACUUUUUGAAUUGUUCGAAAGCUUUUGAUUUCGCUUUGAUGAAGUAGACCCAGCACAUAUGAGUGAAAUCAUCAAUAAAAAGCAAUAAGUACUUACUCCCUGAGUGUGAUUCUACCCUCAUUGGUCCACAAAUAUCUGCACAUACUAUCUCAAGUCUUUAUGUUGCUCGUCUUGCUUGCCCUUUAGAAAGGAUCUUUGUGUUUGCUUACCUAAGACACACCCUUCACACACAUGCGUGGAAUCUUUAAUGGUUGGCAGCCUGUUCACCAUGUGUUUGCUUGUUAAUAGUUGUAGACCUUUUACAUACAAAUGACCAUAUCGAUAGUGCCAUAAUCUAGAUUCACCAUCCUUGCUACUCAUCAUCAUAUAUCCUUCUUUUCAUGAAAAAUCUACUGGAAACAUUAUGUUUCUAGUCAUUUUCGAGUAUAAAAGAACUUCACCACUUUGUUUCUUUACGACACAAGCAUCAAUUUCAAAUUCUACCUUCAAUGCAUUUCAAUUAACUGGCCUACACUUAUCAGAUUGCGGGCCAGACCAGGUGCAAAAUGAACAUCAUUGAUGAGUUUAUCCUUUCCUUCGAUGCAAACUGUCACAACUCCUAUUCCUUCUAUCGCUAGUGGUUGAUCAUUGCCAAGACGAACACAUCAUUUUUCUGUCUUGUUCAGGGUUUUGAACUUGUCACGCACACCGGUUAUAUGAUUAGAGCAUGCACUAUCUAUACACCAUAUCUCCUUUGUGACAUCAACAGGAUGAAUGUGGUUUAUGAACAAGUAAUCCUCCUUCUCUUCAGAUUUCUCUUCAGGGUACUUUGCUUGGUUUUGAUUUGUCCAACAAUCUUCUUCUUUAUGACCAAACGUCUUACAAUGAUCACAUUGAACAAGUGACCCUUGUGAUCUCCCUCGUCCACAACCACCAGAUGAUGCUCUACCUUUUUCUCGACCAAAGGAAUAUCUACCUUGUUCUCCUUGGAUAUGAAAUGGAUGUUCUCCGUCUUGAGUCUAAGAUCUGUUGAGUCUUGUUUCAUGUGCUUGUACAUAGCCCAUCAUUUCAUCAAAGGAGAAUGUUGCAAGAUCCCUUGAAUCUUCAAUAGCCACCACAACAUGGUCAAAUUUAGAAGGUAGACUCCUCAGUAUCUAUGCAAAAACAACUUCAUCAGAGAUUUUAUCUCCAUAAGCAUGCAUUUGAAUCACAAUCGAAGAUGCUUUUGCCAGGUACUCUUGAAUGGUUUCACUUGCUUUGAUGUUCAAGGUCUUGAACUGCCUUCUUAGGGACUGAAACUUAACUGUGAUCACCUUUGCCGAUCCUUGAUAUUCAAUUUUGAGAAUGUUCCAUGCAUCUCAUGAUGUGACUGAUGCAACAAUUAUGGGAUAGAUUGUUUCAUCAACAACUUGUUGCAUGAAAAACAAGGCUUCUGCAUCUUUCUUUUGAUUUUCUUUCUAACGUGUCUCAUCUGUGCUUCCUUCUGAAUACCCAUUUUCAACAAGAUCCCACAAAAUUGUGACUUGAACAAAGUCUUCAUUUUUGUACUCCAAAACUCGUAGGAGUCGCCCUUAACGAUCGGAAUUUGAGGGUGAGACAUGCUGAUAGAGUUGAGGUUUUGUGCCAUCUAAACAAACCAGUGAGACUUAGGAAUACAACCUAAGCCCUGAUACCACAUUGUUGGUUCAAAACAAAUGAAAAAUGCAAAAAAAAAAAAAAAACUCUUGUGUACUAUUCAGUGACAAACAUAGAAAAGAAGGCUACAAUAUAUAGCAUAACUUACAACUGAAAAAGUAAAUGCAGGAAACAUCAAAAUACUUAAGUAAAAGCAGGAAAUAUGAAAGACUUCAACUGUUAUGAAGACAGACACGAGAGAAAGUAUUUCACUCUAUUUCACUCACAUUGAAUCAGUCUUCAACAUGCUUCACCCAUGAAAAAGUGGAUUCUUCAUAAGCUCUAAAGCUGACUUGUUAUCCACAUACAUUUCCAUUGGUGGAAUGUCUUGACCUGUUAUUUCUGACAAGAGUCUACGUAGCCAAAUGCCUUGACAUGCUGUCACAGUGACUGCCAUAAACUCAGCCUCACAUGACGAUAGAGCUACACAUCUCUGUUUUUGUGAGGACCAAGAGACCAGAUUUCCAUUUACAUAAAACAUCAUGCCUCCUGUACUUCUUUUUUCAUUCACAUCCUUAGCAUGAUCACUCUCUGAAUACCCUGAAAUAGUGAUCUGAUUUUCUCCUUUUGUAUAGACCAAACCGUGGUCCAAAGUUCCCUUUAUGUACCUGUGAAUCCCUUUCACUUCUUGAAGAUGAACCAUGGUAGGUCUCUCCAUAAAACAACUCACAACUCCAACGUCAAAUGACAAAUCUGGAUGGAUAUGGGUCAAGUACCUAAGUCCACCCACUAUACUCAUGUAUUUAGUGGGGUUUACCAAUUCCACAUCUCCCUCUUUGGUCAGCUAUAUCUUGUGUUCCAUAGGGCUUUUGGUAGGAUUACACUUUAUCAUAUGUGUCUUUCCUAGUAAGAUUCUAGCAUAUGCUUCUUGUUUUAAUGAAAUACAAUUCUUGUGUUGACUUACCUCGAUUCCCAGGUAGUAGGUUAGUAGCCCAAGGUCGCUCAUUUCAAAAUUUUGUAUUCAUCUCCAUCUUGAAUUCUUUCACAUCAUUAGAAGAGAAUCCGAUUACCAAUAGAUCAUCUACGUAGACCCCAACUAUUAUAGUAUUCCUAUCCUUCAUCAUGGUGUAUCAAUGGCUCUUGGCGCCUGCUUUAACCCAUAAAGAGCCUUUGAUAAUUUGUAUACAUUGAUUCCUUCAGCUUUCUUCUCGAAUCCUUCUUGUUGAGUGACAUACACUUCUUCAUCUAUCUUCCCAUUUAGGAAUGCUGACUUCACAUCAAGAUGAUGUACACCCUAACCAUUCGAACCAGCAAGAGCAAGGAUAAUUCGAACAAUUUCAAUCCUAGUGACAUGUGCAAAUACCUCAUCAUAGUCGAUUCCAAACUUCUAAACAUAGCCUUUUGCCACGAUCCUCGCUUUAUGCUUCACAAUCUUUCCAUUUAGGUCCCGUUUUACUAUAAAGACCCACUUUAACCUAAUUGGCCCUUCCGAUCUCUUAGGAGUUUGACUAGACGCCAAGUAUUGUUCUUCUCAAUUGAGUCUACCUCAGCGUUCAUCGCAUGUACCCAUUCUUUCUUCCGACUUGCUUUGGCAUAGUUUGAAGGCUCUUCAUCGCUACACAUCAUCAAAAGUUCUUCUGGUGGCAGUUUAAUUUCUUCGGUGUUUUCAUACAAGUCAGUGAGCAAUCAGUAGCGUUUUGGGUCACCACCACAUGUAGAGCUCGAGGUAGUGCUCAGAGUCGUCACCAGAAUUGGGGGAAUUUGGGGGUAAUUGGUGAAUCAGCUGUACCCGAUGUUGCGUCUACGAGUGUACUAAUUGGACUUGGGCCGAUAGGUGAGUUAAAUGGCUGAGGAGUUUUGGCCCGAUCAUUGUUAUUUUGUGGCGACCCGUUUCCUUAUUCUGGUGUAUCUUAUACCCUUUCACCGUCAUCAACAUAAUACUCGCCGUCGAAGUUGAAACCUUCUACAGUGAAAGACAUCCCCGAUGUUGUUUUGAACUUAGACAUCUUCUUACAUUACCAUCUCCGAUUUUCUUCAAAAAAUACAUCCCUGCUCACAUACAUCAUACCUGUAUCAUGAUCUAGCAACCUAUGAGUCUCUAAGCCUUUCUUAGUUCCUAGAUACACCACUUUCUUACUCUGAUCAUCUAAUUUCUUAAGAUGGCCUUUCGCUACCUUCAUGUACGCGACACAGCCAAAAACUCUCAGAUGACCAACUCAUGGCUAUCUUUCGGUCCACACUUCAUACGGUGUAGUCUCCUUGAGAGCUUUGAUGCUUAAUUGGUUUAGUACAUAGACUGGAUGGCUCACAGCUUCGCCCUACAAAACAUCAGGUACCCCCAUUGUCUUCGGACAGCUCCUAACCAUAUCUAGUACUGUCCGAUUUCGCCACUCCACUACUCUGUUCUGUUGUGGCGAGUAUGGUGAGGUGUAGUGGCACUCCAAUCCAGUUUCACUGCAGUACUUAGUGAAUUGCUUUGACAUAAUUCACCUUCACGAUCUGUUCUUAAUACCUUAAGCUUUUCACCAAUUUUAUUCUCAAUUGUGCUUCUGAAUUUCUUAAAGGUAUGAAAGGCCUCAUCUUUUGUUUUCAUUAAAUAUACCCACAUAACCCUGUUGUGAUCAUCAACUAACAUAACCUGCUGGUGUUGGAGGUGAGACUGGUCCACAUCGAUCGCCAUGAACCAGCUCCAAUUUCUUCCUGGCCCUGAUAUUCGUGCUUGCUGGGAAUGAUGUUCUUACUUGCUUCCCUAUUAGACACCCUUCAAAAGGUUCUGAUGGCAUCUUCAUCUUGGGGAUUCCCUCAAUCAAUCCCUUUUCAGACAUAGACUUUAAAGAGGUAAAGUUCACAUGGCCUAACCUUGUGUUCCAUAAUGAUGUUGGGUUAUUAAGUUCGGUUACUAAGCACCUUGAUAUGACCUCUUCUAGUUGGAUUUUGUAGAGUCGGUUUGGGGACUUAUUUACUUUCAUUAGCAUCCUUCCAGCAUCAUCAUACAUCCAUAGGAAUGGCUCCUUAAUUCUGAUCUCAUCACCUUCUUCAGAUAGUUGGCCAAGACUGACUAUAUUGCUGCAAAGAUCAGUAUGUAGUACACCUCCUUUAGUCUUCUUUCUUCUCCAUUCGUGCACUGGAGUAGAAUUGAUCUUUUCCCUUCAAUUCUUACUUUGGAUUCGUUUCCAAAUUUUACAACUCCAUGAACCUUUCUAUCUAUGUUUUUAAACUUGUCUUUAUCUCAAGUCAUAUGGUUACUUGCCCUAGUAUCAAGAUACCACAUUUUUUACUGAUUCAGAAUUCCACCAUUUGUUCUUAAUUCAGGCUUCACACUUUCUUCGUUUUAGAACACUUCCCCUAUUUCUUCUUUGACUUCAAAGGAUGAUAACAAUAGCGUCGGUUCAUUAUCAACCUGGACCAAGAUACUUUCUUGAUUUCUUUCUUUCCUUAGGUUCUUGCAUUCGGCUGUAUAGUGCCCAAACUCCUGACAAUUGUACCACUGAACACUACUCUUAUCUUGACUGCUAAAUGCACCUUGGCUCCCUUGAUUAUGAUGACCACCUCUACCACGGCCACCACGACCUCUUCCUCUUCCACGUGACCCAUUAAAAUCACCACAGUUUGUCUUUGAUUUUGAGUCACCAUCACCCUUCUUCUUUCUCUUCUCUGACGAUUGCUGAUAGAUUAUGAGAAGUUUUCUAUCUUCUGAUUCACCAUCACCUUUCAUACGUUCUUCAUAGGCUUUUAGCCUUCCUAUCACUUAUUCAACAAACAUUGAAUUUAUAUCUCCAAAUUGCUUAAUUGUCGAAGCAAUACGGAGAAACUUGGGUGGUACUGCCCUCAACAGUUUCUUCACAAUAUAAGACUCUUCUAAAGUGUCCCCAAGAGUACGCAUAGUACUCACUAUAUUGCACACUUUUGCAGUGAAACCAUCAACCCCUUCUGUCUCCUUCAUUGUCAUGGCUUCAAAUUCUGUCUUGAGUGUCUGUAUUCUUGGUGUCUUCACCCUAUCUGCUCCCAUGAACAUGGUCUUCAAGGCAUCUCCUACUUCUUUGGCUGCCUUCUUCUCCACCAAUGAGAGUAACAAAUCUUCAGGUAUGUCUUGAUAGAUGGUUGUCAAUGCCAUCUUGUCUUUCUUUACUCCUAUAACCGUGUUCGAGGUUCUGGGCUCCACUGCAUCCCAAACUCUUUGAGCUUGCAUGAAAACUCUCAUCUUUAUGGCCCAUACACCAUAAUUACUUUUGGAGAGCAUUGGGUAGUGAAAGGUGAUCUGGCCUUCCCUGUCGCCAUUUCCAUUAUUUCCAGACAUCUCUUCUCGAGAUUGGUACUUGGGCAUGCACUUGGUUAAGCUCUGAUACCAAGUGUUGGAUUUUGACAUGUUCUCAAAACGAAAUAAUCAAAAUAGAUAAGCAAGAAGGCCACAUAUUGCAGAUUGGGGAAUCUGAGUUGUGUAUUAUUGAUUGAAGAAAGUAAAAAGUAGUGUGUUACAACAUUCUCAGAUGCACCGAAUAUAAACAACUCAAAAUGCAGAAAAAUAUGAACAAACUAGCUAGUUGCUAAAGACCAGGAAUUAUCUCCAGGUGAUCUUUGUUUAUUAAUAAACUUUAAAUAAUACUAAUAAGGACAUGUAGAAAUUAAAUGAACUCUGAAUUAUCUCAACAAAAAAUAGACCUUAGAGCCAGUAAUACCUUUUUCGGUGGCAGCUAGGUAGCAGUGCGAAGAAGGUGAAGUGGAGAACCGAUGAAGCAGGCGUACAUUAUGACACAAAAAGGGAGUAGAUGAGACGAGCAGGAAAAUUUGUUUUUCAGUUCAAAACAUACACCGAAGUAGGGUUGCAAUUUAGGAAAUCAAAAUAUUUUAGGUAUUUAGAGGAAUGUAGAUUGGAUAGAGCGGAAAAGUAAAUUUGGGUGAAAACAAUGAAAUUAAAACAACUUCAGGGGAAACGAAAGUUUAUGUAUUUAGGGUAACAUAUAUAGAACCCGGUUGAGUUAUAAAAACGGGUUUUAUAAAAGAAAAUCCGAAUAGAAUUAAGUUUACACUAAAUAGAACCCGGAUUUCUCUAAUACUGGGUUAGUGGGUCUUAUUAGGAAUUUUGUAGUAGUGAUUAACUUUAUGUUAGUGACCCACAAUGAGAAACCAUAUUAGAAUGAAGAAUUUUUAAGCGUACACAAAACUUUGUCUCAGUGGUGUUAAUGGAAGACCAAAGACCUGAUUAGAAUCACAAAUUUUCAAACAUAUGCCAGAUCAACAUACCCCACGUCUCAACAAUUCUCAUGACUUUAAAAACAAUAAUAAAUAAAUAAAUAAAUAGUAAGAUAAGAGAAAAUCACUAUAAAUAGAGAUGACGACUAUGAACCUCGUACAAGCAUCUCAAGAUUUGAACGUACUCGUUGUAAUGGAGUCUAAACUCUUUCUUCCCUUUUCAUGUAUCCUCUUUCUUGCUUCAUUUAUGCUACCAGUUCUUUCGCAUGUUCAGGACACUCAUUUACGACCAAAUGGGUCAUCGGGUAAUAACACGAACCCGUCACCUUUUGGGUUUCUUAAAGCCAUGCAAGGGUGUCGUAAGGGUGAUACGGUGAAGGGGAUUCGUGACCUUAAACUGUAUCUUGCUCGUUUUGGAUACCUAAACUACCAGAAAAACCCUAAUGUCACAGAUCUUGAAAAAGAUCAUUUUGACGAGGAGCUUGAGGUUGCUAUCAAGUCGUACCAGGUCUACUACCACUUGAACGCCACGGGGACGCUUGAUGGGCCAACGGUGUCACAGAUGGUCAUGCCUCGUUGCGGGUGCCCUGAUAAAGUAAUUCACAAGCACACCGAUCAUAACUCUUUACCCAAAGUCUCCCUUUACAAAUUCUUUCCCGGAACACCAAAAUGGAACCGUGGUCAUCUAACUUAUGCUUUUGGACCACGUUUCCCAACCCAAUUCAUGUCAGCUGUUGAUUGUGCUUUUGGAAAAUGGGCUACUGCUUCUUCUGGAUACUUCACGUUUUCAAGAGCAGGAAGUUAUGAAGGUGCUGACCUAAAGAUUAGUUUUCAACGUGGAGACCAUGGAGAUGGGAGUCCCUUUACUAGUCAAGUGUUAGCCCAUGCUUUUUCACCUUCGGAUGGAAGAUUCCAUUAUAAUGCGGAUCAUAAUUGGGCUAUUGGAGCAGUGCAAGGUGC
rnacentral:lncRNA from 1 species